rnacentral:lncRNA from 1 species
GCCAGCCAUGACCUGAACCGAUGCAUUUGUGUCAUUGUAUGCAGGAAAAUGAGGCAAGGAGGGAGGUGAAGAUGGAGUGUAGUAUCCCUUGUACUGUACAAUAGCUGUGGUGGUUGUGUUAUCAUAAAAAUUUUGAGCUGCUGGGGCAAUGGAAUAAGUUUUAGCCGCCAUGUAAUAGUGAUCCGGGUGUUGGUUAGCUUCUAGUAAGACAUCGAAGGUUUGGCCAGGAUAUAUUGUGAUAUAAUCUUGUGUCAAUGGUUUCAUGUAGCUACCAUCUGUUCCAACCACUGUCAUUUUAUGCUUGGCAAUUGAGAAGAAGAGAGCCUCGUGCAGGGCAGCAUUGAUUAUGCGAAGUAGAUAUGUCUUUCCAUGAUCCACCGUUAGCUUGAAUGUGUCUGCAAUUAGAAAAGGAAAGUUGUAUACUUACGACUAGAGAAAAGAAAAGGAAAAACUUUCCAUGAGGAUCCACCAAUUAUGAAGUGAUUGAUUUAUUAGGGGUGUAAAUUUGGCUCCAUAGUUCAAAAUUAUAUUUGGAUUGGCUUUUGCUCAUGUGUUAAAUCAUGGCUCUACCAUCCUCAUAGCUAUAUUCCUCUUUCUUAGCAUUAAGUUUUAAAUAUGUUGAUGUUAAUAAGAAAAAGUAAUAUGGUUAACAUACAAGAAAAUGAGAUCAGUGUACAAUUUUAAAAUGGGAAGUUAAACUUUAUACCUGAUUUUGAGCAUGGAUAUAGAUCACCGGGUUGUCCAUUUAUCAAUAAAGAAUCAGAGGCAUUGGGGUCAGCUCCAGUUGCAAGCCCUUCAUCUCGAACCGCAUUCACAUCACUCUUCCACCAUUGUCCUGCAUUUCAACAACUCCAAUAAUUUAGAUUUUGCUUUGUUGGUUAAUUCAUGAUAUGUAAAUUAACCUUUAAAAGCAACUACACUUAUACCUAAUAUGAUGGGAAUUUCUGCGUUAGGUUUGGGAAAAGGAUACUUGGUUCCAUUCUUGGGAUAGACGAUUAUAGCUCCAUGAACGGUGGCUCGAGUCCAGUCACUAUGAGCAUGCCACCAUAGAGUGCCUUCCUCAGAGGAAAGGAUGAUCUUCUGGCUAAACUUUGACCCUGGUUGAAUUGGGCAUUGUGUGAUAUACUCGGGACCAUCUGUCCAUGGAUAUCUAGGCAUGUUCACCCCAUGCCUGCAAAACGAUAACUAUACAUUAAAACUAGUACUAAUUUUUAGACUAACAAAAGAUGGCAUGUAGCAACAUAUUAUCAUAGUAACAAGAGGCAUCAACUAUAUUUCAAUGGAACUGAUGCAAAUAACCCUAAAAUAUUAUUUUAGAUUUAACUUUAUUUGCAAAGCAAUACAUUGCAGCCCCCUCUUAGAAAUAAAAGAAUGUAUGUCAUGCAAGCAUGUUGCCCACUGCUAUCUUUCUCCGAGACAUGCAUAGGACUUACCAGUGAAUGGUGAUAUUUUCUUUUCCCCUGUUAUAAACGUUGACGAUGAUCGUCUCUCCUUUCUUAGCAUAUAUAGUUGGUCCUGGAAAUUGUCCAUUUACUGUUAAGAUGUUCUUGGUGCUACAAAGCCUUGUAUAUGAAGCCUCCUUCACCUGCAACCAAUUAAAAGUUAACCAUGCAACCUCAUCCCAAAAGAAAUAUUACAUGCAUGAAUAGUUGCAUCGAUCCAUUCAUGCAAGUGUAUAACCAAUUAGAAAUUGAUAGCAUGCAUGAAGGACUCAAUGACACCAGGGUACCCGAAGACCCCAUGAGGGUCAUAACGGUGGAAAAUGAGAGCCACACUGCUCCCUAAAUAUUAUGAUCAAAAGGUGGCGUUAAGGCCAUAAUCAUAUAUAGUAUUUACCACAAAAGUAAGCCGACGAGUUGAAGCUUGGCAAUGGAUGCCACCACCAAAAAGUAGAAACACUAAAAUUUGCAAGAGGAAAACCUUCAUGAUCAGCCACAUCUUCUUUGGAAUAAAAGCCUCUUCUCUUGUCCUAAACACAACUGCUUCAAUUUUCUUACUAUUUCUAAUAAGCACGACUUAUCUUCUCUCUGACAUGAAUAGAUGAAUUCUUAAAGGUAUUUAUAGAGGCUGGAGGUGAAAGCUGAACAGCUGGUUUCCUGGGGUACAACCAUUCCUCGCCGCGUAUCAAUAUAAGAGAAGUAAUUUGAAUGUGUAUUGGUUUUGAAAGUUCUUCCAGGACCACUUCAAAGAGCAGGUUGUGUAUGAUAUCUGACCACUUACCAAAAUUUAAAUAAACCAAAUUCCUGAAGACGAGUUUCUUAGAAUCUCUUGAAUUUUCUAAUUCAAAAUACAUGAAAGAUGAUUUUCCUGGGGUACAACAAUUCCUCGCCGCGUAUCAAUAUAAGAGAAGUAAUUUGAAUGUUCUUCAGAAAGCAGGUUGUGUAUGAUCAGCUUCAAUCAGGUUGUGUAUCGUACAAGUUUGACUUUGAGAAUUGACCAAGAAAUUAAUCAAACAUAUUAUUUUAGAAUAAAUUUCAAAUACAUGUAGAAUACUUUUAAAACUUUGACCUCGCAUAUAUACAGUACCUUUAUCAAGAUUAGUCAAGAUUUUCUCUUUGUAUUUGGUAGGAAGGGAAAAGUCAACGCUGCUUUCAGAAGGAAUAUAGGAUUCCAUUAUAGGAAAGAAACAAUCAUUCAAUUAUAGGAACCGGAUCGAAAAUUCCUUGUCCGGUUGGAGGGUCAAUCCAGACAUUCAAAUCAUUCAACAUAUAAAUUAGUUUAAACGGAUAAGAGAACAUUCAGACAUUUUCAAACAUCAAAUCUCCACUUUUUAAAAAAUAAUAAUAAUAAUAAUAAAUAAUUAUAGAUUUAAAAAUAACUUUUUUCAGAACAAAUAAGAAAUAAUUCAAACUUCCUUGUUUGGUUUAUUGUACCAUAUAUAAUGAAAAAUCAUUAUAUAAAUAAAUUAUGCAAAGAUGUAUAUAUUUUAAAAUUAUUUAUAAACAGAAAAAAUGAUGAAUAAAAUUUGAGACGUGAAAAUUUGAUCAAGUUAAUUUAAAAACUUCUUUUAAUUUUUUUCACUUUUUUACUCCUAUUUUUUCACACUAUUUUUUUUCUCACAUUUCCUUUUAAACCUUUGAAAUAAAUUCCCUACUAUUUGUGGAGCUUUAAUAUAAUUUUUUUCUCCAUAUUAUACAUAUUUAUGCAAUGUUUGGUUAAACUAUUUUGAAUUUCUAUUUUUACCUUAACAAGAAACAUUUCUUGAAAAUGAAGAUUAUUUUCUCCUUAUUUUCAAAUUUGUGUUUCUCCACUUUUUUUUUUUUAAAUAAUAAUAAAUAAUUAUAGAUUUAAAAAUAACUUUUUUCAUAACAAAUACAAUAUAUAGCCGGCUUAUAAAAACUAUUAUCUAAAAAAAGGAAAAAAAGAAAAGAAAAGAAAAGUAAAAUAAGAAAUAAUUCAAACUUCCUUAUUUGGUUUAUUGUACCAUAUACAAAGAGUUUUAAAUAAUAAAUUGGAAGAUCAUCCCAAACACUUUAAAGAGUUUUAGAAAUCAAUACUAAAAUCAAUCUUGAUUUAAAACUCCUAAAUAAUUAAUUGUAAAGUUGUUUUCAAAGGAAACCCUUCUUAUCUCGAUUUCCCCUCACUAAGAUACUUCAAAAGUGGAAUAAUAGAUAAGAGUGAACUUAAAACUCAAUUAAGAAAAUUGGUCAAUAAGGAAGAUCAAGUAUAGUACAAAGUUAAAUCUUAGGAGAUAUCACAUCUUUAUAAAUAAAAAAUAAAAAAUCAAUUAGUAGGAGUUCAUUUAAUUCAAUAAUUAAAUUCAUUUUGUUCAAAAAAUUAUGCACUUUCAAUUUAAAGAUAGAAUUAAAUAAUAUACUUUACAUACUUAAAUUAUAUUAAAAAAAUUAUAAACAAACAUUUUACUCCGACUCAUUGAUAAUAACAUUGUGCCCAAAUAGUAGAACUUGCAUUAGGUGGCUAGUCUCACUUUGUGCCUUUUAGCAAUGGACAAAAUGAUUUAUAAUCAAUGAUAUACCAAAGGCUAAUAACACCCUUAUUAGCUAGAGUUACAUUAUAUCACUAUCCUCACCAAAGGUAACGCAGGUCAACAACUUCUCUCUUAAACCAAUGUAAUAAAUUAAAUGAUAAAAUUCAUUUGCAUAACAAUAAACAAAUCAUAUGAUAUUCCCAAUUUAUUUUAUAAACUAAGGAACAAAUCAUAACAUUUUUAGUAAAAUAUUAUUUGAUCCACUUUAAGGAACUUAAACAUUUUGAUAGUUUAAAAAUAGAUGAAAAAAAUUAAGAAAUUAUAAAAUGGUUUACUAUACUAUUAACCAUUACCUUGAAGAAAUCAUUCAAAAUCCUGAAAGACUUAAUCUACACCUAAUAUAAACAUAAAUAAAAAAUAAUCAUUAAAGAUUAAUUAUCUAAAUUAAUGACUUCCUAAUUUUUUUGUAAAACUUACUUUAAUUCCAAACCCUUUUCUAAAGUUCUAUUUUUUGAAUUAAAUUUUUUAUUAACCAUAUUAUUAUUAUCAUUUUCACUUCUCAUAAUUACAUUAAUGGGUUUUGUUGAAUUAUUAAUGUUAAUAUUCCUUCUUCUUUUUUUCAUGGUAGGAAGUAGGUAAUUAUUUAUUAAUUUACUACUAUUUUUACUUAUCUCCUACCCACAACCCAAAUCUUAUUAUAACUUUAUUAUUUCUUUGCCACAACCACUUUCCUCAUUUCCUCAAUUCUUCUUCCUAUUAAUCUCGUGGUUAAAGAAAGGUAAAAGAAUCUAAAAAGAAAAUCAUACAUGAAGAACUUACCUUAAAUUUCAUAAUGAAGCAAAUAAAAAAAGUUUCUUCUUUCUAACCCUUCAAACCAAACUUCUCUAUAUACCUUUCUCUUGUUUCUUUUUCCUCUCUAUUUUAUCUUUUCAAAUUUUAAUAAUGUGGAGAAAUCAAUGGAAUUUAGGGGUGAAUUAUACUUUUAUCGCUAAAAGUAACUUUUAUUGAUGGAAUUUUAGAUGUUGUCAGUGGUGCAAAUUUUUUUUAAAAAAUUUCUAACGAAUUUAAAAAUUUCAUCACUAAAAGACAUGAUGGGAAAAUUUUGGCAUCGUCAUUUUUUUGGCACAAACACUUUUCUGAUAGAAAAAACCUAUUUUCUCAGAAAAGUAUUUGUCACUAAUUAUAAUUUUUGGUGACUAAAAGUUACAACUUUUUAUAUAUAUAUAUAUUUGCUUGUAAAAUGGUUUCAUUAAGUGGUUGUAUUAUUUCUUGACAAAUUGAGUAAUUUUAUCAUUAUUAAAUUGUGAUAUUAAUAAGUAAUAUUGAUAAAUAACUAGAUGAUUUAUAUUGUGAAAUAACAUAUGUAUUUUUUGAGACUUAAUAUUUAUACUGUAAUAUUUUAUUUCUAUUAAUAAUAAUAAAAUAAUUACAGAUUCAUAAAAUGAAAUACUACAAUACAGAUUUAUUUAAAUUUAAACGUUUUGUAACGUAAUAAUAGUAUUGUUAUGAAAUAAUAAAAAGGUAAAUUAUUUAAGCAAUUAAUAUUUAUAUCGUAAUAUGUUAUAUUUUUUUUAUAUAAAUAAUAACAACAAAUAAUUCAAGACAUGUAAGAUUUGUUACUUUGAAACAAACUUUCGAAUCCUAGGUACAUCCUUAAGAAAAUUUGUUACAUUCAAUCCUUGAGCUAACGGGACACCUAUCUCUUUUCCCAUGGUCCAUUUAUUCAUUUGGAGACCUCGAAAAGUGAUUAGAGGUCAUUCCCCACCUUAAAACGAACUUUGACUCCCAUAGUACAUCCUUUACAAAAUUUGGUACAUCAUUCACAAAAAUUCGUACAUCCUUAAAAAAAUUUGGUACAUCUAAUCCUUGACCUAUUAGGACCCCUAUCUUAUUACUCAUGGUUCGUUUAUUCCUUUAGAGAUCUUUGGAAGUGAUUAGAGGUCGUUCCCUACUCCGAAACAAACUUUGGAAAUCCUUGGGAUAACGGGACACUUAUCUCCCUUCUCAGGGUCCAUUUAUUCCUUUGGAGAUCCUUAAGAAGUGAUUGAAGGUCGUUCCCCACCUCGGAAUAGACUUUGGCACCCUUGGUACAUCAUAUACAAAAUUUGGUACAUUCUUCACAAAAUUUGGUACAUCUUCAUAAAAUUUGGUACAUUCUUAAAAAAAUUUGGUACAUCUAAUUCUUGAGCAACUAAGACCUCUAUCUUAUUGCCCAUGGUCUGUUUAUUCCUUUAAGAAUCUUUGGGAAGUGAUUGGAGGUCAUUCUCCACUCUGGAACGAACUUUGGAACCCUAGGGACAUCCUUAAGAAAAUUUGGUACAUCCAAUCCUCGAGUUAUUGGGACACCUAUCUCCAUUCUCAUGGUCCAUUUAUUCAUUUGGGAACACUUAGAAAGUAAUUGGAGGUUGUUCCCUACUCUGGAAUGAAUUGUGGAACCUUGGGUACACCUUUAGAAACUUUUUGUAUUUUUAUGGUUAUGUAAUGGUUUGAUGUUGUUGAUUGAAAUGAGGUGGUUGAGUCACAAUUUAUAAUCAUCAAGGGAAAACAAAUUGUGUUUAUUCAUGACCAGAUGAAAAUGAAUAACAAAUGGAAUUAUUGUCACUUUUAAUGGUAUUAUAUUAUGAAUCAUUUGAAUAGUUUUCUUAAAACAAUUUGUCAAUUCCAAAUGGAUUAUAGCUGAAUUGAAAAAUGAAGGAAUAUAGUUGUAGAAAAGAAGGGUUGAAUUUUUGUGGGCAUUAUGGAAGAAAGAGGUCGAGCCUUAUAUGAAAAACAGAUUGUUAACACUAGGCAUAAUAGUGGACGACCUUUUCAUGUAGGGGCUGACCCUUUUUAGCUUAUAACCCUUAGUCAUGAUAUUAGUUUUAUUUGAAGUGAUUAGUAACAAAAAUAAAGGUGUUGUUCAUAGGCAAUCCCAUCGUGUUUUUAAUAUUGGUUUUGUUUUAUGUGGGUGGUAGGCAGAACAAAGGUUGACCCAUUGUUUAAUAGGUAGGCCUUUGAAUAUGGACGUUAUAACCUUAGAAUAUGGACAGUGAGGAAAAUAGUGGUCAACCCAUGUAUUCAGAGGUAGAGCCUGAACUUAUAUUACAUAUCAAAUAAGUUCCUAACAAAUAAAUAAAUAAAAGUAAAUGCAUUGUGUGAUGUUUGGUAUAGACAAUACAUUUCAAUAUUUAGCACAUUAAUGUCACACCAUAAAAUGUUAAUGAAACAAACUUGGAUUGUUCAUAAUCUGAAUGAGACGUUAAUAUAUGAUGACUAUAUAUGUGACCAUGACAAUUGUUAUAAGUAAUUAGUUUUGACAGGGUUAUUUAAAAAUAUAUAUUUAAAAAACUAAAUACCUAAUGAGGUCUAACUGUGAGAAUAAAAUAAUUUAUGCUUAUUCUAUAAAUGUUGAAAGUAUUUUUGUGAUGAAUAUAUGUAUUAUUGGAAAUAUUUACAAACAUGCCUAGUUUAUUGAUGUGUGUGUGUGUGUGUAUUAAAAAAAAAAAAGUAAAAUCAAGGAUGUUCAUCCUUUCCUCAUAAGAAUGUACAUUGGGUUCUGAAGUCCAUUUUAGGGUAGAGAACAACCUCCAAUCACUUCUCAAUGGUCUUUAAAUGAACAAACCAACCAUGGGUAAUAAGAUAGGGGUCCUGAUAGCUCAAGGAUUGGAUGUACCAAAUUUUGUGAAGAAUGUUACAAAGUUUGUAAAUGAAAUACCAAAUUUUAUAAAGAAUAUACCAAGGAUGCCAAAGUCCGUUCCGAGGUGAGGAACGACCUCCAAUCACUUCUCGAGGGUCUCCAAAGGAAUAAAUGGACCAUGUGAAGGGAGAUAGGUGUCUCAUUAGCCCAAGGAUUGGAUGUAUCAAAUUUUCUUAAGGAUGUACCUAGGAUUCCAAAGUCCGUUUUGGAAUAGGGAAGAACCUCCAAUCACUUCCCAAAGAUCUCUAAAGGAAGAAAUGGACCAUGGGUAAUCAAAUAAGGGUCCUAAUAGCUUAAGGAUUGGAUGUACCAAAUUUUUUAAAGCAUGUUCCAAGGGUGCCAAAAUCCAUUCCAAGGUUGAGAACGACCUCCAAUCACUUUCUAAGAGUCUCCAAAUGAAUCAAUGGACCAUAGGAAAGGAGAUAGGUGUCCCGUUAGCUCAAGGAUUAGAUGUAACAAAUUUUUUUAAGGAUGUACCUAAGGUUCCAAAGUUCAUUUCGAAGUAAGGAGCAACCUCCAAUUACUUCCCAAAGAUCCUUAAAGGAAUAAACGAACCAUGGCUAAUAAGAUAGGGGUCUCGAUAAUUCAAGAAUUGGAUGUACCAAAAUUUUUUUAAGGAUGUACCAAAUUCUGUGAAGGAUGUACCAAAUUUUGUAAAGGAUGUACCAAAGGUGUCAAAGUCUAUUCUGGUAAGGGGAACAACCACCAUUCACUUUUCGAGGGUCGGUCUCUAAAGGAUAAAUAGACCAUGGGAAGUGAUAUAGGUGUCCCUUUAGCUUAAAGAUUGGAUGUACCAAAUUUUCUUAAAGAUGUACCUGGGGUUUAAAAGUCCAUUUCAGAGUAGGGAUCAACCUCCAAUCACUUCCCAAAGAUCCCUAAAGGAAUAAAUAGAUCAUGGGUAAUAAGAUAGCGAUCCUUAUAGCUCAAGGCUUGGAUGUACCAAAUUUUUUUAAGGAUGUACCAAAUUUUGUAAAGGAUGUAUCAAGGGUGCCAAAGUCCAUUCUGAGGUCAGGAACAACCUCCAAUCACUUCCCGAGGUCUCCAAAUGAAUAAAUGACCUCCAUUUGUUCUAAGGUAGGAAAUGACAUAUAAUGACUUCCUAAGAGUUCCUAAGGGAACAAAUGGACCAUGGGAAGGGAGAUAAGGGUCCCAAUAGCCCAAGGAUUGGAUGUACCGAAUUUUCUUAAGGAUGUACCUAGGGUUCCAAAGUCUAUUUACAGGUGGGGAAUGGCCUCCAAUAACUUCUCAAUGGUCCUCAAAUGAUGAAAUGGCAUAAGGGUCCUAAUAGCCUGAUGAUUGGAUAUACUAAUUUUUCUUAUGGAUGUAAUUAGGGUUCCAAUGUUAGUUUCAAGGUGGGGAAUGACCUUUAAUCACUUCCUGAUGAUUAGAUAUACCAAAAUUUAUUAAAGAUGUAUCUAAGGUUCAAAAGUCUGUUUUGGGGUGAGAAAUAACCUCCAAUUACUUCCUAUUGGUCCCUCAAUGAGCAAAAUGACCUUGGGAAGAGAGAUAGGGGUAUAAUUAGCCGGAGGAUUGGAUGUACUAAAUUUAUAUAAGGAUAUAUCUAGGGUUCCAAAGUCUAUUCUAAGGUAGGGAACGACUUGCAAUCACUUUCUAAGGGUCCUCAAAAGAUCAAAUGGACCAUGGGAAUGGAUAUAUGGGUCCUGGUAGCCCAAGGAUUGGAUGUACCAAAUUUUCUUAUGGUUAUACGUAGGAUUCCAAACUCCAUUCCGAGAUGGGAAACAACCUCCAAUCCUUUCCUAAAGGUCUCCAAAAGAAUAUAUGGACCAUGAGAAGAGAGAUAGGGGUUUUGAUUUCCCUAGGAUUGGAUGUACCUAUUUUUGUUAAGGAUGUACCUAGGGUUUCAACAUUCGUUUUGGGAUAAGGAAGGACCUCCAAUCACUUAUCGAAGGUUCCCAAAGGAAUAUAUAGACCGUGAUAAAGGAGAUAGGGAUCCUUGUUCCCUUAGGAAUGGAUGCACCUAUUUUUCUUAUGGAUGUAUCUAUUUUUUUAUGAAAUUAAUAUAAAAGGUUAACUACAAUUUUUUUUUAAUGAAAAAUUAUAUUUUCUUUUAAUUAAAAAUUAAAGAUUUUAAUGAAACAAAAAAUUAGAUCCAUGAUCAAGUUAAAACCAUAAGAAAAAAAGAUAAAAGAAUCAUCACUUACUAUGAUUUUGAUAUGAUAAAUUUAAAAUAAAAAAUAUAUAUAUAUAUAAUAUAAACAAUAAAAUAGUAUUACAAAUAUAUUUUUACUUUGAUGUGUGAUAUGGUUUAUAAAAUAUAUAAAUCUUUUAUUUAGCAUUAAUAUAACAAAUCUUAUAUCAUAAACCUAUAAAUAAUAAAAUAUAUUUUUUAAAUUUAAUCCUUGAUUUAUUAAAAGUAUUACUAUAAUUAAUAUUUAAAAUCAUCAAGUAUAUUAUUUGUGGAAUAAUAUUUUCAUUUUUGGCCAUUAUAUAUUUAUGUUUUUAUAUAACUUGUUAUAUUAACUAUUUAUUAUAUAUUAUUAUUUUAAAGUUAAUAUGUCCAAAAAAUAAUUAAAAUCAAUAAAUAUGGAGAUAUUAGAGAGUUAAAAAAAUAUAAAAUUGAAGAAGUUUUAUGCGAUAAUACAAAGAAAAAAAUAGUUAUUGGUGUACUUGACAACAACAUUUAAUGUGGUAAGUGUACUUGCCCUCAACUUUUGAGGGUAAUUUUGGAACAAAUUCAAAAGCACUAUUGGAGUGCAUGAAUUGGUAUAAAAAAAAUUCCAUUUUACAUUAAAAUUGAAAUAGUAAAACCACAGUUUUAAAAACCAUAUUUUUUAAUUGGUGAUGUACCAAAGCAUGAUUAUCCCAAUUUUAAAUAAUACAAAAAUCAUAAAUUUUAAAUUUUAAUUUUAAUCUUCUUUUAAAAAUUUGUAAAUUUUAAUGUUUAAUUUUUUAAUUUUUUAAUUUAUAAAUUUUAAAUAAUAUAAAACUCAUGGCAUGUUGAAGUGCAUUAAAUGCAUUGUAGUAGCAUAUUGUAUUUUUGUAGCAUAUAUGACAUAGAUGGAAUUGUGUGGAGUGUUUUUUGGGAAAAAAAGAUGAAAAAAAAAAAAUUCUCAAACCCUCACCUAGUUAAGCACCAUUGCAAGUUUGAAAAAAAAAAACCCAAUUUUUAAAAAGAGAGAAAACCACCAUCGCAAACAAUGGCUCACCACAUUUGUACCUGAUGCCAUAUCCUCUUCAACCUUUCAUCAUUUUCACCACCAACCCAUCUACCUUCUUGAAAAGUCAUUUUCCAACUACCAAUCAUACCCACCAUUCUCCAUAACACAUUUGUAUCUAAUAAUAAUUGUGAAAAUGACCAAUUUGAUUAAGCAAAUCACUAAAGGGGGGGAGGGGGGAAUGUGGGAAGAGAUGAAUUAGGUGUUAUAUUUUUUAUUUUAUUUUUUCAAAAGCAACCAAUUAAUAACAAAAAGAAUAAGAGAUAUUAAUUAAGGCAAUAAUUAAGUAAAAGAUAAAGAGAAGAUAUAUGCAAACUCUUUUAUUGUGGUUCAAAACUCCACCUAUAUCCAUUCUUUUUAACCUCCUAAGUAAGUGAGGAUUCCACUAUCAAAGACCUUCAACCUAAGCCUUCAAGCUUUAUAUUUGGAUUCAUGGUCUUCAAUGGGCACUCACAAUCCUUUCAAAUACUUCACCCACUUGAAGUCUCUUCACUCAAAAUGAGUAAAUAAGGAAAGUUCUAAUGCUUUCUAUUAGGACAUUGAGUCUUAUUUAUAUGUUGGCAAUUUUGUUUACUUUAUGUUUCAUCAUAGAAGUCUUUUUAGAUAAUGGCUUGCUCCCCAUUGAAGAUCAAGGGUGGUUGUUCGUCCAACCAAGAAGUCAUACGUAUAUUUAAAAAGGUUUGACUUGUUGCAUAUAAGGCUUCUUUAAGGUAUAAAAGGUUUAGUAUCAUUUUUGGACUUAAAAUGUUUUAAAAUGAUUUUUUAAAAGAAGUAGGGGCUGCUCAAGUGGAAAGGACCGAUCAACCAGUUAGACUACUCAAGUGGUAAGGAUGACUCAAGUAGUCUAAGUCUACUCAAGCAAUCAUAACAGUCCUUUCGAGUUUAGACACAAAUUUUGGAUGAAUUUCACUUGAACUCUAGUUUGAAAACUUAAGUUACUGAAACUCUUUGGAUUAUAAAUACUUUCUUAAUAACCCCUUAAGGGUUAGGGAUCGAAGAUUGAAGAGAUCUUAGAGAUUAAAAACCUUUCAUUCUUAAAAAGAGGGACUCCUUGAUAGAAAGCUUAAAUUGCUAUAUAAUUCAUGAUUUCUCAUUCAAGGAUUUGAAUCUUUAAAUUGUGGGUUGAAGACCAUAAUCCCUUCGAAGUGGCAAAAAGAUCUACUAGGGAGCAACAGGAAGUUGCUACGUCACAAACGUGGAUUAAGUUGUAGGUGUUGAAGAGUAAGUCUUUAGGAUAAAGCAGCCAAGUAAAUUUGUGUAACUUGAUUUUGAAUAGUGGAUUUAGAUUGGUAGGUCUUAGACCUUGUGGGUUUUUUUCUCCAAAGUUUGUGGGGGUUUUUCACAUACAAAUCUUAUGCCUCAUUAUCUAUAUCUUUUAUAUUUGAUAUUAUGUUUGUAGGGUUUUCAUAAAAGGUGCAUAUUUGUAGACCCCUCAUUUUGUCCUCCUAACACAUCUGAUACUUUAUGUUUUCCUAAGCUUCUCUCUUACCCUAUGGUUGUCCCUUAGAGACCCAUUAAAACUCAUAUGAAUUUUUUUCCCUAAGCUACCUUUUGGGACACUUUGUUGAGGGGCUCAUUUGGACUCACAAUGUGACUUUGACAACUUCUCAAGUUAGUUUUUAGGUUAGACUUCACUUAGAUUUUUUUUCCAAGAUAGGGUCACUUAGAUCUUUUUUAUACUAGGAUCACUUGGACACUUCACUUAGGUUGGUUUUCUUGAGUUUGAUUUCUAGGUUUUAGGUUUAGGUGAGUUCUUGACUUGAUUUCAAUAUUUGAAUGCAUGGGGUGAGUAUCAAUCUUUAGUUAUGUGAGUUCAAUGCAUUGAUUUUCUUAUUAUCUAUUACAUUAAGAUUAAUAUUUGGAUUUUGAUUGCAUGCGUUAAAUUUCUUUUAUUUAUUUUUUAUUUAUUUAUUUAUUUUAGAAAAUUUAUGUGAGACUAAUGUUAUGACUUUUAAUUGCUUGAAUUGAUGCUUGAUCUUAAAUAUGCAUACAAUUGACCUUUAAUUUUUAAUUGCAUAAUUUUAAUUUGCUUUAAUUUUCAAUUUCAUAACUUUUACUAAUUUUAAACUUUAUUUUAAUUUUGCAUGAGAUUUGAAUGUAUACUUUGGAGAAGAUCCCUUAGCGUACACGACUGCCCCAAUAAUAGGAUGGAGAUCAAGAAACUUAGGAGAUUCUUUUUUAGUUCAAGUGAUACAACCUACAACCUACAUGUGAACAACAUGCACCCAUUGACCUUCUACAAAAUGCACAGUCUACACAAAAGGAGACAUUUAUGCAACAUAGAUACAGGUUUCUUUUCUAAAAAAAAGUGUAGGCUGCCAUAUGAUAGGGCUUUAAACUAUUAAAGGAAAGUUAUUCAUGAUUAUUUAUUUUUUAUUUUAAAAAAGAAACUUAUAGCACACAUAGGAUGCAAGGGGCCACUUUCUAAAAAGAAAAGGGAUUCUUUCUUUUGGAUGAGGAUGUAGCAUAAAAAGUGAGGACCACUUUGAGAAUGGAGUCCGGUUUGGAGAAGAAAAAAAAAAAAAGACCACACGGUUCCAUGGAGAGGGGAGGGCAUAGUCUACCAUUGAAGGAGAGUUGACAGCCAUGUGUUCCUUGAGAAGGGGGUUCGCUCCCCACAACACACAUUUCAUCCUAAGGAGAGGAGGAUCUUCACACGUUGUCGAUUAGGGAGAAUACAAAUGCACAUGGAGGAUCACUUAUAGCCAUGAAUAAUAGCAGCUCAUCCAUAGCCCCACACACAACCAUGCAUAUUGGAGAAGAACUAGAAAGUUGUCACUUCAAGAUUUACCAUAGGUGCACACAUCAUUUGGAGAAGGUAAGUUAGGUUUUUUUUUUUUUUUCAAUUCUUAAUUUUCAGUUUGCAAGUUAGUUUUCUUUGUAUUUGUUUUGAUUCCACUAGAUUGAAAGUGGGAAUUAUUAAUCUUAGUUAGUUUUAUUAAUCUUAGUUUUGAGUCAUCCUAUAUAGUUUAGACACUUUCAUAAGUUUAGGUUCAUUAAUAAAAUUAAUUUUAUGCUUGAAAGUUCAUGUUUUUAGUUUGCUUUGACUUAGUCUAGCUCAUUUUAAUUAGUUUAAGUACUUUUAUAAUUUUAGUUAUUCUAUGUUUGAAAGUUCAUGUUUUUAGUUUACUUUAAUUUAGUCAAACUCAUUUUAAUUAAUUUAGGUACUUCUAUAAUUUUAGUUUCUUAGCUGAAUUUAUCCCAUUUUUUUUUAGUUUUUAUUUUAAAAUCAUUAAUGUUAGUUCCUAAUCAUCCUUAUCUUAAUUUAUAUGUUUUUAAGAUCCUAGUAGUUAGUUCAUGAAUCGAUAUCUUGUUAGUUUGUCUAAUAUAAAAUGCUUUGCUUGUUGCUUUACUGAUCCUUCAUUUAAUUUGAUUGUUUUUUAGGCCCUUGGAAACUCAUGAUGAUUGGCCUCUACUCUCACCUAGUUUAGGUUGCUAUAAAUUAUCACUUUCUAAUGUUAUUUUCUCUUUUAAAAAGAAAGUCUUUUCCCAAAAUUUUAUUUAUUAAAAUGGAUUUAAAAAACUUCUUCUAUAAUCCUUAGGGUUAAAAAAAAAAAAUCAUUUUCUUAAAAACUAUACAACCAUGUUUUAAUAUAUUUACACCUUUCUUUUAUUUUCAAUAAAAAUUGUGAUUUUUAGUGAAAUAUGAAUCCAAGCUUGUGGUCCCAAACGAAUGGGACAAUUCUUGGCUUUGAUGAGUUUGUCAAUUCUCAUGCAAGGUUGGGAAUCCAUAACCUAAAUUUGUGUAUAACAAAUGAGGAUUUGGUGACUAACCCCUUCAUAAAAUUAUUUUUCAAAAACCUUUUAUUGUUAACUUGUUGGAUUUGUUGCAUCUUUGGAAUAAAAUUUUGAUUUGGAUAAUUUAUGAUAUUCCUAAAAAUUUUCUUGUGGUUGAUGAUAUUAUGAACUUCAUUAACCUCAUUUUAGAAGUUUGAUUGAAUCAAAAAUCAUAUUUUUAAUGGAAAUUAUGAAUUAAUCUUUUGGUAGGUUCAGUUUUUUCCCAAUUCUGGAUACCCAAAUUGUUUUUUGUAUUUUCAAAUUGCUAAAUGACUUUGAAAAAUUAUUUUGACUUUUCUUCCUUCAUUCUAGACUUCUUGAAAUUUAUUUUAUACACAUAAAUAUUUAAAAAAUGUUUUGAUAAUUAGGAAAAAUAUAUUUUCUUUGUUCUACCCACUGUUGGCAUCUUAGAUCUAAGCAACAGAAGCAAUACCAUUUUUUUAAAAAUUAAUAUUUUAGGGUUAAAGAACUAACCUUUAGGUUUUGAGGUUCCCAAACCUUAAAUUCCAAGUGUUGAAGACGAUCCUGAAGUUGUUAGAAGUCUUGUAAACCUAUGAUCUUUCGCCCAAUGACUUAACCUUGUUCUUGGAAAACAAUGAGAAGGAAAGGCGGGUGGAGGCUAUGACUCUCUUUCUCUUUGAAUGGUGAGAGGCAAAAGCUAUAGAAACCUUAAUCCAUAUAGGGUAUUUAUAGGGAACCUAACUAGGCUUAAGUGACUUGAGCCUAUAUGGUCGGGCUUAGGUCACUUAAUCUAUCCCAAAAUGGGUCCUAAUUGAUUAAUUAACCUAAUAGGGCUUACUAAUUAAUAAAUUAGCCCAAUCCAAAGACCUUAUUCACUUACCCUUAUGCAACCUUGAAAAAUUACCAAAACACCCUUAUGCACAAAAGUGAACCUAGAGCUAAUCUGACCCUCAUAAUGCAUUCUAACAAGGUAUAUGAGCUCAGAGUGAGGAUCACUAGGAUCCAUAUAAGUAUUGGCUCCCUCAUAAUCAAAUUUUGAAUUUGAUUCAACAUCCCACUAUAAAAAAUCAACUAAACUCCAGUAUCCUAUGUAAAUAAUAACAAGACACUAAGUGCUCAGGUUCAUGACCUAUUAUCCACUACAUGCAGACUCUCCAUGAACUGGUGUCUGUAAUUUAACAAGGUAGUAUUAUUACCUUUCAAGAUUACCUCUUAAAUCCUUGAGUUAUAGAUCCCACUUAUUAUGUGAUCAAUUGACAUACUCUUACUCUAAAGAUAAUAUGUCAAAUUCCACUAAAGGAAUUAUUAUGGCCACAUAUUUCAUGAUCAUAUUUCUUUCGAUCACCCAAAGGAACACAUUGUCUCAAUCCCAUGAGAUAUCAUGGUGCCUAUAUUGUGAAUUCCUAUUACCAUCAACCUUUAUCAAUAAUGACCCAAUCCAUAUGGAUAUAUAACCACUUUAGGGUCUCACCCAAAUGUUAAACCCUCCUAUUUAUUUUGGAAUAUACUGAAUAUCCUUUUAAGGUUAAAAGUCCAUGCAGUAUGGUAACUUGGUAAAUCAUGAUAAUCGAUAACCUUGUGUCAUGAUUGACUGUAGGCCUUGUCUAAUAUUCAUCACAUACACUAGUGCACUCACCAUAGGAAAUCCAUCCAGAUGGCCAAGACAAGUCACCCCUCCAAUUAGGAGGUGAUGCACUAGAGUCUCUACUAGAUUGCCCAAAUCCAUGAACCAGCGGUGGACAACUUAUCUACUUGCAAGGAACCCAUGACUUGUAUCUUUUGUGCAACUGCUAAUGCACCCAAGUCAUGUACAAUGUAAGAGACAUGGACUAAAUGCUCAAAUCAUUGUUAGUACACUAAAAGGAUAGCAAAGGGAUGGUUAAGUCUAACUUUGUUACAUCAUAUCUUGCUUUCAAAGGCUCAAUCCUAACAAACUCCCACUAGCCCUAAAAGCAAACUAGGCAUCAUAGAAAAAUUUUUGUUCCAUGUCUCAUCACAUCUUUAUACUAUCUCAUUAUAAAGUAACACUUCUUAUUUAUGUGUUUCCUCUUCUGGUGAUACUUCAAUUCUUUAGACCAUGCCAUUGUCCCGUUGUUAUCACAUAACAGGAUCUUAGAUGAUAUAGCCAAGGGAAAUACCAAUAAGCCAAAAGGCUUUCUUUGUUGCUAUAAAAACAACAAAAAAGAAAAACCCCACUUCGAGUGUACACAUACCUAGAGGUAGACUUAUAAGAGUCCUUAUCAGACCGAAGUCCAAUUUCCUAGUAUGAAAUGAGUACUAACUCAUCGCAAAGGAUCACAACAUAUAAUUCCUUAUUUUCCAAAGAUACUAGAGUAUAUGUUUGACAUCUGGCCAAAGCUCUAAUAAGGAAAUGGACUAAUAUCCACUCAUUAUUCAUACAACAAAGCAAAUAUCUGGUCUAUCACAUAACAUCGCAUAUUUAAGGCAAUUCAUUAUAGAGGCAUUGGAUAUCGCCUUAAUGUGAUCUCUCUCCAUAGAUGUCUAAGGUCAUUGAUCAUAAGAAAGACAAGUCUAAAACUAAAUAGUAACAAACCUUCUUAGAGUUUUGCAUCAUAUACUUGACCAAAUGCUCAUCCAUGUAGGUGACAUGGUGCAAUUCUCCUAUUCUUGUAAUCCUGAAGGAUCAUAACCCGAAGAAUAUAUUGCAUCUUCCUCUAGAUUUUCAUCCAGAAUUGAGUAGACUAUUAGUUCUUGACUGAUGACAAUAUCCCUACAUCAUAUCUAAUGAGUAGAUUUUCAUCUACCUGUAAGAUCUUUGAGCAUCACUAUGCUUUCUUGUGUCUUUUUAUACACACAAGGCUAUUUGCUAUGAAAAUGUUUGGUUGUUAUGUCUUACAAAUGAGACACACUGCAAUAGAUAGUAGUAAUAUGAUGGAUUUGAGUAUGAUCACUAUUGAAAAGGUUUUCCAUAGUUGAAACAAAUUUCAAAAUGAAUCGCAAUUCGGAGUUGAAAUGAGGGAGUUGUAGUCGAUUGAAACUAGGUUGCACAAUGAGCAUGGAAGCACAAUGAUGUUGACUUCAACUCAAAAUUGGGGCUACCUCCCAUGAGCUUUUUGAGGCAAACCACAUAUGGUUUUGAAGCUUAAGAAGUCAGAAAUCCAAUACUUCAAACGGAUUUCAAUUUGGAGUUGAAGAAACAAGGGAGAUUUGGUUGAUUGAAGCUAAGUUGCACAAAGGGCAUGUAAUUACGAGAUGGAGUUCAAGCCAAAUUAUUUUUGGUUGUUUGGGCUCAUUUUUUGGGCCUCUUUUUGGGCUCUUUUAGUGGCAAUUAGGCCCGUUGGGUUUUUCUUUUUUUACUAACCCUAUUUUUGGUUGCAGGGCUAUUUUGAUAAUUUGGAUUCUAUCCAAGUUUUAGAUACCAAUUUUGCAACAAGAUCCCUAAGGCCAUGAGAAUUAUUUAUUUAAUUUUCUUUCAUGUCUUUUAUACUUUUUUUUUUAGAUAAUUUAUUAAAUUGGAAUGUGCUAGGACUUAGGAAAUUUUUAUUUUAGGUAAAGACAAGUUGGAAAUAAAUAAGGAACCUACUUCAUUUUCAAAAUUAAACUUUUAGAGAUUUUUUUUUAAAUAAAUCUUUUUAGAUUUUAGAUCUCUAAGAAUCUUUUUAUUUUAAGGAAGAAGUUUUUUUUUUUUUUUUCAGGUUUUUUUGAAAUAAAAUUAUUUCUAUUUAGCACAAGAUUCUAAAAUAAAGAAAUAAAUUAUUUUUGGAAAAAUAUAUGAUAGAUAAUUCAUGAUUAAGAUAGCUUACCAAGAUAUUGUUUCAAAUAAAAUAAAUUAAAAUGGUAAUUUUGGAUUUUCUUAAAAGAAUAAAUUUUCAUGAGUUUUAUUUCCAUUAUUAUUUAGUUAACAAAUUGGUUGUUGUCAUUUGGAAUUUCAAAUUCCUUUUGGGACUUUUUUUUUUGGGUUAGAUAGUUUUCUAAGCUCUCUCUCUCUCUCUCUCUCUCUCUCUCUCUCCUCCCCCCCCUUCCCCCUCUCCCCUAGAGAGAAGGAGAAUGACACGUACAUUGGUCCUCCAGGCUUUUCCUCCUUGAGAGAAAGAGAAAAUCGUUUAGUUUGAAAAUGAAAGUUCAAGGAUAAGGAAUAUGAAAGAUAUCCUUAAUUGGCAUAGGAGUCCCAAUUCAAGUAAUAAAUAAAAGUUUUGGAAAUUUUCAUGAUAGAUAAUUUAUUUUAAGAUGGAUUAUUUUAAAAUUAUCUUAAAGUCUCUCUUCCAAAAUAUUAAGUGGGAGCGGGCCAUAGGCAAGAGCCCAUCUUGAUUUCCAUCCUAAAGAUGGGGUGGCCCAAGGAAUCAAGGGAUAUGGACUAUCCUUUAUGGACAAGACUAUAUAUGUUUAUAGUAAGAGUGGCCAAUCCUAAAGAUAGAACUCUUCACUUCGUAACAUUGAUGUUAAGGAUCUUGAUUACUCAUUUAACUUAGAAAUGAAGUGGUAGAAUCACCUAAAGUGGUCCCACUUGCAUGGGCUAAGGGCUCAACAUAAAGGUAUGUUGAUCAAUGCCUUAGGAUAACCUUUGGAAGUUUAAGGCAGGUUGAUUAAUUAGAGAGGGUCUCUACCUAGUAAUAAGAGUCAUAACCUGCCUAAAGUAAGCUUGAUUCUUAUGAUACUAGGUUACCUUGCAUAGAUACAUAUAGUUUGAGAGCACUACAGUUUUGCUAAAUUAAUUACCAAUUUGCCUUAAAUGCUCAAUUCCUUUUAUUAAUGCAUGGAAUUAUUAUUUUUAUUAUGGAUAUCAUGUCUUUAAUCUAUCACAUUUUAUCUUUUGUUUAAAUUGGACCUAAUUUUAAAUUAGAAAUAAUCUGGAUAUAGUAUUAGUUGCAUAGAAGCUGUUUUUGGUAGAGUUUGUUAUUUCCUUUGAACAAACCUAUCAUCAAGUAAGAGAAACAUAUCAAAGGUGGCAUAAGACGGAUCAAAAGACUAAGUCUCUCAUACUUGGGUCUUUAGAUAAUGUGUUGCAAAAGAAACACAUGUCUAUUGUCGUAGUCUAUGAUAUUCUCUUCAAAGUUGCAAAGGUUAUUUGGUGAUAAGGGCAAGUCAACUAAACAACUUGCCCUUAAGACUAUUAUGAACACUAGGAUUCAUGUUAUCUUAGAGAUCUUACUAGAUUCUUUUGGGAUGGGUAAGAAGAUUCUCAAAGAGUGGAAGGGUGUUCAUAUGGAAGUCAAGGUUCUUCAAGCUCUUCUAACACUAUCUCAAGCUACCUACAUAGAUAAGAUUUUGGUCAAGUGUGUGAUGUGGGAUUCCAAGAAAGGUUUGUUACCUUUUAAGCAUAGAAUUCCCCUUUCUCUAAAUCAGUGUGUGCUAAAACACUUGAGAAGAAUGAGUGCAUGUAGUUAAUACUUUAUGCCUCUGUAGUGGGUAGUCUUAUGUAUUUGAUGCUAUGUACUAGGCCAAAUAUUUUUUUUGCAGUGGGUAUGGUGAGUAGAUAUCAGUCUAAUCUAGUUGCAAAACAUUGGACAACAGUCAAGCAUUUACUCAAGUACCUUAGGAGAAUGAGAGAUUGUGUUUGUGCUCCAAAGUGUUGAGAUAGUUUAAAGGGUGACAUGAUGGUUGACAAGAUACCUUUUGUGAAGAACCUAGUGGAUCUCUUCACCAAGACAUUGUCAGGGAGAGUCUUUGAUGGUCACAAGGAUAACACAGGUUUCAAAUGAGUGUCUAACAUGCUUUAUAGGCAUGAUGUUUUGAGGGCUAGUGGGAGAAUGUUAGGAUAUAGCCCUUAAAAGCAUGGCAUGAUGUAAUAAAUUUGGAAUUCAUUAUUUAUUUAACGAUGUUCCAGUUUCACUUUUAUCGAUCCUUAUUCCAUGUAUUAUACUUUAUGAGCAUUCUUGCCUACAUCUUUUGCAUUGUAUGUGACUUAGGUACAUUAGGAGCUUCAUAGAAGAUCUAAGUCAUGGGUUCCUUACAAGUAGAUGACUUGUUCACAACUGGUUCAUGGGUCUAAGCAACCCAUUAGAAGGGCACCACCUCCUAAUUGGAGGGAUUAGACUAGUCUUGGCUAUCGGGAUGGUUUUUCCAUGGUGAGUGCAUUAGUGUGUAUGGUUACAUAUUGGACAAGACCUAUAGUGAGUCACGACUUAAGGCUAUCAANNNNNNNNNNNNNNNNNNNNNNNNNNNNNNNNNNNNNNNNNNNNNNNNNNNNNNNNNNNNNNNNNNNNNNNNNNNNNNNNNNNNNNNNNNNNNNNNNNNNAUAUUGGACAAGACCUAUAGUGAGUCACGACUUAAGGCUAUCAAGUAGUCAUGACCUCACCAAGCUGCUUCAUUAUGUUGUCUCUCAACCUUGAGAGAAUAUUAAGCUUGUGCUAAAGUUAGUAAUGACUUUGAUCUACGGGUAAGAACAUAAGCUGAUCAUAUAUUCCCUAUGGAUUAGGUCACUACUGAUGGAAGCCGGUAGCAAUAGGUAUUCUCAAUAGAGGCACCAUGAUAUCUUUUAGGAUCGAGACAGUGUGUCCCCUUUGGUUAUCAUAAGGAGGUGUGUUCAUGGAAACUAUGGUCAUAGUAGUUCCUUAAGUAAAACUUGACAUAAACUCUUUGAGAGUUAAGAUAUGUAAAUUGAACAUACAAUGGGAGGAUCCGUAACUUAAGGAUGGUAAAGGUCUUGAAAGGCUAAUAGAUUUCACCUAGUUAGACUAUGGACACCAGCUCAUAGGAAGACUGAACACAAUGGAUAGCAAAUCAUAGACCCAAGCACUUGGUGUCUCAUUGUUAUUUACAUAGGAUACUGGAGUUCAGUUGAUUCUCUAUAGUAGGAUGUUGAAUCAACUUUAGAAUUAGAUUCUAAGGGAGCUAGUAUUCCUAUGGGUCCCAAUGGUCCCCGCUCUGAGCUCAUUUACCUUGUUGGCAUGGGUUAUGAGGGUCAGAUUGGCUCUAGGUUCACUUUUGUGCAUAAGGACGUUUUGGUAAUUAAGUAAAGUUGUAUAGGGAUAAGUGAACAAGGUCUCUAGAUUGGGUUAAUUGUUUAAUUAGUAGGCCCUAUUGGGUUAAUUAAUCAAUUAGGACCCAUUUUGGGCUAGAUUUAGUUACCCAAGUGCAUGUGGGCUCAAGUAAGUUAAGCCCACUUAGGAACCCUAUAAAUACCCUCUAGGGGCUAGGGUUUCCAUAACUUUUUGUCUUCCAUCAUCUAGAGAGAUAGAGAGUCAUAACCUUCACCCUCUUUUCCUCUCCAUCGAAAGUGUGUGAAGAUCAAGGUUCGAGUCAUCGGGCAAAAUAUCGUAGGUUUAGAGCAGGUUGUGUAUGAUAUUUGAUUACUCACCAAAAUUUAAAUAAACCAAAUGCCUGAAGAAUUCUAAUAAUUGUGAAAAUUUCUCACAGCUCAGCUUCAAUCAGGCUGUGUACCAUAGAAGAUGAGUUUCUUAGAAUCUCUUGAAUUUUCUAAUUCAAAAUACAAGUUUGACUUUGAGAAUUGACCAAGAAAUUAAUCAAACACAGUAUUUUAGAACAAAUUUAAAAUAUAUGUAGAAUAUUUUUAAAAUUUUGACCUCGCAUAUAUACAGUACCUUUAUCAAGAUUAGUCAAUAUAUGUAGAAAAGUCAGCGCUAUAUAAUCAUAAUCCAUCAAAGAUACACUAUUUGCUACUGUGGGCGUACCGGCCAUUAGUAAUGGGCCAAAAUGUUCUCCAUGAUUAAAAAUAAAAUACAAUCAUGGCAUAAAAAUCUUGACCCUCAUUUUCAAGAGGUGACUUUCUCCAAGAAAGAAUUAUUUUCCUUUUUAUUUUCUCAUGGGGAGAAAGUUGGAGAUUCACAUUGUUUAUAUUUUUAUAAUAGUUUUAGAGUAGUUUUAAAGCUUCCAAAAAUUUCUCCCUUAUUUUUAUUUAGUAGGUUGGCUCAGUCCACUUGGUACCCAAAAACAAACCCAAUAAAUAAUUAUUUAUUGAAUUUGGUCAAUCCCAAUGUUUUCAAAACCGAAUUAGACAUUGAAUUAGAAAAAUUAUCGAUUCAUAGUUCACUGGUCAGACUAGUGACCGAACUGGUGACAUCAUAAAUACAUAAUUUAUAUUUUAUUAAAAUUAAAAAUAAUUUUAAAAUAUAUAUAUAAUUAAAAAUUAAUAAUAUUUGUAAUAUUAUUUAUUCAUUUUAUAUAAAUUUAUUAAUAUUUUAAAUUUAUUAAUAUAUGUAUAUAUAUAUAUAUAUAUAUAGAAUAUUUAAAUAUGAAAAUAUAUUGAAAAUGGGUAUAUAUAUAUAUAGGUAGUCUUUGAGUCAACAUGCAUAACAAGAUUGGACAUCAAUUAAUUCAUUUAAUAAUUAUGUUGAUUAGUUUAAUUAUACUUUUUAAAAUAUUUAACUCAUAUUUAACACAUUUUUAAUUUGAUUUUAAAUAAAUAGGUUAAUUGAGUUAUAAAUAUAUUAAUCAUAUAAAUUAACACAAGACCUAACUCAACCUAAUUAUUAAAUGGGACAAAUGAGUUAUACGAUAUGUUACUUGUUUAGUAAUUAUGUAGUAUUUUAGGUUUACGUUUUUAAUCAAAUUAUUAUUCGUGUCAAGUUUGACAUAACACACAUAUGACCCACCAACACAAAUUGUAACCCCUAAGCUUGUUCACUCAAAAAGUAAAUUUAUACUAAUAUUUAAUUACCUAGUUUAAACUAGUAGGAAUAUUUUUAAAUUAUUGCUUAGUUUUUUUAAAAUUUUUAAUAUUGACAUAUGUAUAUAGUUUCUCUAAAGACAUUUCAUUGAUGUAGAAUUCCAAAUAUAAUUUGUCUAUAUAAAGAUAUCAUAUAUUUUUAAUAAAUAUAUAUUGUAAGUUAAAUAUUAUAUUGUAUAAUAUGUUGUACUAUAUGCAUAAGUAAUACAUUACUAUUUUACAAAAUAAAAAAUACACUAUAUAAUAGUAAUAUAUUAUAUACAUAAAAAGUUUUUGUGUGUAAAGUAUCCAACCACAUUUUAAUUAAUAAUUGAUUAUUUUAUUUUUAAAUAAUCUAAUUAUGUAUUUAUUAUUUUUAAUUAUUAAUAACUAAUUUUUCAAAAGUGAUUUGUUAUUAAGAAUAAAAUCAUAAAUUAUGCCAUAAAAGUAGUAAUUGUUGUACAUACUAAUUUGUUAAGGAUUAUUAUUAUUAUUAUUAUUAUUUUACUUGCAUACAUUGUUUAAUAAAAUAUUUAUUUUAAGUUUUAAAUUCCUUACUUUAAAUUUUCAAUUUUAUUUUUAGUCUAAUUUUUAAUCUAUAAAUUCUAAUUUUUAAUUUUUAAAAUUUUAAUUCCUAAAUUUUAAAGGGGAAAUCAUGUAACCAUACAUCACCAAUAAAAUAAAUAAAUGAGAUUUUUAGAACUUUGCUUUUACCUUUUUAAUUUUAAUGUAAGAUGAGAAAAAAUAUUGCCUAUUCAUGUAUUUCAAUAGUGCUUUCAGAUUUGUUUCAUAAUUACUCUUGAAAGUAAAUGACAAAACACACAUCACUUUAAUACCACCUAUUGACAAGUACAUGAAUAAUUUAUUUUUCUUAUUUCUCUCACAUCAACUCUCUCACAUGUCUCACUUACCACUUGCCACAUUUCCACUUUUUUCUUUUUUCUUUCUUUCUUUUUUUCCCCCUCUUUUACCACCAUAAUCCUUAGUCACCUAUUAUAUUUUUCACUACUAUUUUUUUUCCUUUGAUAUUCUUUUUAAUAAGCUCAUAUAUUUUGUCAUAAAACUUCUUUAAUUUUAAUUUUUUUCACUCUCUAAUUUCUCUAUAUUUAUUUAUUACAAUUAUAAUUUUUUGGACAUAUUAUACUUAAAAUGAUAAUGUAUAAUAAAUAGUUAAUAUAACAAAUAAAAUAAAAUAUAUGUAUAAUGGAAAAAAAUGAAAAUAUUAUCCCACAAAUAAUGUACUUGAUGAUUUUAAAUAUUAAUUAUAUGAAUAUAUUUAAUAAAUUAAGGUUUAAAUUUAAAUAUUUUAUUUUAUUAUUUAGAGGUUUAUGAUAUAAGAUUUUUUUAUAUUAAUGCUAAACAAAAGAUUUAUUUAUUUUGUAAAUUCUAUCACAUGUAAAAGUAAAAAUAUCUUUAUAAUACUAUUUUAUUAUUUAUAUUAUUUUUAAAAUUUUUAUUUUAAAUUUAUCACAUCAAAAUCAGAAUAAGUUAUUGUGCUUUUAUCUCUUUUCUUAUGAUUUUAAUUUGAUUUUGGAUCUAACAUUUUGUUUGUUUAAAAUCUUUAAUUUUUAAUUAAAAUAAAAUAUAAAAGAAAAUAUAUUUUCAUAAAAAAAAUUGUGUUUAACCUUUCAUAUUAAUUUUAUAAAAAAUAAGUACAUCCAUAAGAAAAAUAGGUAAAUCCAUACCUAGGGGAAUCGAGACCCCUAUCAUCCUUGUCAUGGUCUAUAUAUUCCUUUGGGACCCUUGAUAAGUGAUUAGAGGUCCUUGCCUACCCCAGAAUGAACUUUGGAAUCCUAGGUACAUCCAUUCUUAAGAGAACCAAGACCCUUAUCUCAAUUCUCAUGGUUCAUAUAUUCCUUUAGGGAUCCUCGAGAAUGAAUUAUAGGUUGUUCUUCACCUUGGAUCAGACAUUAGAACCCAAGGUAUAUCCUAAAGAAAAUUUGGUACAUUUGAUCCUUGGGCUACCGAAACCCUUAUAUCCCUUCCCAUAGUCUAUUUGAUACUUUGGGGACUCUUGAGAAGUGAAUGGAGGUCGUUUCUAAUCUCGGAAUGGACUUUGAAACCUUAAGUACAUCCUUAAAAAAAUUUGUUACAUCAAAUUCUCAAGCUAUCGGGACCCUAUCUCCUUUCCCAAGGUCCAUUUGUUCAUUUAGGGAUCCUCGGGAAGUGAUUGGAGGCUAUUCCUCACCCCAAAAUGGACUUUUAAACCCUAAAUACAUCUUUAAGAAAAUUUGGUAUAUCUUAUCCUCUGGCUACCCCAUAUCGCUUCUUAUGGUCCAUUUGAUCAUUUAGAGACCAUUUAGAACUUCUUAUAUAAACAAAAAUAGAAUUAUAAAAUUCUUAUAAGAAAUAAAAUUUUUAUGACUUCUACAUGAAACCUUUUUUUUUUAAGUUAUAAGUUUUUUUAAAAAUAAUUAAAUAGGUAUAAAAACUUUUAUUUAACUCUUAAAAGUCAAUCCAAAUAAAAUUUAUAUAUAUAUAUAUAUAUAUAUAUAUAUAUAUUUGAAAAUCACUUUUAAAAAUCCAAAAAAUCACUUGAAAAUACUUUCCAAAACUUUUUUUAACUUACAUUUAAAAAAUAAAAAAUAAAAAAUGAUUAGUUUUUACUAGUUAUUUAAAUUUCAGGAAGCGAGAAAGAAUUUACUCUGAUGUAAAAAAAAUGAGAGAAAAGUAAUUAAAUCACUAAAAAAUAGACUUGGAGUUCCUUUGGUGUGCGGUUAGACUCAAUUUGUCCCCAUGCAAUGGAAAUGGACAAUAUUUUAUUUUUUUAUUUUUUUCCUUUUCCUUUAUGUUGGUGUAGUCUUGUGAUAUUGUUACUAAAAUAGGAGGUAAAAAUAUAAAUUAUACAUCCAUUAUUUUAAAUUUAGAAAAAAGUGCUUAUUUUAAUUUGAAAUAAAUAAAUAGAAAAAAAAACUGAUUUUAUCUCAAUUGUGUAAGACUUCAAAAAAAAUUUCUUAUUUGCAAAAUAUUUUGAGUUGUAAAAGUAAAAAUUAAACAAACCAUUUCAUGACCUUUUUCACAAGUAUCCAUUUAGAUCAUAGUCUAGUUUUAAAAUAUUUGAAUAAUCCAAUUACUCUAAACUAUAUCAUUUAUAAUUUUUUAAAUUAUUACUAUCAUACCUAACCUUGUAUGGAAUUGGAAUAAAAUAUGGAUAAGUAAAAGAUGUCAAAUGAAAGAUAAUUUCAAACUUUUCUAAUACAGCAUGAUAUUUUAUCAUGUUGAAUAAAAUUGGAAUGGACAAAAGUUGUCAAAUCAAGACUUCCAUGGCAAAUUCCACCAUUGCAUAUCUCAAAUAUUAUUCUACAACAUUAUCUUUGUAGACUUUUAACAAUCCAAGAAAUUGACAAAUUAUAUAAUAAUCCCAAACACAAUAUUCUACAACUUUACAAUAUUCUACAAUUUUUUGGAAUAAAAAAUAAAUAAUGAAAUCUACAACUUUAAAAUAUUCUACACUUUUUUUGAACAAAAAAAAAUAAAUAAUGAAAUCUUUGGCAUGUUAAUUCUUUGCAGCUUCAACAUGGUGGCAUGUCGGAUGGCGGAGGCAGCAUUUGAGCUUCUGGGUGUUUACAAUAUCUAUUGUUGUUAUUUAAAGGAAUCAUUGAAAUGAUUGCAUGAAAGAUUUAUUCCAUAGCCUAAAAUAAAUAUUGGCUUUAUAUAUAUAUAUGUGUGUGUGUGUGUGUGUGUGUGUGUGUGUGUUUGCUCAAAUGAUAGGCCGGUUUUAAGCCAUAAUAAUAAUAAUUGUAUUAUUGUAUUAUUGAAAUAAAAAGGUUAUUGUAUUAUUAUUUAUUUUUUUGAUUGAAUAGAAAAAAUCAAAAUAUUUGAUUUCUUUUUAUUCAACUAAAAGUAACUUGUUGAUAUACAAACACCCCAUCUCAGUGACUAUCAAACACGUACUCUUGUUAACANNNNNNNNNNNNNNNNNNNNNNNNNNNNNNNNNNNNNNNNNNNNNNNNNNNNNNNNNNNNNNNNNNNNNNNNNNNNNNNNNNNNNNNNNNNNNNNNNNNNUAAGCCAUAAUAAUAAUCAUUAUUUUACUUAUUAUUGAAAAAUAUAAGGUUGUUGAUAUCAACAAGUUACUUUUAGUUGAAUAGAAAAAAAAAUAUUUUAGCUUUUUUUAUUCAAUAAAAAAGCAAACAUAUCUAAAUUUAUAUAAUAAAAAUGCUUUAACUAGAAAUGAAUUUCAUAUGGACCACUAUCAAAUACCAUGCAUAGGGAGAAAUCCAGAUCCUCACUUGCUCUUUGAUUUUAAUGCAUUGAAUUUGAUGUUGCCUAAAACAAAUUAUAUUUCAUGUCCUGUAUUAUGAGUAGACAACCAUUCCUUAUGUUGGAUUUUAGAUAAAGAAUGGAUAUUGGAGAUUGGAGUUGUAAGAAAUUAGGAGAUCCUAAUUUUAAAUAUGUAACAAAGUUCUAUAAUCGCCUCAAUCCAUGUUUUAAAAAUUGUAUUUCUUUCUAAUAUUGGAGCAAACUUUUUCUUUGUUUCUUAUAAAUUUCAUUUGGGAAUGAUUUAAAAAUAAAUAAAUAAAAUCCCUUCUAAAUAUUAAAAAGUAACACUUUCUUAUAAAAAUUAAUUAGGUGGAUGGUAAGGUAAAAUUCAGGAUAACUUCAUAUUUUUUGCUUUAAUUGAAAAUUAAAAUCAAAAUUAAAGUAAUAAUUUUUAAGGGGAAAUAUUGAUAUUGUAAAACUUUUAUUAAACAUGAAAUAAUUUCUUAUAUAAACAAAAAUAGAAUUAUAAAAUUCUUAUAAGAAAUAACAUUUUUAUGACUUCUACAUGAAACCUUUUUUUUUAACUUAUAAGUUUUAAAAAAAUAAUAAUUAAAUAGGUAUAAAAACUUUGAUCUAACUCUUAAAAGUCAAUCCAAAUAAAAUUUAUAUAUAUAUACAUUUGAAAAUCACUUUUAAAAAUCCAAAAAAACACUUAAAAAUAAUUUCUAAAUAGUUUUUUUAACUUACAUUUAAAAAACAAAAAAAUUUAAAAUGAUUUGUUUUUACUAGUUAUUUAAAUUAAGGAAGCAGGAAAGGGUUUGCUCUAAUGUAAAAUAAAAAAAAAAAAAAAUGAGGGCUGAAAAGUAAUUAAAUCACUAAAAAUAGACUUGGUGUUCCUUCAGUGUGCAGUUAAACUCAAUUUGUCCCCAUGCAAUGGAAAUGGAAGAUUUUUUAUUUUUUAUUUUUUAUUUUUUUCCUUUUCCUUUAUCUUGGUGUGGUCUUGUGAUAUUGUUACUAAAAUAGGAGGUAAAAAUAUAAAUUAUAUAUCAAUUAUUUUAAAUUUAGGAAAAAAAAGUGCUUAUUUUAAUUUGAAAUAAAUAAGUAGAAAAAAACUGAUUUUAUCUCAAUUGUGAAAGACUUCAUUAAAAUUUUCUUAUUUGCAAAAUAUUUUGAGUUGUAAAAGUAAAAAUUAAACAAAUCAUUUCAUGACCUUUUUCACAACAUGAUAUUUUAUCAUGAUGAAUAAAAUUGGAAUGGUCAAAAGUUGUCAAAUCAAGACUUCCAUGGCAAAUUCCACCAUUGCAUAUUCAAAGACUAUUCUACAACAUUAUCUUUGUAGACUUUUAACAAUCCAAGAAAUUGACAAAUUAUAUAAUAAUCCCAAACACAAUAUUCUACAACUUUACAUUAUUUUUUUUAUUUUAAUACAAGAGAAAUCCUUAGUCAACAAUUUUUUUGAACAAAAAAUAAAUAAUGAAAUCUACAACUUUACAAUAUUCUACAAUUUUUUUGAACAAAAAAAUAAAUAAUGAAAUCUGAAUAAUGCAAACAAUCACUGAAAUCUUUGGCAUGUUAAUUCUUUGCAGCUUCAACAUGGUGGCAUGUCAGAUGGCGGAGGCAACAUUUGAGCUUCUGGGUGUUUACCAUUUUUCACUAUGAACGCAGUUUCCAUGCCCCAAGUCAGAUGGCGUUCUACAUGGCAGUGCAUGAACCACACCCCUGCAAUAGAGAAAACAUACCAACAUUACACCUAAUUUAUUGCAAUAUUAAGAAAAAUUAUUCCCUUGGUAUGCAGGUUGGCAGUUUCAAGGGUUUUUUUUAAUAGAGGACAUGAGUGCUUGCAACAUACCAGGGUUGGAUGCCUCGAAUCUGAUUGCAACCCAACCAUUCGUAGGAACAGAGAUGGUACUCUGAAGGGGAGGAUCCACUAGAUUAUAGCGCAAAGGGUCCCUAUUUUUAUCAAAAUUCCCAAAUCCCCAUCCAACAAGGUAGAAUCUAUAUCCAUGGAGAUGCAUGGGGUGGUGUGUCCCUGAAACCAAGUUUGUCCCUUGAAAAACAAUCUCCACUGUGGAGUUAUACUCGACCACCCUUACUUCUGUUCCAAUUUCCGGCGUUUGAUACUCCAAUGGAAGAUAAUCAGCUGUAAAAUCGAACACCAAUGGUGGAACGCUAGGAAAUUUAUCUCCAUAUACACCACUGAUGUUAUAAUAGUAAGCUUGUAGUAUGUCAAUCGUAGGGGAUUGGAAGCUUAUGUUGUUUAUACUUGCAGAGAGCCGCGUCCCAUUGGGCCCUGCACAUGAAUUAUUGGGGCAUAGGAACGAGUUUACAGAAAUAGUGUAAAUUAGUUUAGUGCUCGGGCUCAAUGGGACAUUGGAAGGAUGUUCCGCAUCUGCUAAGCUUCGAAGGCUAGCCAUGACCUGAACCGAUGCAUUUGUGUCAUUGUAUGCAGGAAAAUGAGGCAAAGAGGGAGGUGAAGAUGGAGUGUAGUAUCCUCUGUAUUGUACAAUAGCUGUGGUGGUUGUGUUAUCAUAAAAAUUUUGAGCUACCGGGGCAAUGGAAUAAGUUUUAGCCGCCAUGUAAUAGUGAUCCAGGCGUUGGUUAGCUUCUAGUAAGACAUCGAAGGUUUGGCCAGGAUAUAUUGUGAUAUAAUCUUGUGUCAAUGGUUUCGUGUAGCUACCAUCUAUUCCAACCACUGUCAUUUUAUGCUUGGCAAUUGAGAAGAAGAGAGCCUCUUGCAAAGCAGCAUUGAUUAUGCGAAGUAGAUAGGUCUUUCCAUGAUCCACCGUUAGCUUGAAUGUGCCUACAAUUAGAAAAGGAAAGUUGUAUACUUACGACUAGCGAAAAGAAAAGGAAAAACUUUCCAUGAGUAUCCACUAAUUAUGAAGUGAUUGAUUGAUUAGGGGUGUAAAUUUGGCUCCACAGUUCAAAAUUAUAUUUAGACUAGCCUUUUCAUAUGUGUUAAAUCAUGGCUCUACCAUCCUCAUAACUAUAUUCAUCUUUCUUAGCAUUAAGUUUUAAAUAUGUUGAUGUUAAUAAGAAAAAGUAAUAUGGUUAACAUACAAGAAAAUGAGAUCAGUGUACAAUUUUAAAAUGGGAAGUUAAACUUUAUACUUGAUUUUGAGCAUGGAUAUAGAUCACCGGGUUGUCCAUUUAUCAAUAAAGAAUCAGAGGCAUUGGGGUCAGCUCCGGUUGCAAGCCCUUCAUCUCGAACCGCAUUCACAUCACUCUUCCACCAUUGUCCUGCAUUUCAACAACUCCAAUAAUUUAGAUUUUGCUUUGUUGGUUAAUUCAUGAUAUGUAAAUUAACCUUUAAAAGCAACUACACUUAUACCUAAUAUGAUGGGAACUUCUGCGCUAGGUUUGGGAAAAGGAUACUUGGUUCCAUUCUUGGGAUAGACGAUUAUAGCUCCAUGAACGGUGGCUCGGGUCCAGUCACUGUGAGCAUGCCACCAUAGAGUGCCUUCCUCAGAGGAAAGGAUGAUCUUUUGGCUAAACUUUGACCCUGGUUGAAUUGGGCAUUGUGUGAUAUACUCGGGACCAUCUGUCCAUGGAUAUCUAGGCAUGCUCACCCCAUGCCUGCAAAACAAUAACUAUACGUUAAAACUAGUACUAAUUUUCAGGCUAACAAAAGAUGGCAUGUAGCAACAUAUUAUCACAGUAACAAGAGGCAUCAACUGUAUUUCAAUGGAACUGAUGCAAAUAACCCUAAGAUAUUAUUUUAAAUUCAACUUUAUUUGCAAAGCAAUACAUUGCAGCCCCCUCUUAGAAAUAAAAGAUUGUAUGUCAUGCAGGCAUGCUGCCCACUACUAUCUUUCUCCGAGACAUGCAUGGGACCUACCAGUGAAUGGUGACAUUUUCUUUUCCCCUGUUAUAAACGUCAACAAUGAUCGUCUCUCCUUUCUUAGCAUAUAUAGUUGGUCCUGGAAAUUGUCCAUUUACCGUUAAGAUGUUCUUGGUGCUACAAAGCCUUGUAUAUGAAGCCUCCUUCACCUGCAACCAAUUAAAAGUUAACCAUGCAACCUCAUCCCAAAAGAAAUAUUACAUGCAUGAAUAGUUGCAUCGAUCCAUUCAUGCAAGUGUAUAACCAAUUAGAAAUUGAUAGCAUGCAUGAACGACUCAAUGACACCAGGGUACCCGAAGAGACCCCAUGAGGGUCAUACGGUGGAAAAUGAGAGCCACACUGCUCCAUAAAUAUUAUGAUCAGAAGUGGCAUUAAGGCAUAAUCAUAUAAAGUAUUUACCACAAAAGUAAGCCGACGAGUUGAAGCUUGGCAAUGGAUGCCACCACCAAAAAGUAGAAACGCUGAAAUUUGCAAGAGGAAAACCUUCAUGAUCAGCCACAUCUUCUUUGGAAUAAAAGCCUCUUCUCUUGUCCUAAACACAACUCCUUCAAUUUUCUUACUAUUUCUAAUAAGCACGACUUAUCUUCUCUCUGACAUGAAUAGAUGAAUUCUUAAAGGUAUUUAUAGAGGCUGGAGGUGAAAGCUGAACAGCUGGUUUCUCUCCAACUUUUGCUGUAUUUCUUUAAUAUAUAAUUCAGAAUCUAUUGAAGAUGAUUUUCCUGGGGUACAACCAUUCCUCGCCGAGUAUCAAUAUAAGAGAAGUAAUUUGAAUGUGUAUUGGUUUUGAACGUUCUUCCAGGACCGCUUCAAAGAGCAGGUUGUGUAUGAUAUGAAGACGAGUUUCUUAGAAUCUCUUGAAUUUUCUAAUUCAAAAUACAAGUUUGACUUUGAGAAUUGACCAAGAAAUUAAUCAAGCACAUUAUUUUAGAAUAAAUUUAAAAUAUAUGUAGAAUACUUUUAAAACUUUGACCUCGGAUAUAUACGGUACCUUUAUCAAGAUUAGUUGGCGCUGCUUUGAGAAGGAAUAUAGGAUUCCUUCUCAAAUCAUUCAAAUCAUUCUAAUGAACCGGAUCGAAAAUUCCUUGUCCAGUUGGAGGGUCAAUCCAGACAUUCAAAUCUUUUUUUCUUUUUCUUUUUUUCUUUUUUGAAUAUUAAAAUUAGGUAAGCAAUGAAAUCAUUCAAUAUACUCAUCUAUUGUUCAUAACAUCAGCAUCUGCCAAUUGUUUAUUGUACAUUUUCAAACAUUCAGACAUUUUCAAACAUCAAAUCUCCACUUUUUUAAAAUAAUAAUAAUAAUAAUAAAUAAUUAUAGAUUUAAAAAUAACUUUUUUCAGAACAAAUAAGAAAUAAUUCAAACUUUCUUGUUUGGUUUAUUGUACCAGAUACAAAGAAAAAUCAUUAUAUAAAUAAAUGAUGCAAAGAUGUAUAUAUUUUUAAAUUAUUUAUAAACAGAAAAAAUGAUGAAUAAAAUUUAAGACGUGAAAAUUUGAUCAAGUUAAUUUAAACUUCUUUUAUUUUUUUUCACUUUUUUUCUCCUAUUUUUUCACACCAUUUUUUUCUCACAUUUCCUUUUAAACUUUUGGAAUAAAUAUUUAUUUGUGGAGCUUUAAUAUAUAUUUUUUUCUCCAUAUUAUACAUAUUUAUGCAAUAUUUGGUUAACCUAUUUUGAAUUUCUAUUUUUACCUUAACAAGAAACAUUUCUUGAAAAUGAAGAUAAUUUUCUCCUUAUUUUCAAAUUUGUGUUUCUCCACUUUUUUUUUUUUUAAAUAAUAGUAAUAAAAAAUAAUUAUAGAUUUAAAAAUAACUUUUUUCAGAACAAAUACAAUAUAUAGCCGGCUUAUAAAAACUAUUAUCUAAAAAAAGGAAAAAACAAAAAAAGGAAAAGUAAAAUAAGAAAUAAUUCAAACUUCCGUAUUUGGUUUAUUGUACCAUAUACAAAUAGUUUUAAAUAAUAAAUUCGAAGAUCAUCCCAAACACUUUAAAGAGUUUUAGAAAUCAAUACUAAAUUCAAUCUUAAUUUAAAACUCCUAAAUAAUUAAUUGUAAAGUUGUUUUCAAAGGAAACCCUUCUUAUCUUGAUUUCCCCUCACUAAGAUACUUAAAAAGUGGAAUAAUAGAUAAGAGUGAACUUAAAACUCAAUUAAGAAAAUAGGUCAAUAAGGAAGAUCAAGUAUAGUACAAAGUUAAAUCUUAGGAGAUAUCACAUCUUUAUAAAAAAAAAAAAAAAUCAAUUAGUAGUUCAUUUAAUUCAAUAAUUAAAUUCAUUUUGUUAAAAAAAUUAUGCACUUUCAAUUUAAAGAUAGAAUUAAAUAAUAUACUUUACAUACUUAAAUUAUAUUUUAAAAAUUAUAAACAAACAUUUUACUCUGACUCAUUGAUAAUAACAUUGUGCCCAAAUAGUAGAACUUGCAUUAGAUGGCUAGUCUCACAUUGUGCCUUUUAGCAAUGGACAAAAUGAUUUAUAAUCAAUGAUAUACCAAAGGCGAAUAACACCCUUAUUAGCUAGAGUUACAUUAUCACUAUCCUCACCAAAGGUAACGCAGGUCAACAACUUCUCUCUUAAACCAAUGUAAUAAAUUAAAUGAUAAAAUUCAUUUGCAUAACAAUAAACAAAUCAUAUGAUAUUCCCAAUUUAUUUUAUAAACUAAGGAACAAAUCAUAACAUUUUUAGUAAAAUAUUAUUUGAUCCACUUUAAGGAACUUAAACAUUUUGAUAGUUUAAAAGUAGAUUUUAAAAAAUAAGAAAUUAUAAAAUGGUUUACUAUACUAUUAACCCUUACCUUGAAGAAAUCAUUCAAAAUCCUGAAAGACUUAAUCUACACCUAAUAUAAAUAUAAAUAAAAAAUAAUUAUUAAAGACUAAUUAUCUAAAUUAAUGACUUUCUAAAUUUUUGUAAAACUUAUUUUAAUUCCAAACCCUUUUCUAAAGUUCUAUUUUUUUAAUUAAAUUUUUUAUUAACCAUAUUAUUAUUAUCAUUUUCACUUCCCAUAAUUACAUUAACAGAUUUUGUUGAAUUAUUGAUGUUAAUAUUCCUUUUUUUCAUGGUAGGAAGUAGGUAAUUAUUUAUUAAUUUACUACUACUUUUACUUAUCUCCUACCCACAACCCAAAUCUUAUUAUUACUUGAUUAUUUCUUUACCACAACCACUUUCCUCAUUUCCUCAAUUCUUCUUCCUAUUAAUCUUCUGGUUAAAGAAAGAUAAAAGAAUCUAAAAAGCAAAUCACGCAUGAAGAACUUGCCUUAAAUUUCAUAAUGAAGCAAAUAAAAAAAGUUUCUUCUUUCUGACCCUUCGAACCAAACUUCUCUAUAGACCUUGCUAUUAUUUCUUUUUUUCUCUCUAUUUUAUCUUUUUAGUUUUUAAUAAUGUGGAGAAAUCAAUGGAAUUUAGGGGUAAAUUAUACUUUUGUCGCUAAAAGUAACUUUUAUCGAUGAAAUUUUAGAUGUUGUCAAUGGUGCCAAUUUUUUUUAAAAAAAUUCUAAUGAAUUUGAAAAUUUCAUCACUAAAAGACAUGAUGGGAAAAUUUUGGUGUUGUCAUUUUCUUGGCACAAACACUUUUGUGAUAGAAAAAAAUUAUUUUCUCACAAAAGUAUUUGUCACUAAUUAUAAUUUUUGGUGACUAAAAGUUACAACUUUUUAUAUAUAUUUGCUUGAAAAAUGGUUUCAUUAAGUGAUUAUAUUAUUUCUUGACAAAUUGAGUAAUUUUAUCACUAAAUAAUGUUAUUAAAUUGUGAUAUUAAUAAGUAAUAUUGAUAAAUAGCUAGAUGAUUUAUAUUGUGAAAUAACAUAUGUAUUUUUUGAGACUUAAUAUUUAUACUAUAAUAUUUUAUUUAUAUAAAUAAUAAUAAAAUAAUUAAAGAUCCAUAAAAUGAAAUACUACAAUAUAGAUUUAUUUUAAUUUAAUUUUUUUGUAAUGUAAUAAUAGUAUUGUUACGAAAUAAUAAAAAGGUAAAUUAUUUGAGCAAUUAAUUUUUAUAUUGUAAUGUGUUAUUUAUAUUUUUUUAAUAUAAAUAAUAACAAGUAAUUCAAGGCGUGUAAGAUUAUAUCCUAUAAUAUAAAUUUAUUUAAAUUUCAAUAUUAUUACAUGAUGUUACCCAUUAUAAAUAAUACUAAAUGAUUUUUAUUAUAUUAGGUAAAAGUUAUCUAUACAACUCUAAAAUAGUAUUGAAUUUAAGUUAGUUAUGGAUAAGCCAUAGUCCACUAAUUUGUUCUCAUUCAAAAUCAUACCUUGUCUACUUAAGAAGUAAACUUAUACUAACUUUUAAUUACAUAGUUUAAACUAAUAGAUUUUUUUUAAAAAUAAUUGUUCAGAAUGGAAUUUAUCAAAUAAAUUGCCUAGCAUCUAUAAAGACAUUUUAUUUUCAUAAAAUUCCAAAUAUGACUUUUGUUUAUAAAGAUAUAUAUUAUUAAUAAAUAUAUGAUUGCAAGAUAAAUAUUAUAUGAUAUAAUAUAUGACGCUAUAUGCCUGACUACUAUAUUACUAUUUACAAAAUAAAACAUGUACGUAUAAAUUUUUUUUUUUUGUAAAGUAUUCAACCAUAUCUUUAUUAAUAUUUGAUUACUUUAUUUUUUAAUGAUUUCAUUAUGAAUUUAUUAUUUUAAUUAUUAAUUACUAAUGUACUAAAAGUGAUUAGUUAUUAAGAAUAAAAAUCAUAAAUUAUACCUUAAAAUACUAACUACUAUAGCUAUUAAGUUGUAAAGGAAUUUUUAUACUUGUAUACAUUUUUUAACAAUUUUUCUUUUUUUAUAAAAAAUAUAGUUAUAAAAGUAAUUGAAAUAUAUCAUAAAUUAUUAUAUGAUUUACCUUUAUAGUGUUUGAUAUUUUUGUUUGAAAUACAAUAGAAAGAGAAAGAAAAAAGAAAAUGAUGUAGAACUCUAAUCUCAUUUUGAUCAUUAUUUUAUUGAUGUUGGUUCAAGUAUUACACUUCAACAUUAUUCCAAUGUUUUCUAUUAAUCAUACUUUUCUUUUAGCUCAAUUUCAAAAUUUUCACUUUAAUCUAGAAGUCUAGAAUUAAAUUUAUGUUAGCUAUGAAUAAACUAUAGUCCUCUAAUUUGUUAUCAUUCAACAUAAGGCUUGUUUAAGGAUGAUAAAAUUUGAUACAAUUCGUCAACAAGACUUGAAUCUAACAUGCUUUUUAUGGGUUUGAUUUGAGUAUAAUUGAGUUUGAGUCAAAUUCAUGUUGACCUAUAUAACUCAUUUAAUAACUAGGUAGUCUUUGGGUCAACAUGCAUAACAAAAUUUGACAUCAAUUAAUUCAUUUAAUACAUGUGUUGAUUAGUUUAAUUAUAACUUUAAAAUAUUUAACCCAUAUUUGACACAUUUUAAAUAAAUAGGUCAAUUGAGUCAUAAACAUAUUAGUCAUAUAAAUUAACACAAGACCUAACUCAACCUGAUUAUUUAAUGAAAAGAUCUAAUUACUAAAUGAAACAAAUCAGUUACAUGACAUGUUACUUGUUUAGUAAUUAUUUAUUAUGUUAUGUUUACAUUUUUAACCAGAUUAUUAUUCGUGUCAGGUUUGACACAACAUAAAUAUGACCCAUCAACACAAAUUGCAACCCCUAAGCUAGUUCACUCAAAAAGUAAAUUUAUAUUAAUAUUUAAUUACCUAGUUUAAGCUAGUAGGAAUAUUUUUUUAAUUAUUGCUUAGUUUUUAAAAAAUUGUUAACAUUGGAAUUUAUCAAAUAAAUAGUCUAGUUUCUCUAAAGACAUUCCAUUGAUCUAGAAUUCCAAAUAUAAUUUGUGUGUAUAAAGAUAUCAUAUAUUUUUAAUAAAUAUAUAUUGUAAGUUAAAUAUUAUAUCAUAUAAUAUAUUGUACUAUAUGCAUAACUAUAUUACUAUUUUACAAAAUAAACAAUACACUAUAUAAUAGUAAUAUAUUAUAUACAUAAAAAGUUUUUUUGUAAAGUAUCCAACCACGUCUUAAUUAAUAAUUGAUUAUUUUAUUUUUAAAUAAUCUCACUAUGUAUUUAUUAUUUUUAAUUAUUAAUUACUAAUUUUUCAAAAGUGAUUUGUUUUUAAGAAUAAAAUCAUAAAUUAUGUCAUAAAAGUAGUAAUUGUUGUAGAUACUAAUUUGUUAAGGAGUGUUUUUACUUGCAUACAUUAUUUAAUAAAAUAUUUAAUUUAUGUUUUAAAUUCCUUACUUUGAUUUUUCAAUUUUAUUUUUAGACUAAUUUUUAAUCUAUAAAUUCUAAUCUUUAAUUUUUAAAAUUUUUAAUUCCUAAACCUUAAAGGGGAAAUCAUGUAACCAUAUAUCACCCAAAAAAAAUGAGAUUUUUAGAACUUUGCUUUUACCUUUUUAAUUUUAAUCGUAAGAUGAGAAAAAAUAUUGUCUAUUCAUGCACUCCAAUAGUGCUUUCAGAUUUGUUCUAAAAUUACCCUAAAAAAUAAAAGACAAAGUACACACCACUUCAAUACCACCUAUUGACAAGUACAUAAAUUAUUUAUUUAUUUUAUUUCUCUCACAUCAACUCUCUCACACAUCUCAGUUACCACUUGCCACGUUCUCACUUUUUUCCUUUUUUCUUUUCUCUUUCCUUUUUCCCUCCUCUUUUACCACCAUAAUCCUUAGCCAUCUAUUAUAUUUUUAUUGUUAUUUUUUUCUUUGAUAUUCUUUUUUAAUAUGUUCGUAUAUUUUCUCAUAAAACUUCGUUAAUUUUAAUUUUUUUCACUCUCUAAUUUCUCCAUAUUUAUUGAUUAUAAUUAUUUUUUGGACAUAUUAAACUUAAAAUGAUAAUAUAUAAUAAAUAUUUAAUAUAACAAAUUAAAUAAAAAUAUAUAUAUAAUGGACAAAAAUGAAAAUAUUAUCCCACAAAUAAUAUACUUGAUGAUUUUAAAUAUUAAUUAUAAUAAUAUAUUUGAUAAAUUAAGGUUUAAAUUUAAAUAUUUUAUUUUAUUAUUUAGAGGUUUAUGAUAUAAGAUUUUUUUAUAUUAAUGCUAAACAAAAGAUUUAUUUAUUUUGUAAAUUCUAUCACAUGUAAAAGUAAAAAUAUCUUUAUAAUACUAUUUUAUUAUUUGUAUUAUUUUUCUUUUAAUUUUUAUUUUAAAUUUAUCACAUCAAAAUCACAAUAAGUGAUGGUGCUUUUAUAUUUUUUCUUAUGAUUUUAAUUUGAUUGUGGAUCUAACUUUUUGUUUGGCUAAAAUCUUUUAUUUUUAAUUAAAAUAAAAUAUAUUUUUCAUAAAAAAAAAAAUUGUAUUUAACCUUUCAUAUUAAUUUCCUAAAAAAUAAGUACAUCCUUAAGAAAAAUAGGUAAAUCCAUGCCUAGGGGAAUUGGGACCCCAAUCAUCCUUGUCAUGGUCUAUAUAUUACUUUGGGAUCCUUGAUAAGUGAUUAGAGGUCCUUACCUACCCAAGAACGAACUUUGGAACCUUAGGUACAUCCAUUCUUAGGGGAACCAAGACCCUUAUCUCCAUUCUCAUGGCUCAUAUAUUCAUUUAGGGACCCUCGAGAAGGAAUUAUAGGUUGUUCCCCACCCUGGAACAGACAUUGGAACCUAAGAUAUAUCCUAAAGACAAUUUGGUACAUUCGAUCCUUGGGCUACUGAGACCCUUAUAUCCUUUCCCAUAGUCUAUUUGAUACUAUGAGGACUCUUGAAAAAUGAAUGGAAGUUGUUCCUCAUCUUGAAAUGGACUUUCGAACCCUAGGUAUAUCCUUAAAAAAAAUUGGUACAUCCAAUUCUUGGGCUACAAAGACCCCUAUCUCCCUUCCCAAGGUCCAUUUAUUCAUAUAGGGAUCCUCAGGAAGUGAUUAGAGGCUAUUCUUCACCCCAAAAUGGACUUUUAAACCCUAAAUACAUCUUUAAGAAAAUUUGGUAUAUCUGAUCCUCUAGCUACUGGAACCCCUAUAUCACUCAUCAUGGUUCAUUUGAUCAUUUGGGGACCCUUUAGAAGUGAUUUCAAGUCAUUCCCAAUCUCAGAAUGGACUUUGAAACCCUAGGUACAUCCUUAAGAAAAUUUGGUACAUCUAAUCAUCAAGCUACCAGGACCCCUAUCUCCAUUUCCAUGGUCCGUUUGUUCCUUUAGGAACUCUUGGGAAGUGAUUGGAUAUCGUUCCCCAACUCAGAACAGAUAAUGGAACCCUAGGUACAUCCUUAAGAAAAUUUGAAACAUCCAAUCCUUGGGCUCAUGAGACACCUAUCUCCUUUCCCAUGGUCCAUUUAUUCUUUUAGAGACCCUCAGGAAGUGAUUGGAGGUUGUUCCUCACAUUGGAAUGAAAUUUGGCACCCUUGGUACAUCAUUUACAAAAUUUAGUACAUCCUUUACAAAAUUUGGUACAUCCUUCACAAAAUUUGGUACAUCCUUAAAAAAAUUUGGUACAUCCUUAAAAAAAUUUGGUACAUCCAAUCUUUGAGCUAUCGGGACCCCUAUCUUAUUACCUAUGGUCUAUUUACUCCUUUAGGGAUCUUUGGAAAGUGAUUAAAGGUUGAUCCCUAGCUACUUCAAAACAGACUUUGGAACCCUAGGUACAUCCUUAAGAAAAUUUGUUACAUCUAAUCCUUGAGCUAAUGGGGCACCUAUCUAUCUUCCUAUGGUCCAUUUAUUCAUUUGGACACCCUUAAAAAGUGACUGGAGGUUGUUCCUUACCUCAAAAUGGACUUUGAAACCCUUAGUACAUCCUCUAAAAAUUUUGGUACAUCAUUCACAAAAUUUGGAACAUCAUUCACAAAAUUUGGUACAUCCUUAAAAAAAUUUGGUAUAUCCAAUCCUUAAGCUACCAGGACCCCUAUCUUAUUACCCAUGGUCUGUUUAUUCCUUUAGGAAUCUUUGGGAAGUGAUUGGAGGUUGUUCUCUACUCCAAAACAAACUUUGGAACCCUAGGUAUAUCCUUAAGAAAAUUUGAUACAUCCAAUCCUUGGGCUAAUGGGACACUUAUCUCCCUUCUUAAGGUCUAUAUAUUCCUUUGGAGACUCUCGGGAAGUGAUUGAAGGUCAUUCCCACCUCGAAAUAGACUUUGGCACCAUUGGUACAUCAUUUACAAAAUUUGGUACAUCCUUCACAAAAUUUGGUACAUUCUUUAUAAAAUUUGGUACAUCCUUAAAAAAAUUCAGUACAUCUAAUUCUUGAGAAAUUGAGACCCCUAUCUUAUUAUCCAUGGUCUGUUUUUUCCUUUAAAAGUCUUUGGAAAGUGAUUGGAGGUCGUUCCCUACUCUGAAAUGAACUUUGGAACCUUAAGUACAUCCUUAAGAAAAUUUGGUACAUCUAAUCCUCAAGCUAUUGGGACACCUAUCUCCAUUCUCAUGGCCCAUUUGUUCAUUUGGGGGCACUUAGGAAGUAAUUGAAGGUUGUUCCUUACUAUGAAAUGAACUGUGGAACCUUAGGUACAUCUUUAAGAAAUUUUUGUAUUUAUAUGGUUCUGUAAUGUUUUGAUGUUGUUAAUCUAAAUAAGGUGGUUGACUCAUAAUUUAUAAUCAUCAGGAGAAAAAAUAUUAUGUUUAUUCAUGACCAGAUGAAAAUGAAUAAAAAAUGGAAUUAUUGUCACUUUUAAUGGUAUUAUAUUAUGAAUCAUUUGAAUAGUUUUCUUAAAAAAAAAUAAUUGUCAAUUUCAAAUGGAUUAUAGUUGAAUUGAAAAAUGAAGGAAUAUAGUUGUAGUAAAGAAGGGUUGAAUUUGUGUGGGCAUUAUGAAAAAAAGAGGUCAACCCUUAUAUGAAAAACAGAUUGUUAAGUAGUGGGCAUAAUAGUGGACGACCUUUUCAUGUAGGGCUAACCCUUUUUAGCUUAUGACCCUUAGUCAUAAUAUUAGUCUUUUUUGAAGUGGUCAAUAGCAAAAAUAAGGGUCGACCCUUUAGUUCAUAGGCAGUCCCAUCAUGUUUUUAAAAUUGGUUUUGUUUUAUGUGGGCGGUAGGCAAAACAAAGGUUGACCCAUUGUUUAAUAGGUAGGCCUUUGAAUAUGGACGUUACAACCUUAGAACAUGGACAGUGAGGAAAAUAGUGGUCACCCCAUGUAUUCAGAGGUGGAGCCUGAACUUAUAUUAUAUAUCAAAUAAGUACCUAACAAAUAAAUAAAUAAAAGUAAAUGCAUUGUGUGAUGUUUGGUAUAGACAAUACAUGUCAAUAUUUAACACAUUAAUGUCACACCAUAAAGUGUUAAUUAAGAGGACUUGGAUUGUUCAUAAUCUAAAUGAGGCAUUAAUAUAUGAUGGCUAUAUGUGUGAUUGUGAUAAUUGUUAUAAGUAAUUAGCUUUGACAAGGUUAUUUACAAAUAUAUAUUUAAACAAUUAAAUACCUAAUGAGGUCUAAGUGUGAGAAUAAAAUAAGUUAUGCUUAUUUUGUAAAUGUUGUAAGUAUUUUUGUGAUGAAUAUAUGUAUUAUUGGAAAUAUUUAUGAGCAUGCCUAGUUUAUUGAUAUAUAUAUAUAUGUAUGUAUGUAUGUAUGUAUGUAUGUAUGUAUGUAUGUAUGUAUGUAUGUAUGUAUGUAUUAAAAAUGUAAAAUCAAGGAUUAGAUGUACCAAAUUUCAUGAAGAAUGUUCCAAAUUUUGUGAAUGAUGUACCAAAUUUUUUCAAGGAUGUACCAAGGGUGCCAAAGUCCAUUCUGAGGUGAGGAACGACCUCCAAUAACUUCUAAAGGGUCUCCAAAGGAAUAAAUGGACCAUGGGAAGGGAGAUAGGUAUCUUGUUAGCCCAAGGAUUGGAUGUAUCAAAUUUUCUUAAGAAUGUACCUAGAAUUCCAAAGUCUAUUUUGGAGUAGGGAACGAAUUCCAAUCACUUCCCAAAAAAUUCCUAAAUGAAUAAAUCAACCAUGGGUAAUAAGAUAGAGGUCCCAAUAGCUCAAGGACUGGAUGUACCAAAUUUGUAAAGGAUGUAUCAAAUUUUGUAAAGGAUGUACCAAGGGUGACAAAAUCCAUUCCAAGGUGGGGAAUGACCUCUAAUCACUUUCGAAGGGUCUCUAAAGGAAUAAAUGGACCAUAGGAAAGGAGAUAGGUGUCCCGUUAGUUCAAGGAUUGGAUGUAACAAAUUUUCUUCAGGAUGUACCUAGGGUUCCAAAGUCCAUUUUGAAGUAAGGAACAACCUCCAAUCACUUCCCAAAGAUCCCAAAAGGAAUAAAUGAACCAUGGGUAAUAAGAUAGGGGUCUUGGUAGCUCAAGGAUUGGAUGCACCAAAUUUUUUUAAGGAUGUACCGAAUUUUGUAAAGGAUAUACCAAAUUUUGUAAAAGAUGUACCAGAUUUUGUAAAUGAUGUACCAAGGGUGCCAAAGUUCGUUCCAACGUGGGGAACUACCUCCAAUAAAUUUCCGUGGGUCUCAAAAGGAAUAAAUGAACCAUGAGAAGUGAUAUAGGUGUCCCAUUAGCUCAAAGAUUAGAUGUACCUAGAGUUAAAAAUUCCAUUUUGAAGUAGGGAUCAACCUUCAAUCACUUCCCAAAGAUUCUUAAAGGAAUAAACGAAUCAUGAGUAAUAAGAUAGGAGUCCUUGUAGCUCAAGGAUUGGAUGUACCAAAAUUUGUGAAGGAUGUACCAAAUUUUGCAAAGAAUGUAUCAAGGGUACCAAAGUUGUUUUCAAGGUCGGGAACGACCUCCAAUCACUUCCCGAGGGCCUCUAAAGGAAUAAAUGGGCCAUGAGAAGGAAGAUAGGUGUCCUAUUAGCCUAAAGAUUGGAUGUACGAAAUUUUCUUAAGGAUGUACCUAGGGUUCCAAAGUCCAUUUCAAAGUAGGGAACGACCUUCAAUCACUUCCCAAAGAUCCCUAAAGGAAAUGGGUAAUAAGAUAGGGGUCUUGGUAGAUCAAGAAUUGGAUGUAUUAAAUUUUUUUAAGGAUGUACCAAAUUUUGUAAAAGAUGUACCAAAUUUUGUAAAUGACGUACCAAGGGUGCGAAAGUCCAUUCCGAGGUUGGGAACAAUCUCCAAUCAUUUCCUAAGGGUCUCCAAAGGAAUAAAUGAACCAUGAGAAGGGAGAUAGAUGCCUUAUUAGCCUAAGGAUUGGAUGUGCCAAACUUUCUUAAGGAUGUACCUAGGGUUCCAAAGUCUGUUUUGGAGUAGGGAAUGACCUCCAAUCACUUCCCAAAGAUCCCUAAAGGAAUAACAGAGGGUAAUAAGAUAGGGGUCCCGGUAGCUUAAGGAUUGAAUGUAUCAAAUUUUUUUAAGGAUGUACCAAAUUUUGUGAAGGAUGUACCAAAUUUUGUAAAGGAUGUACUAAGGGUGCCAAAGUCCAUUCCGAGGUCGAGAAAGACCUCUAAUCACUUUCCGAGGGUCUCUAAAGCAAUAAAUAGACAAUGAGAAGGGAGAUAGGUGUCCUGUUAGCCCAAAGAUAAGAUGUAUCAAAUUUUCUUAAGGAUGUACCUAAGGUUCUAAUGUUUAUUCCAGGGUGGGGAACGACCUCCAAUCAUUUCUUAAGGGCCCCCAAAGGAACAAAUGGACCAUGGGAAAGGAGAUAUAGGUCUCGAUAACCUGAUGAUUGGAUGUACCAAAUUUUCUUAACAAUGUACCUAAGGUUCCAAUGUCCGUUCCGAGGUAGGAAACAACAUCUAAUGACUUCCUAAAGGAACAAAUGAACCAUGGGAAGGGAGAUAGGGGUCCUAGUAGCCUAAGGAUUCAAUGUACCAAACUUUAUUAAGGAUGUACCUAGGGUUCCAAAGUCUAUUUAGAGGUAGAGAAUGACCUCCAAUCACUAGGGUUCCAUUAUUAGUUCCAGAGUGGGGAAUGACAUCCAAUCACUUCUCGAGAGUUCCAAAAUGAAAAAAUGGACCAUGGGAAAUGAUAUAGGGGUCCUAGUAUCUCAAUGAUUGGAUGUACCAAUUUUUCUUAUGGAUGUAAUUAAGGUUCCAAUGUUAGUUUCAAGGUAGGGAAUGGCCUCUAAUCACUUCCCAAGGAUCGGAUAUACCAAAUUUUCUUCAAGAUGUAUCUAGGGUUUAAAAGUCCAUUUUGGGGGUAAGAAAUAACCUCCAAUUACUUCCUGAUGGUCCAUAAAGGAGCAAAUGGACCUUAGGAAUAACGAUAGGGGUCUUGGUAGCCCAAGGAUUGGAUGUACCAAAUUUUCUUAAAGAUGUACCGAAUUUAUAUGAGGAUAUAUCUAGGGUUCCAAAGUCUAUUCUGAGGUGGGAAACGACUUACAAUUACUUCCUAAGGGUCUUUAAAAGAUCAAAUGGACCAUGGGAAGGGAUAUAAGGGUCCUGGUAGCUUCAGGAUCGGAUAUACCAAAUUUUCUUAAGGUUAUACCUAGGAUUCCAAACUCCAUUCCAAGAUAGAAAACAACCUCUAAUCCUUUCCUAAAGGUCUCCAAAUGAAUAUAUAGACCAUGAAAAGGAGAUAAGGGUUUUGAUUCCCUUAGGAUUGGAUGUACCUAUUUUUGUUAAGGAUGUACUUAAGGUUUCAACGUUCGUUUUGGGAUGAGGGAGGACCUCCAAUGACUUAUCGAGGGUUCCCAAAGGAAUAUAUAGACUAUGAUAAGGAAGAUAGGGAUCCUUGUUCCCCUAGGAAUGGAUGCACCUAUUUUUUCUUACGGAUGUACCUAUUUUUUAUGAAAUUAAUAUAAAAGGUUAACUACAAUUUUUUUUAAUGAAAAAAAUUUAUUUUCUUUUAUAUUUUAUUUUAAUUUAAAAUUAAAAAUUUUAAUGAAACAAAAAAUUAGAUCCAUGAUCAAGUUAAAACCAUAAGAAAAAAAAAGCAUCAUCACUUACUAUGAUUUUGAUAUGAUAAAUUUAAAAUAAAAAUAAAAAUAAUAUAAAUAAUAAAAUAGUAUUACAAAUAUAUUUUAUUUUUACAUGUGAUAUGAUUUACAAAAUAAAUAAAUAUUUUAUUUAGCAUUAAUAUAAAAAAAUCUUAUAUCAUAAAACUAUAAAUAAUAAAAUAUAAUUUUAAAAUUUAAUCCUUGAUUUAUCAAUUGAAUUACUAUAAUUAAUAUUAAAAAUCAUCAAGUAUAUUAUUUGUGGAAUAAUAUUUUCAUUUUUGUCCAUUACAUAUAUUUAUGUUUUUAUUUAAUUUUUUAUAGUAACUAUAUAUUAUUAAUAUUAUUAUUUUAAGGUUAAUUUGUCCAAAAAAUAAUUAAAAUCAAUAAAUAUGGGGAGAUUAAAGAGUGAAAAAAAUUAAAAUUGAAGAAGUUUUAUGAGAUAAUACAUUAGCAUAUUAAAAGAAAUGUCAAAUGAGAGAUAGAAAAAUAGGAUAUGGUGAUAAGAAAGAAGAAAAAAUGAUAAAAGAAAAAAGUAAAAUGUAGAAACGUGGCAAAAGGUGAGAUGUGUGAGGGAGUUUAUGUAAGAGAAAAAAAAAAGUGAUUGGUGUACUUGACAACAACAUUUAAUGUGGUAAGUGUACUUGCCCUCAACUUUUGAGGGUAAUUUUGGAACAAAUUCAUAAGCACUAUUGGACUGCAUGAAUUGGUAAUAUUUUUUUUUCCAUUUUACAUUAAAAUUGAAAAAAUAAAAACAAAGUUCUAAAAACCAUAUUUUUUUUGUUGGUGAUGUACCAAAGCAUGAUUAUCCCAAUUUUAAAUAAUACAAAAAUCAUAAAUUUUGAAAUUUUUUUUUAAUCUAAAUUUUUUUAUUUGUAAAUUUUAAUGUUUAAUUUUUUAAUUUCUAAAUUUUAAAUAAUAUAAAACUCAUGGCAUGAUGAAGCACAUUAAAUGUGUUGCAGUAGCAUGUUGUAUUUUUGUAGCAGAGAUGACAUAGAAGGAGUUGUGUGGAAUGUUGUUUGGGAAAAAAAAGAUGAAAAAAAAUCUCAGACCCUCACCUAGUCAAGCACCAUUGCAACUUUGAAAAAAAAAAACAAAAACAAAAAAACCCAUUUUAAAAAAGGAGAAAACCACCAUCGCAAACAAUGGCUUACCACAUUUGUAUCUAAUGCCAUAUCCUCUUCAACCUUUCAUCAUCUUCACCACCAACCCAUCUACCUUCUUGAAAAUUCAUUUUCCAACUACUAGUCAUACAUACCAUUCUCCAUAACACAUAUAUAUCCGAUAAUAAUUGUGAAAAAUGGCUAAUUUGAUUAAGCAAAUCACUAAAUGGGGGUAAAGAGUGGGAGGGGAUGAAUUAGGUGUUACAUUUUUAUUUUUAUUUUUUAAAAAAUAACCAAUUAAUAACAAAAAGAAUAAGAGAUAUUAAGUAAGACAAUAAUUAAGUAAAAGAUAAAGAGAAGAUAUAUGCAAACUCUUUUAUAAUGGUUUUAAAAUCCACCUAUAUCCACUCUUUUUAACCUCCCAAGCAAGGGAGGGUUCCAUUAUCAAAGGCCUUCAACCUAUGCCUUCAAGCUUUAUAUUUGGAUUCAUGGACUCCAAUGGGCACUCACAAUCUCUUCAAGUACUUCACCUAUUUGAAGUCUCUUCACUAAAAAAUGAGUAGAUAAGGAAAGUCCUAAUGCUUUUUGUUAGGACAUUUAGUUUUAUUUAUAUGUUGGCAAUUUUGUUCCAUUUUAUGUUUGAUCAUAAAGUUCUUUUUAGAUAGUGACUUGCUCAAGUGAAAAGGACCGCUCAAGUGGUCUAAGUCUGCUCAAGCAGUAAUGAUAGUCCUAUCGAGUUUAAACACAAAUUUUGGAUGAAUUUCACUUGAACUCUAGUUUGAAAACUUAAGAUACUGAAAAUUUUUGGGCUAUAAAUACCUCCUUAAUAACCCCUUAAGGGUUAGGGAUUGAAGAUUGAAAAGAUCUUAGAGAUUAGAAACCUCUCAUUCUUAAAAAGAGGCCUUGAGAGAAAGCCUAAAUUGCUAUAUCAUUCAUGAUUUCUCAUUCAAGGAUUGAAUCUUUAAAUCGUUAGUUGAAAACCUUAAUCCCUUCGAAGUGGCAAAAGAAUCUACUAAGGAGCAAUAAGAAGUUGCUACAUCAUGAAUGUGGAUCAAGUUAUAAGUGUUGAAGAGUAAGUUUUUAGGGUAAAACAGUCAGGUAAAUCUGUGUAACUUGAUUUCGAAUAGUGGAUUUGGAUUGGUAGGUCUUAGACCUUGUGUUUUUUUUUUCUCCAUAGUUUGUGCGAGGUUUUCACGUAAAAAUCUUAUGCCUAAUUGUCUAUAUCUUUUAUAUUUGAUAUUAUGUUUGUAGGGUUUUCAUAAAAGGUUCAUAUCUAUAUAUUUUUGCUUAGAUUUAAUGUGAUUAAGUUUGAUUGAUUUGUUGGGAUUGCUUUUGAGGUUGUUAGGGUUGUUAUCUUGGUAUUUAUGGUUGUUAUCCUUAUAACAAGUUAUUAUUAUCCCUAACAUCUAUCAAGAUAUCCUUUGGAUAUUAAUAAUUUAUUUAUUUUAUCCCAAAUAAUCUUUGGAUAUCAAUUAAUCAUAAAAAUCAAGUUUUACUAUUCUAAAUUUAGGGUGAACUCAUUUUUUAAUAUCGAGGAUAAACUUGAAAAUUUCUUAGAGGUAAAAAAAAUUGAUAUAACAUAUAAAUCUUUAUUUAAAUUUUUAAAUCACCCAUUCAUCCCACCUUUGGAUGUUCGUUAUUGGACUUUCAGUUGUUAUUCAAGUGAUAUUAAAGCAAUACUCAUUUUCAAUUGGUAUCGGAGUGGAAUAAAUAACCAAUUCUUUAUCCUAUUGAUUAAAAAUCCAAUUUUUAUUGAUUGGACUGUUUAAAAAUCAAAUUUUUAUUAAUCACAUAGGAUAAAAAUCAAAAUUUUAUUGAUCCUGUAAGUCUAAUAUGGAACAAUAAAAAAGUGGUGCUCCUUUGAAUAGUUACCCUAUUUUGAUGGGAAUAAUUACUCCUAUUAGAAAGCAUGAAUGAUGUUUUUCCUCAAAAUGUAAGGUGAAAGGGUGUGAAACUCAAUUGAAUAUGGUUGGGGACCACCAUUAAUCCUUGAUACUCAAGGAAGAUUAAUAGGUGAACUUAAACCUAAAAAAAAAAUGAGACAAAUCCAAUAAUCAACGUAGUGAAGCCAAUGCUAUAUUUUUAAUGGAGUUUAUCCAGAAAGGUUUUGUAGGAUAGCAAAUUGCAGAUGUGCAAAUUAAGCAUGGGAUAUUCUUCAAGUCACUCGCGAAGGUACAUCCUCUAUAAAGAUUUAUAAAUUACAAAUGCUUGCUACAAGGUUUGAAAAUAUUAUGAUGCAUGAAAAUCAAACUUUUUCUUCUUUUUAUUCUAAAUUAAGUGAUAUUGUAAUUUCUUAGUUUAACCUUGGAGAACUUAUUCCUAAUUCUAAGGUAGUUAGGAAAAUAUUGGGAUCUCUUCCAAAGAAAUUUAGAACUAAAGUAAUUGCCAUAGAGGAGAGCAAGGGCAUUGAAUCCAUGAGAUGAACUUGUAGGCUCCAUUCAGACAUAUGAGAUGACUCUACCUAGUUCCUAAAAGCCUAAAGAGUCUACUUUUAAGGCUUUUAAUGGUGAGAAAAAAAAUUAAAAUUCCAUAUGAUAUAACAAAGGAUGAAUUGGCCCAUAUGGCCAAAAUGAUUAAAAAGGUCAUAUAAUUCAAUAAAAGGUUUUACAAGAACCAAGAAUCUAGAAAAAGAAAAAGACCUAAUGAACAAUCAUCCAAUAAGAAAAGAAAAGAUUCCUCCAAAGGUAAGAAAGUUGAAUGCUUUAACAAUGGAGGUCUAGGACAUUAUGCUUAAGAUUGUCCUAGCCCCAAAGAUGCCAAAAAGUCUAUGCAAGCAACAUGAAGCAAUACUAAUUCUGAAGAGAGUGCUUCCACAACUUCUGAAGAUGCAAGGUAUGAUCCCAAUGACUUGUUAGCUUUUAUUGCUUUUAUGGAACUUGUGCAUGAUAGUGAUGAUGAUGAGUUUACUAAUGAACAAAGGACUGAAUUCUUGAGUAAUCUUGUUGUUGAGCAUGAAAGACAAAUUAAGAGUUAUAUGAAAAAUAAUGAUAUCCUUGAUGCUCAUGAUAAAAACAAAAUUGAUGUGCUUAGUGCUGAAAAGACUAAUUUGCUUGAGAAAGUUAGGUUUCUUGAAUUUGAACAUCAUUCUCUCCUUGAGAAGAAUAAUCCUCUCACUCAAGAGAAAAAAUAACAAGCCUUUUUCAUCUGUGAAUAAAUUUUUUUUACUGCAGAACUAAAAUGUUUAAUGAAAUUCUUGAUAAAUGCAAAAUCCAUGGUGAUAAAAGAGGUUUGGGGCGCAUUAAUAAAGAUGAAACUCCCUUUGAAUUCAUUAUUUUUCCAUUGAAAAUCCCAUCUUUAAAUUCCAUUACUUAGCCACUUUCCACUUUCCACUGUAAAUAUUAUAUUAAAAAAUUUUAAAAAAAAAUUAACUUAGAAUUUCUACAUAUGGCCAUUAAAAUAUUUUAUGAAAAAUAACUUACCAAAAAAAUAUUUAUGUACAUACCAUUAAAAAUUUGAUAUUAAAAAACUUUUUUUUUAUUUAAAAAAAGUAACUUACCAAGAAUAUAUUGAAAGCACUUUAAAAAAUAACUUACUAAAAUUUUAUUUACGUACAUACCACUAAAUAUUUUAUAUUAAAAACACUUUAACAAAAAUUGACUUACCAAAAAUAAAUUAAGUGCACUAAAACAAAUAAUCUAAAUGACCUAAGCCUAAAAAGUGUCUAAGUGAAAUUUAAACCUAAAAAGUGCCUAGGUGAAUUGAGCGGAAAUGGAUUUAAGUGAAACUUAACCUAAACUCAAAGAGCAACCGAGGUCAUAAUGAGGGUCUAGACGAGCUCCUCAACAAAAGCUCCCUAAAGGUGACUUGAAAGGAGUAAAUUUUAUAAGUUUCAAUGGGCCACCAAGAAAUAACUACGAAUCAAAAGAGAAGUAUAGGAAAGCACCUAAUGCCACAUGUGCUAAGAAGACAAAAUGGAAAGUCUACAAAUAUCCUUCUCCUCAUUCUCAAAAACCAUAAAGGCAGAGUCUUUAGGCUUUUGGGAACUAGGUAGGGUGAUCUCAUAUGUUUGAAUGGAGCCUACAAGUUCAUCAACUCUCAUGGAGUUGAUGUCCUUGCUCUCCUCUAUGACAAUUACUUUAGUUCUAAAUCUCUUUGGAAGAGAUCUUAAUAUUUUCCUAACUAUCUUAGAAUCUGGAAUAGUUUCUCCAAGGUUGAAUGAAUAAUUUACAAUAUCACUUAAUUCAAAAUCAAAGAAAGAAAAAGUUUGAUUUUCAUGCAUCCGAAUAUUCUUAAACGUAGUAGCAAGCAUUUGCAAUUUAGAAAUCUUUAUAGCAAAUGUACCUUCAUGAGUAACUUGAAGUAUAUCACAUGCUUCUUUUACACGUUUUCAAUUUGCAAUCCUUCGAAACUCAUCUAGACCAAUUCCAUUAAAAAUACUAAAUAAAGCCUUAGCAUUGGCUUCACUACUUUCAUUGGCAACUUUGUCCCAUUCAUGUUUAAAUUUAAGUUCUUUUGUUGAUCUUCCUUGAGCAUCAAGGAUAAAAGGUGGUCCCCAACCAUAUUCAAUUGAAUUUCAUACCCUUUCACCUUGCAUUUUAAGGAAAAACAUGAUUCUUGCUUUCCAAUAAGAAUAAUUACUUCCAUCAAAAUAGGGUGGACUGUUCAAAGGAACACCACUUUUUGACUAUUCCAUAUCAAACUUACAAGAUCAAUCAAAUUUUGAUUUUUAUCUUAUAUGAUUAAUAAAAAUUUGAUUUUUAAACAAUUUAAACAAUAAAAAUUGAAUUUUUAAUCAAAAUGAUAAAUAAUUAGUUUUUUAUCCUUCUCUAAUACCAAUUAAAAAAUGGGUACUACUUAAAUACCACUUGAAUAAUAACUGAAAGUCCAAUAAAAAACACUUUCAACGGUAGGGAACACCCACAGGAAAAGAGGGGGGGGGGGGAGAUGAAUGGGUGAUUUAAAAUUUUAAUUAAUAUUUGUAAAUGAUAACAAACUUUUUCUUACUCCAAUGGAUAUCAGGGAUAUCCCAAAUAAUUAAAUGUAUUAUACUUAAAAUCUUUAGGUAUUCAAAAAUAAGAUUUUUAACUUUUAGGGAUACCUUGCAAUUGUUUAGGGAUAAAGAUAAUAUAAUUCUUAAUAUCCAAAUAAUAAUAUCCCGAGAAAUGUUAUGGAUAAUAAUAAUUAGAUAUAAUGAUAACAACCACAACCACUAAGAUAACCACCAUAACAACCUCAAUAGCAAUCCCAACCAAUCAAACAACCUAAUCAAGUAAUAUAUGUAUGAAUAAAUAGAUAUGUACUUCUUAGGAAAACCUUGCAAGAUAUUAGGGAUAAUCAAUUUAAUCUAUUCUAGGCAAUUCAAAUAGAAUAUUAAAUAUAAAACUAUAGACAAUGAGUUACAAAUUUUUUUACAUGGAAAACUCCCACAAACUAUGGAGAUAAAAAACCACGAGAUCUAAGACCUACCAAUCUAAAUCCACUAUUCAAAGUCAAGUUGCAUAGAUUUAACUGGACGUUUUACCCGAAAGACUUACUCUACAACACCUACAACUUGAUCCAUGUCCAUGACAUAGCAACUCCAUGUUUCUCCUUAGUAAAUCCUUCAAUCUCUCUAAAGGGAUUACAAUCUUCAACUAAUAAUUCAAAGAUUCAAAUCCUUGAAUGAGAGGAUGGGAAUGGUGUGGCAAUUAGGCUUUUUUCACAAGGAGUCCCUCUAAAGAAUAACAGGUCUCUCAACAAUCUUUUAAGAUCUUUAUGAUCUUUCUAAUAUCCGAUCUCUAACCCACAAGGGGUUAUAAGAUAGGUAUUUGUAGGCAAAAGCCAUAAGAGUUUCAGUAUCCUAAAUUUUCAAAUUAAAGUUUGAGUGAAAUUCAUUCAAAAUAUAUUUUUAAACUUGAUAGGACUGACAUGACCACUUAAGCAAACUUUGACCACUUGAGCUAGCACUUUACUUGAGCGAUCCUUAUUGCUUGUAUAGGUUGACUGAUUGAGUAGGAUUAACCACUUGAGUGACCCUUUCUUUUUGAAAAAUCAUUUUGAGUUUAAAAAUGAUACCGAAUCUUUUUAUACCUCAAAUAAGCCUUGUAUCUCAUAAGCCAAAUCUUUUUAGAUGUACCUAUGACUUCUCGGUUGGAUGAAUAGAAACCCUUGAUCUUCAAUGGAGAGAAUGUCAUUAUCUAAAAAGACUUUUAUGACCAAACAUUAAUUGGAACAAAAUUUCCAACAAAUAAACAAGACUCAAUGUCUUAACAAGUCAUUCCCAAUCUUUCAAACCCAUGACUUAUUCAUUUUUCCUUUGCUUUGAUCUAUCCAUGCUUCUUAAGUUUUAAAUAUUUCUUUAGGCAUAUUUGAUCCCUUUCUAUUCUUCGGUUAAAAUUGAUUCUAGUAAUUUCUAUUUUUUUUCCUCAUGCUCAAAAUAUUGUUAGAUAUGCAACUAAGGUCCUAGCACUUAAUUUGGGCGAGUGGAUCCCUUUAUAUAGUAUAAAUCAUAUCAUAUCCUAUUAUAGGGUUAUGCAUCUUGGUUCAUUAAAGCAUUUGGGGACUAUUCCCCUUAUACAUAGCCAUUAAAGCCUAAUUAAGAAUGCUUGACGUUUGCAUCUGGAUACCUAGUUGGGUGCAUGCAGCACUAACCAUGAGUCCAUACACUUAUCACUUGAGUAAUUCUACCCAAAAUUAGUCAUCUUAUCUAGUAUAUAUCCACUACAGCUUAGGCAAAAGAGAAACUAUAAGCAUUAUUGUUAGAAUUUACAUAUCAACCCGAUAAACCAUGAUCGUGCUUUUCAUGGCCAUAAAUCUUAAACAAUAGUAAUCGAUAAACAACUUUUCAAAAGCAUCACUUGCCUUGACCUAAGCAUUUAGGACCUAGUUCUUUUUGCUCUUUCUUACUCGACCUCUUACACCAAUGAAUCAAUACGGAAGUGGACACUUUGUCAAGGGCACAUCUCAACAAUAACAUAUAUUCCUAACAAUCUAGUGAGCAUUGCCUAACACAGGCCUGCCCAACUAAUAGUUUUUUCAUGAAGAGAGAGUUGAUCUCAACCCUUUUAGUCAACCUACCAUGGAGUAGCAACAUAAACUAUCUCUUCCCAAACACCCUAGUUCAAUUAGCUUUCAACUCUCAAGUCGUAGGUAAUCCAUGCUUGUCAACCUUCAUUCAAUUAAGAUCUAACUUAACCUUUGGAGAGGCAUAGCCAAGGUUCACUUUCAAUACUCCUUAGUGCUAGUGCUAGGUGCUAUAGGCAAAGAGGUCAAUCACCACCUCUAGGAAGAGUAUUGUUAAUUCACAUCACUCAUGGACCCUAGCUCAAGAGUUUGAGAACUAGUAAUAACUAUGAAAUAACAAUGGUCAAAGUGUAAGAGAUUUAUUUUAGGGAAACAAAAAAUUAAAUAAACAUAAUAAGCUUAGCAUGAUUAAUUAUCAAUUAAUUAUAUAUUUUUUUUAAUAAAGAAGUUCCAAGUUUGAAACCAUCGUUUAUCUAUAACCCUUUCGCCUUGACAAUAUGAAACUAUAUUACAAAUUUAAAUAAUUUUUCAAUGUUUACAUGUGAGACAUUAACAUUUGUUCAGAAAUUUAAAAAAAAAAAAAAAAAAAAGGUUAUUUGGACACAUGACUCAAAAUAACUCUCAAAUUGUAAAAAUGGCCCCUCACACUUUAAUUUUGUUGAGAAAUAACUCUUUAUGGAUACUCUUACCCUUCUUCAUUUUGUUUGUUAUAAAAAUCAUUAUCUUUUCAUAACUAUCUUAUCUUUCAAAUAACUCAUUCUUGCUUUCAUUUUAGAUUUUUAUCUAAAUUAAAUAAAUACACAAUAGUCAAGUUUGAUUUACAAAAAAUCUUAACUAGAAUUAAAUUUAUUUACAAAUAAUUUAACUACUGUCAAGUUUUCCAUUUCAUCUACAAAGAACUCGAUUAUAAUGAUAUGAACUUUGUUGUUAUUAAGUUUUAUUUUUAAAAAAAAAACUUAAUUAGAGUUAAUUUAACAUCUAUUCUACAAAAAAACCUAAUUAUAAUUAAGUUCUUAAUUAGAAUAUUCAUAUGGACAUAAACAUUAAAUGAAAGGAUUAUGUGAUCUCAUCUUCACAUUUUAGAAGUUUAAAUGAAACUACAAAAACAAUUAACAAAAAAUAGUAAAAAUUACCACUAAAGGACAACCUCAAAAAAUCCUAACAAAAAUCCCACUAGAAAAAUCCCCACCAAAAAACCUUAACCAAAAUCCUAGUGGAACAUUGAAAAAAAAAAAAACAACCAAAUCCCAACAAUACAAUUGCAAAAAAUGCUAACAAAAAAUAACUACAAAAUCCCAAUAUAUAUAUAUAUAAAACAACCAUAAAAAACACUAACCAAACACACACACACAUAUAAAGGAUAAUGAAAGAUCUUGAAGAAGACCGCAAAAAACAGGAAAAUCUCAACAAAAACUAACUCCAAAUCAAAAGAAACAAAAAACCACUACAAAAAAAAUCACAAAAAAAUCCUAACUAAAAAUAAAGAAAAUGAUGAAAGAUCUUGAAGAAGAAAAAAAGAUGAGAGAAUUGUGGUCGAUUUUUAUCAUUUCUUCGAUUUGAACUACACCCCUAAAUUCACAAGGAAAGAACUUGGAAAAUUCAUUGGAAGAGUGAGAAGGAAAUGAUUGGGGAAUGAGGAAAAAAUGUCAAUUGAGAAAAAAAAAAAAGUAAUAUUAUCUUAAAUCAAUCAUUUUUUUUAGAGAAUAAAGAAGAAAGGUCAUUCUUCUGAUUUGAGAAGCAUUUGAAAUUUUUUAGCCAAAAAUCUCUUUAAAAAAUUGUAAGUAAAGUGGUGUUUUUUUGUUUGUUUUCCUUUUUUUGUUUUUGUUUUUUUUUUUUUUCAAAAUUGUUUUUUUUUUUUGAAAAAAAAAACUUUUUAAAAUUUUUUUAACUGAAUAAAAAAAGUCAAAAUAUUUAACUUUUUUUUUUUAAUGAUAAAAGUAACAUAUUGAUUUUUCUUUAUUCCUUAAUAUUCAAUAUAAAUAAAAUAUUACAAAAACAAACAACUUAAUACUUAAUUUUAUUAAGCACUAUUUAAUUUUGAAAGGUGAAAAUAUGAAAUAUUACAAUGUCAUUAAACAAAAUAAAGUCCAUUGUUUUUUUAAAAAUCAUAUCAAUGUCAUUAAACAAAAUAAAAUCAUGGAUGUUGGACUCUACCAAAGCCCAAUUGAUUUUGCAUGAAUUAAUUCUACAAAUUCCAUGAUUUGAAAUUAUAGAAUUUAAUUCAUGCUUAUUUUAAAACAAUUUAAAAAUCAAGGAAAAAAAUUGUGAAAAAUGUUUGCCGAAGAGAAAAUGGCAAUAAAUUUUAUUGGAAAUGGGAUUUUUGAGACUUAAAAAUUCUAAGAAUGAAAAAUUGUGGAAUCAAAACAAGAUCUUUUUUAAAAUAAUUUUUUAAAGACAUGCAUGCACACGGGUUUUGAAAUUGAGCAUAGGAGGGUCGCCAUGCAACUUUGAAUCAUUCAUGUGGCCCAGGGGUGCAACUGAGACCGCACUGUGAGGUUGGUGAUUGCAGCUGUCAUCCUCUCUGAAUUUCCCCUCUUGCCGACUUGACAAUCCCUCUCAUGCAGAUGGGACAUUUUCCAACAGAGAUGUUGUCAGUCCUGAAUCAGAGGCACUGUUCCUAAUAUUUUCAUGCAUCUUAAUUAAAGGUAAACCAGGAAGGGUAGAGAUGAAGGAGCGGGUCCUGCGUGCUUGGGAAUGACAUACCAAAAGGGGCCAUGCAAACCAUGCAAGAGUGGGGUCCGAGGAGUGCCAAAGUGGGACGACAUGAUUUCAGUCAUUGUGCAGGUUUGUCUGAACUGGGAUUCUAUUCGGUGUUUCACUUCUUUCCUCCAUCCUUAAUGAUCUUCAUAACAGUUGGAAAGGAGUCAGACCAGUUUUUGUUUCCUUUUACCUCUUCUGCUGAUGGAUUUUCUAGAAUGAUCUCCAAUUUCUGUGAUUUUGGACUUCGAAAAUUACCCAUGAAAUUUCUGGGGAAAAACUGAUUGGAGAGAGAGAGUCCCUUCCUGAUAACGCAUGCUGGGCAUGAUGGUUUCCAGUCCCCAGUUGAAGGCUAUCGUCUUCAAGCCUCGAGAGAUCAUAAAAGUAAGAUUGGCGAGGGCGACUCUGAAGUUAUUUACAAGAUAAAGCCUUCAUUCCAUGUGCGCCUUAACAACAGGUAGCACCAAAGAAACCAGAGUGGACCAUUCUCAACCUCGGUCGCGUCCAUCUUGUUCAACUCUAAAGGAUCAGACGACUGUUUUGACCAAGGAUAUGGUUGUAUGUCUUCUGGUCCGCUGCCUAUUUACAUCUGGCAGCACUAAGCUAACUUCAUUGGCACCUAUGUAACUGAAAGCAUAGGUCUCUAUAGGUAAGUCUACUACUUUGCAUGUGAAUAUUUGGAAUGCUAAGACAACGGCGAACUAGAAUAAUGGAGGCAAUGAAUGAGCUAUUCCCCUAGAUGGGGGCUAUACUUUCUCCCAUAAUUGCUUCUUGCUGUUGAAUAACCAUCAAGAUACUCAUCUAAUGAGCAAUUACUUCUCAGAAUUGGCUGUCGAAGGUUUUGAAUGUACUUCCAGAUCAGAUGAAACAAAUGAGGAUCCUCUUGCCAUUGGAAGACUGCUGAAAGUGAGCCGGAGCAUGAACUUUACUAAUUAGAUUCAUCAAAUUGCGCACCUUGGCCUGCCAGUGUGGACCCGUUCUGGAGCUGCUAUGAUUAUCCUGAAGUUUAUUUCUAGUAACUGGCUAUAAGACUCUGCAAAAAUUCGGUGGUUGAUGGGAAUGCAAAGAUGGGUAUUCAACGCAUGGAGUCUCGAAUAACAUUCCUUGCUGCUCAUAACUAGUUCUGAUCCAUGUAGCAGAUUCCCCAAUUGUAUGUACGCGGACAUUUCCAUCAAACGACUAUCGAAACUGAAUUGGAGAAGGAAUUGCACCAAUUGGAUUCACUUAACCGUGCAUCUUAACCUUGGCAAAACUGGAUUUGGGAAGAAGCAUUCUACAUGGAAGAUCCAAUUGCUAGGAGAAGGGGAUAAAAAAUGUCUUCUUCCAAGGUGUUGAGUUUGGACAAGUCAUGUGGAGGUUGCAUGCACACGAGAAAUAAUGGAAAUGAACUUGUGGGAGAUGAAUAGUGGGGUUGGCAGGUUGGGUAAGUGUGAAGGAUGGGGACUGGUGGUGGAAUGAAUGGAGCUGUAGGUGGUGGAUAUGGUAUUAAUUCGGUGAAUGUGAAGAAUGGGAACUAGUGAGUAUAAAGGGUGAACAUGCAUGCAUAGUUUCUACUAGUACGAAUCUGCAAAGGAGCUACAUCAUUCUUCCAGCUCCGAAUGAGACGCGCGGCGACUUUAAACAUUGCAAAGUGGCCAUGCAAGUUGAACCCACGUGUGUGCGAACCCGGGAUGGAGUGGUUGAGUGGCAAACUAAGUGGGAAUUACAAAACUAGAACUUGUCAAGUAGUUAACAACUUAACAAAUUGUUAUUUAAGUAGUUAACAGGCUGUUUGUUGUAACUAAUUAGAUGUGUUUGUUAGUAACUGAUCUUUAGAUUCUUGUAUAUAAGAAACAGAGGACUGAUCAGUGUUGUAGAGGGAUAUAGCUCAAUUUCAGUUCCGUCUUUCUGGUUUUCUCUUAAACAGAUGCUCUACACAUCUUCUUCUUCUCUUCAUAUCUCUGAGUUCUUUCUUGGUAUCAGAGCCAUCAACUAACAUCUGUAAAUCUUUUUUUCAUGGCAUCAGAAGGAUCAACAUCUUCAAUGGAUCAUCCUAAUUCCAACUUUACUCAUCAUACAAUGCCAUCAUUGAAUCAAGCAUUCACGGUAAGAAUCAAUCAAUCAAAUUAUUUACUAGGGCGAACUCAGAUGUUGAACAUCAUCAUUGCAAAUGGCAUUGAAGAGAUGAUCCAUGGAAAAAUCCCUGCUCCUUCAUGGUUUCUUGGCGAUUCAGAGAACAUAAAUCUAGAAUACAAUAUAUGGCAACGUCAGAAUCGCUUAGUAAUGUGUUGGAUCUAUUCCCUUUUAACAGAAGGAGUGAUGACACAGAUUAUCGGACUUGAUACUACAUCAGAAAUCUGGAUUGCUCUAGAGAAAAUUUUCUUAGUAGCUUCAAAGGCUCGUACCAUGCAGCUUCGCUUCCAACUGCAAACAACAAAGAAAGGAGGAUUGAGUAUGAUGGAAUAUCUACUCAAAAUCAAGUCCAUUGUAGAUAACUUGGUUGCAAUUGGAGAAAAUAUUACGAGCAAGAUCGAAUUCUCUAUUUACUUGCAGGACUAAGAGCAGAGUACAAUUCGUUUGUCAUUUCAGUUACCUUUGGGCAUGAAUCAUUAAGCCUAGAAGAAAUUCAUAGCAUGCUCUUAACUCAUGAAAAUCGAUUGGAACAACACACAACAGAAGAAACAAAUCUUAUGCAAGUAAAUAUUGCAACAAUGAACCUUCAAGGUCACAACAGAAAAAAUCAAAAGUUUGGUCAAUUCAAGACUCAAGGUAGAGGUAGUCAGAAUCCACAACAAUUUAAUCAUCAGAAUUUUGGUAGAAGCCGUGGGAGAGGUCACUAUAACAACAAUGGUGGAAAUUUUGGGCAUGGUCUAGGAAAAGGUAGCUUUAAUAACCAUUUUUACUCAUCUGGAAACUUCAAUAAUGUUUCUGGUGGCAGCAAUGGAAAACCACAGUGCCAAGUAUGUGGUAAAUAUGGUCACAUUGCGAUUAAUUGCUAUAAUAGAUUUUAUCAAAACUUAUCAAUCAACAAUGAACAAUCAGCUUGCUGUAAUGGUUUGCAACUCCGUCCAAUGUUGGAGAUGGAAGUUGGUACAUGGAUACCGGAGCUAUGCAUCACCUAACUCCAAAUCUCAACAAUUUGAAUUCACAUACUCCAUUUGCUGGUUCAGACAAAGUCGUCGUUGGAAAUGGUAUUUGUUUAAAUAUCUCAAAUAUUGGACACUCCAUUAUUUCUUCAGCUUCUCGGUCAUUAAAUCUAAGAAUAUUUUACAUGUUCCACAACUUACAACCAAUCUGAUAAGUGUGAAUAGGUUGUAUACUAACAAUAAUGUUACUGUGGAAUUCUUUACUAAUGGAUUUGUGGUGAAGGAUCAAACUUUGAAGAAGGCUCUUCUCCAAGGCAACCUUAACUAUGGCUUAUACAAUCUGUCUUCAACACCUAGUAGAAGAUAUCAAGAUCCUGAUGAUAAUAAACUUGCUGGAAGAACAAGCUUGACAACUGAGGUCCCAUGUAUGUCAUCUACAUUACAACUUCCCAAUAAGGCAGUUCUAUGGCAUUUCAGGUUAGGCCUCCUGCACAUAAAAUAGUCAAUAAAGUUUUGAGUGCUUGUAGCUUGCCCCUAGAACAUUGGACAGGUGUUUGUGAACCUUGUCAAAUGGCAAAGAGCCAUCGCUUACCUUUUACUUUGUCUGAAUCCAGAGCCUCUCAGCCUUUUGCUCUUGCACAUUCUAAUCUAUGGGGUCCUACCCCUGUUGUUGGUGCUAAUGGUGCAAGAUACUUUGUGCUCUUUGUGGAUGACCAUACAAGAUUUUCUUGGUUGUAUCUACUAGCUUCUAAAGAUCAACUAUCUCUGCCUUUUUGCAAUUUAAAGUGAUGAUUGAGACUCAAUUUGAUACUAAAGUUAGAAUGCUUCAAACUGAUUGGGGAGGAGAGUUUCAAGCCUUUACUAAUACCUUAUGUAAGUUUGGGAUUCUGCAUAGAGUAUCUUGUCCAUCCACUUCUCAACAAAAUGGUCGUGUGGAGAGAAAACAUAGGCAUGUGGUUGAAGUAGGUCUUUCCUUGCUUGCUCAUGCUUCUAUUCCACUUAAAUAUUGGCCUUUUGCCUUCCAAUCUGCUUUAUAUUUGAUUAAUAGGCUUCCUUCCUCUGUGCUGAACUUUUCUCUCCAUAUAAGACUCUUUACCAUUGUCUACCAAAUUAUUCUUUUCUUCGCGUCUAUGGUUGCACUUGUUAUCCUUUUCUCCAUCCUUUUAAUCGCCAUAAAUUUGCAUACCGAUCAGUUAAAUGCACCUUUAUUGGCUAUAGUUCUAAGCAUAAAGGAUAUCUAUGUUUGAACUUGUCCACUGGAAAAAUACAUAUAUCACGACAUGUUAUUUUUUAUGAACUAGAUUUCCCGUUUGCUAAGCCUUCUACAGUUCAACCUCCUUGUCAUGUUUCCCCCUCUCAUUGUGCCAUUCCUUUAGUAAUACCAACCACUCCAAUAUCUUCCCUCUUGCUUUCCUCAUCCAGUCCAUCUUCAGAGCUGGUUCCAAUCUCUUAUGAUAGUAUGUCAAUUUCCUCUUCAAAAGUUGCACCUAUUCCAAUAGCUCAACCGUCUUUCUCUCAUGUUCCUCCUUCUUGUCAUCCCAUGACAACGCAUGCCAAAAAUGGCAUUUUCAAACCCAAGAUAUUUCCAUCCCCUAUUAAGACUAUUUUUCAUUCACCUUGUGAACCGAAUUCCUUCAAGGAAGCUGCUAAAGUUCCUGAAUGGCAGCAAGCUAUGCACCUUGAAUUUGAAGCUCUUAUGAACAAUAAAACAUGGGUCCUAGUUCCUCCUCCGUCUAAUCAGAAUAUCAUUGGAUGUCGCUGGGUUUAUAAAUUGAAGUACAAACCUGAUGGAACUGUUGAACGCAAUAAAGCACGUUUGGUGGCUAAAGGAUUUCAUCAAACUCCUGGUUUUGAUUACUUUGAAACCUUCAGUCCCAUGGUUAAACCUACUACUAUUCGUGUGGUUCUCUCUUUGGCAUUAAGUAAAAAUUGGUCCAUCAGACAACUUGAUGUUCAUAAUGCCUUUCUUAAUGAUGAUUUAUUUGAGCAAGUUUUUAUGACACAACCCCCAGGCUUUGUGGAUCCCUCUAAGCCCAACUUUGUUUGUAAACUUACCAAGGCAUUGUAUGGUCUAAAGCAAGCUCCAUGGGCUUGGUUCACCAAACUCAGCUCCGCCUUAGUUAAAUGGGGUUUUUCCAUGUCUCAAGCAGAUACAUCAAUGUUUGUUUACUAUAACAAUUCUGCCAUGCUUGUUGUCUUGGUUUAUGUUGAUGAUAUUACUGUCACUGGCUCAAGUUCCUUGCUCAUUGAACAACUUAUGUCCUCCUUAAACUCUUGCUUUGCUUUCAAGGAUCUUGGUCCUCUUAACUUCUUUCUUGGAAUAAAGGUGUUGAAUUUUGGAUCUUCUUUGCAUUUAAGUCAAGCUAGAUAUAUCUGUCAUCUUCUUCAACGUGCUGGUUUGUCUGAAUCAAAGUCCAUGACUUCCCCAAUGGCUGCUGGCCCUGUUCUUUCCAUAGAUGAUGGUACCAGAUUAGAAGAUCCCACCUUGUACCGGAGUCUUGUGGGUGCCCUACAGUAUUGCACAAUCACUAGACCAUAUAUUGCUUAUACCGUUAAUAAGCUUUGCCAAUUUAUGCAUGCUCCAACCUCUACUCAUCUUCAAGCCGUGAAGCAUGUCCUUCGUUAUCUCAAAGGUUCAUUGUUUUAUGGGCUUUCUUUCCAACCAUCUUCUUCCCUUGAUCUUAUUGCCUAUACAGAUGCGGAUUGGGCAUCUUGCCCUAAUGAUAGAUGUAGCACCAAUGGCUACUGCAUAUUUUUUAAAGGCAAUCUGGUCUCUUGGUCAGCUUCUAAACAAAAGGUGGUUUCACGCUCUAGUACUAAAUCCGAAUAUAGGGGCUUGGAUAAGGCAACAGUUGAACUCACUUGGAUCCAGUACCUGCUUAAAGAAAUUUUUGUUCCCCUGUUUCAGUCUCCUGUUCUUUAUUGUGAAAAUCUCAGCACUACUUAUUUAGUUGCAAAUCUUGUCCUUCAUUCUCGGGCUAAACAUGUGGAAAUUGAUUAUCAUUUUGUUCGUGAGCAAGUCUUGCAAAAAAUUCUUGAUGUUCGAUUUCUCCCAUUUGAAGAUCAAGUUGCUGAUAUCUUGACCAAAGCUCUUUCAACUCAAUGUUUCCUCCAUCUCCAAAGCAAGCUCACAGUUCUUUCUCAUCCUGUGUGCUCGAGGAGGGAUGCCAAGUAGUUAACAACUUAACAAACUGUUAUUUAAGUAGUUAACAGGCUGUUUGUUGUAACUAAUUAGAUGUGUUUGUUAGUAACUGAUCUUUAGAUUCUUGUAUAUAAGAAACAGAGGACUGAUCAGUGUUGUAGUGGGAUAUAGCUCAAUUUCAGUUUCCGCCUUUCUGGUUUUCUCUCAAACAGAUGCUCUGCACAUCUUCUUCUUCUCUUCGUAUCUCUGAGUUCUUUUUGAACUCUCAUCAUAAUGUGCACCGAAGGGGCCAUACAUGUGGGCUGCAUACCCAUGGGAAAAAUUGGGAAGGUGUGCAUGGGGAGUGAAUGGUGGAAUGAGUGAUGGACAUGUUGGAUAGGUAUGAGAUUUAGGUUGCGUAGGUAUGAACGAUGAGAGAUGGGUAUGGUGACAGUGGGGUAAUCCAGUGGGUAUGAAGGUUGGAGAAAUGGUGGGUUUGCACAUAAGAAUUCUUGCAUGUUGAGGAUGAAUGAGAUGCAAUUUGCUGGAGAAAACAUCGAUUUCCAGCACACCAGAUCACCAAAAAUUACUAUCAUUCUUUUCACCAUUGAUCGCGUUUUCACCAUUGAUUAUUGCAUUUGGGUUCUCUUUACCAUCACUGAUGUCUAAAAGCUUCACAUGAUACAAGGCCCAACUCAAAAUUGCUCUCUCUCUUCGUUUUGACCAUCCAAACCUGUUUGUAGAUGAGCCAUGCCCUGUCUCUUGCAGCAGCUUUUUCUGAGCGUGGACUGCCACCACUAGAGCUGAGGUAUUCCAUUGACAACCGGAGCUACACCGCUACAUGAAUAGGAGUCAAAUGUUGCUCAUACCCUGCAUCUCGUCCCAUAUCUGACUUUCUGCAAUUCCUCUAGUCUGUCCUUGAAUAACCCACAGCUAGCAAAAUCUCCCACAAACUGUAUUAAAAGAGAGUAGACAAAUUCAUGCCACGAGCACAUAUCUAAUAUCUCGAUGCAUUCUUUAAGUAGAGGAUUCCAAGAACGAUGGGAAACAUCUUUUCCAGAAUAAUGAGAACCUGGCCAAGAAGAGUAUCGACUCUGUCAUUGGCUCGGGCCCAUGAAGAAGCUAUGAUUAGCCAACAAGACCAAGAGCAACUAAGGAAGUCAAAGGUAAAAGAAGUGUAGCUGGAAUCUGGGUGCCACCAUUCAAACUGUUGAGUAGCCAAGUGCUCUGUAACAAUGUCAUCUAAUAAGAGGACUCAUUGGACAUCUCUUCUAUGGACAAGUGGGGCAUCAACAAAUUCUGAAAGGUGUCAUUGAGUCAACUGAAACUCUCUUGAACCUCAUAAUAGAAACCUACUCAUCAAAUCAUAGUCCAUUCCCACCAUAUUGGCCGCCUUCAAAAAUAACACUGAUGAGGCCCGAAGUUGUUGAAACAUCUGAAGGCUCUUCUGACAAUUUUUUGCACAGCUUCACGAGAAAUCUUCUCAAACCAUUUCUCAAGGAUGUCUAUACAAUGAAAGGUGCUAAUUACUUGGUCAAUGUUUUAUAUUAACACACUAUUAAUCAUGACUUACAAUUUUUUCUUCGAAUUAUUGAAUUGGAGAUGAGUCAAAUGCAACUGCUUAGAUGUUAACUAUCUUUCCUCUGUCAUAAAUAAACAAAUGGUUAAUUAAGUCUUAUUCUAUUGUUAUUAAAAAAAAAAUAGAACAACAUAUGAAAAUAAAAAAGGAUUUACAUAUUAAAAGAAAUGUGCAUUCCUAUGAUUUAUAGGGAUAUUAGUGCUCAUAAUGAGGAGGCAAAGUCAACUCUCCAACAAUGAUCUCACACAUAGAUAACUCCUAGAAUUGUAAUGUUUAUGUUUAUUUUUACGGUGUAAUUAGAAGAUUAUUUAUAUAAAAGUUCUCAAUAAUAUUUCUAGCUUCAAUUGCCACAUACACCAAGUUUUACAUGGCAUCAAAGUAUGAACUAACAAGCCAAAAUAUGUUUUCUUCUUUAUUCUUUUUUUCUAUUAAAAAAUUGAACUUGAAUUCAAUAUUUAGUAAUUUCACAAGUGUUCUAAUUUCAUCUUAAUCAAACUAAAAUAUUACAAAGUUUUCUAUUUGGAAAAAUCAAGUUCUCCCUUAGUUUUAUUUGUGGCCUCAGUAUUCACCAUUAUUUUUUAAAUAAAACGAGGAAAACAAAAGUAUCCUAACCUACAAUACUAGAUAUGGGUCAAUAAUAAUGGGCUUCUCACUUUAUGGCUUCUUCAAACCAUGAAAGGAGGCAUUUUAAAGAUGAUAUUUCAUGUUGAAAUGAUAGAUGAUCGAGGUAUGAACUGCUCUUGAAGAGUAUUUGCCCCUUACCAUAGUGGAGAAUGAAAGAAACCUAGAAAAUAUAUUCAUGACCCUCAAAAAGAGGUCAUUGUCUCUUAAAGAGUAUUUAGGGGACUUCAAAACUAUAUGUGACAAUCUUGCAACAAUCAAAAAUCUUGUUUCAAAUCAAGACAAAGUUUUUCAAUUUGCUCAUGGCUUAGGACAUGACAAAGAUAUGAAAAGUUUUUAAAUUUUCAUUUAGUCUAAAAUCAAUUUGCCAUUACAACACAAUUUUAUUUACUCUGACUAUGAUGAUUUUGCUUCUUUAUUUUAAAAUAUUUACUUCAUUGUGGAGGUAUUUUCCCAAAAAAAAAAAGGUUUUCCCAUUGUUACAAGUGAUGACUUUCACACUUGCUUUAAAGAUAUAAGAUUUAGAUUUAACCAAUGUAACCUAUUUCACUUUGAGAAGCAUUUUUUAAAGAACUAUUUCAUUCAUUAUAUGAAAAAUUAUCAAAUUUGACAUAAUUUUCAUGAAUUUCAUAAAUCUAAAAUCUCAUUUAGAAAUCAAACUUAGAAGAUUCCCUAUUAAUCAAGAAAAAUAGAAAAUCUUACAUUACCUAUACAUCAAAUUCUAUAUUUACUCCAAUCUUAGAGUCUAGAGUGUCAUUAAAAUAUCUCUAGGGAUAAUAGAGAGAAGCCUCACUUUUAAAAGAACUUCAUAAAUGAAAGAUCACUCAAAAUAAAUAAAAUAGUGAAUGUAUUUUCAAUAUUUAAUCAUUGUAUAUAUAAAAGAGUUAAAAUAAAUAAAAUAAAUUUAAAGUAUAAUAUAAAAAUAAUUUAUUAUUUAAUUUUUUUUGUCUUACUCUUUUUUCUUUCCAUUUUAUUAUUUUCAGAUAUUUUAAUAAAGAAAAAAAAUGUUAAGGGUCUUUUUCAUAUUUAAUCUCAUCAUAAAAAAUAUAAAAGAAAAUUAAAUAUAUAGUUAAAAAUUUUAUAUUUUAAAUAAUUUAAUCUUUACAUAUGAGAAUAAGUGAAAUCGGUUUUAAACCAAAAAUUUAAAUUUCUUUAAUCUUUGCAUAUGAGAAAUAAGUGAAAUCGAUUUUAAGCAGUAUAUAAAAAUAAUUUAUUAACUUUAAAUUAAUUUUUUAACUUUUUAAUUUAUGUUUCCUUCUUAUUUUCUUUUUAUUUAUUUAUUUUUUAAGUUGUGUUUGGUUUUCAGAAAUUAUUAAGGAAAAAAGAAAAUAAUAAGGAAAAUGAUUUUCUUGUUUGAUUACAAUAUAGAAUAUAGCAAUAAAAAUGAAAUAUAAUUAAAAUUAAUAAAAACUUAUACAUUCUCUAAUCUAUGUAUUAAAGAAAUAAAAUAAAUAAAAUAAGUUUGGAGUAACAUAUAAAAAUAAUUUAUUGAUUUUAAAUUUAUUUUUUAUUUUCCUUUGUGUUUUUUUCUUUCUUUCUAUUUUCUUCCCCUUUCAUUUUCCCUCAAAUGUUUUUGAGCCAAACAUAGCUUUUGAGUUUUAGUAACCAAACAUAAGCAUGAUGUUAGAACUUCGAGGAAACAUGAAUACAAUUUAUAGUUAUAAUGAUACAUGUGAUCUCUCUUUCAUGAUCAAUCCAAGAAGAACUUGGAGUCCCCAUCACCUAAACCCUUAUCAACUGCUAUUUUACAUAUGAACUACUAUUUUACAUGAUCAAUCCUAAUAGUCUCAUACACUUCUUUGUUAGACUUCAGCCAGCCACAAGUAUUGGUUGAAGGAAAUAAGACAACAUUCAACAAACAAGAAUUGAUUUCUUAAUUCAUGAUACAAUGAAAGGUGCUAAUUACUUGGUCAAUGUUUUAUAUUAACACACUACUAAUCAUGACUUGGCUAAUAAAAUAGCCUUACAAUAACUAAUUGAUAAGAAAAACAGCCCACGUUUUACACUAACAAAUAACGUGGUAAAGAGUAGAGAAUAAGUCAAAGCUGGAAACUACCCUGCUUAUAAAACUACCCUGCUUAAUAGGAAUUAUUAAAAAAAAAAAAAAAAACUAAACAAUCAGAAAACUUAAAUCUUGACAAGGACAUAGUUCUGAUCAAUUAUGAGAAGAUGAAAACUUGUUGCGAAGACAGAUUCUGAUUUUGCAAGCUUGGGUAGACCAGAUGUAACCUAAUUCACUUUGAGAAGCAUUUUUUAUAGAACUAUUUCAUACAUGAAAUGAAAAAUGAUCAAAUUUGACAUAAUUUUCAUGAAUUUCAUAAAUCUAAAAUCUCAUUUAGAAAUCAAACUUAGAAGAUUCCCUAUUAAUUAAGAAAAAUAGAAAAAUCUUACAUUACCUAUACAUCAAAUUCUAUAUUUACUCCAAUCUUAGAGUCUAGAGAGUCAUUAAAAUAUCUCUAGGGAUAAUAGAGAGAAGCCUCACAUUUAAAAGAACUUCAUAAAUGAAAGAUCACUCAAAAUAUUUAGGAAAACAAUAUCAUAUCAAUUAAUCAAACUAUCAAACUAUCAAACCACAGGUAUGUUAACUAAUAAGUAAGGACAUAGUUCUGAUCAAUUAUGAGAAGAUGAAAACUUGUUGCGAAGACAGAUUCUGAUUUUGCAAGCUUGGGUAGACCAGACACAGCAUUACUGGUACAUGCUGAUGAACUAGCUGCUGAAGAUUCCCAACUCGAAAACUAUUGAUCUGUCUUGAAACCAGCCUAGGAGUGAGACACCAAGGCUAAUCUACUGGAAUGAAGCAUUGCAAUACCUUGGGCUGCCAUGGAAAUGCAAUGAAAGUUGGCUUUCUUGACAAGCUUGAUCUUGGGAUGCCAAUCAUUGCAUUACUAAGUGAUGCUUAUGGGGCCACAUCCCCGUUAUGCUUGUUGGAGACUUUAACAGCAUGCCACCAAGUACACCGUAUCAGUUUCUGGCCUCAUCUAAAAUGGAACAUCAGUCACAACAUAGAGCCUACAGAUACCAGCAGAAUGAAGAUGCAUCCAGAACAAGGCCAUUCAUGCAUACAUGGAGCAAUGAAGAAUUAAGGCCCGCCACUGGCAGCGAUGGAGUUAUCUCAUAUGGUCCUUGUCAAACUCCUAUUCUUGGCUUCUGUGUACAGCACCACUGGAAGUUUUCCCACUCCAAUAUCAGAAAGUUGAAAUAUUCUCAAGAAAUGACCUGACCUCCAGGUUGACCUUGGCUGUUGAUACUGCUUCCAUUGGACCUCUUCCUCUCUUGGGUUCAUUCAUCACUCAGAUGGGUACAAAUGACUACAGUUCAAUUCCUUAACAACUCAAAGAUCACAAAUGCGAGGGAUCAUAUGGAACUAGAUGGCCUAUAGAAAAAAGAUGGUGAAAGAGCAGAGAAGGUGGACUCAUUAACAGCUGAAGUCAAAAGGCUAAAGGAUCUUUUGUUAUUUCCACAUUAAAAUUAAGUGGGUGGCCCACUAACCUAGUAUUUAGCCAAUUAAAAGAAUACCCAAUAUCUUUAAACUGUUAUAAAGAUAUUUACCCUUGAUGGAGUGGGUAAAUUAUAAUAAUUUUAAUAUUAUUAUUUGGAAUAAAAACAGUUAUUCGAAUAACACGUUUAGAACGAUUUUUGAACGUGUAUUCUUGGCCCUCUUCUCCUAUCAAUAAGAUAUAUAUAUAGAAACCCCUUCAUGUGCGGUGAGUACUCUCUUCCAUCAAUUACAGAAAACAAUUCUGUGUAUUAAGGUUUGAUAAGGAGAAGAAGAGAUAAAGGAUUUAAGAUCUAUAAACUGAAGGGAAAUCUCUCAUGGCUGCUUGUUCUUCAAACGGUAUGUAAUCUAUUUUUAAUUAAUGUUUUUAUUAUUUUAUUAUUAGAGAUGAGUUUGAAUUCAAUGAUCUGGAAUAUCGUGUGUUAAUUUCCGUAUUAAAUAUCAACAAUUGGUAUCAGAGCAAGGUUGAAUUUAAAUAUUCAGAAUCACUGUUUUAUAAAGAUUAAAUUUUGAGAUUUAUCUUCGAUUAAUUCGUCUCACUAAAAUGAAUAAAAAAAAAAUUAAUUAAACAAAAUAAAGACCAGCCUCAACGCGUAGAAGGAAGAUUUUUAUUUUUCCUUGCAACGCUAACUGGAUCAAUGCCGAUGAGGGGCGCUGGUUUGGCGGACUGGUUUGGCGUCAGUCCGGUGGCCGUUUUCUGACGCCAUUGCCGGUGCCAUCGCGCCGUUUUCAGGCGCCAAUCCAGGCGCCAUUGUCGGAGCACCAUCUCGCCGUUUGCGCGCUGGUUGCAGGCGCCAUUGUUGGCGCCAGUCCAGGCGGCAUUACUGGCCCCAUUGAAGGCACCAUCUCGCUGUUUGCGCAUUGGUUGCAAGCGCCAUUGCUGGCGCCAUUGAAGGCGCCGUUUUUAGGCGCUAUCUUCUGGUUGCAAGUGUCGUUUCCUCGCCGUUUCAGGCGCGCUUCAAACACCAGACUAGAAGCUUCAAUAAAGGAGAAAUACAGAAUCACAACACUGGUUAGCCGAUUGUCAUCAUCACUUAUUUGAAUAUGAAACUGAAAUCCUCUUUUAAGAUGUCCAUGCAGCUUGUGCUAUUUGAACAACAAUUUCAUGAAACAAAAAAAAAAACUAUUCAAGUCAUAGCUUUAGCUUUAGGUUGAAAUUCAAAAAAAUAAAAGGUGCAUAAGACUUUAGUUUGAUAUACAAUGUAAAUUGAUUAUUGAAUCAGAUGAUUAUUAAAGAUACUAUUUCCUUGAUUUUUUAUUAUUUGAUUUGAACCUUUGUGAAAUUAUUAUUGUAUCUGAUGAAUGCAGAUUUCUUUGAUUUUAUUAUGAUUGAUUAUUGAAUUAGAUGAUUAUUAAAGAUACUAUUUCCUUGAUUUUUUAACUCAAAUAAAAGAAUUAAUUUCAUCUUGUGAAAUUUUAUCCAAAUGACAAUUUAUAAAUGUAAGGUUAACUAAUUUAGAUAGUUGCCAAAGUAACCUAAAUUAGUGAGCCUUGUAUUUAUUGAAUUGCAUAAAAGAAUAAAGGGAGACUUGUAAAAUUCUUAAUAAUUCUCUUUAUAAUUAGGAGAAUGAGACUAACCCAAAGGAGAGUCAAUUUCUACUAAUUAUUAAUUAAUGUUUUUAUUUUGUGUUGCUUAGAAAGGUAAAAUGGAUACCCAAAGGUAACAUAUAAAUGACACAAAAUAGUAAAGUGUUUUAAGCUCCCUCCAAGUGAACACUGGAUAUGUUAAAAUUUACCCAAAGGAGAAUUUUAAUGAUAUCAAUAGUUCAUUGCUAUUUAUUUUAUACUUGAGGCUUUAUUGUCAGCAUUGUUCUAUUUUGUACAGUUCCCACUUCAUUACACUCUCUUGCAUCUGGAAUGACUGUUUUUGAUGGGUCGAACUUUUCUGAAUGGUAUGAAAGGGUUCAAUUCUCACUGGGCGUAUUGGAUCUUGACCUGGCUUUAAUAACUAAUAAACCUCUUGAAGCUAUGGAUGACAGUACUCCGGAGCAAGUGGAACAAUCAAAAGCUUGGGCAAGAUCCAACAAACUCAGUCUGAUGUUUAUGAGAAUGACUAUUGCCAAUAAUAUCAAGACCUCUCUCCCUCAAACCGAGUUUACCUCGGAAUUUCUGAAAUCUGUUGAGGAGCGCUUCAAACGCGCUGAUAAGUCUCUUGUAGGCACAUUGAUGGCUGAAUUGACCACCAUGAAAUAUGAUGGUCAGAAAGGUAUUCAGCAACAUAUUUUAAACAUGACUGAAAAGGCUACAAAGCUUAAGGCACUAGGCAUGGGUAUGGAUGAGUCCUUCUUGGUACAGUUUGUCCUUAACUCACUUCCAUCAUAGUUUGCUACAUUCAAAAUCGACUAUAAUACUAACAGUGAUCAGUGGAACUUGAAUGAUCUCACCAGUAAAUGUAUAUAAGAGGAAGUGAGAUUAAGACAAGAAGGACAUAAUCUUGCUCUUGCUGUAACUCAUGGAGUCAUGAAGAAGAAAGGAAAAUUCAAAAAAGGAAAGAACUUUCCACCUAAGAAAAGCGGACCUGGGGAAGGUAGCCAGAGUCAUGAUGGAAAAUUCACGGUAAGUUGCUACUUUUAUGGCAAGAAAGGGCUUGUGAAGAAGGACUGUAACAAGAGCAAGGCUUGGUUCGAAAAGAGAGGUAUAAAUCUUUCUUUUGUAUGUUAUGAAUCCAAUCUUGCUGAAGUUCCUUCAAAUACUUGGUGGAUUGAUUCUGGAGCCACAACUCAUGUGACUAAUUUAAUGCAGGGAUUCCUUACAACCAGGAAACCAAAGGAAAGUGAAAAGUUCCUCUAUAUGGGAAACCGUCUCAAGGUUGAAGUGGUAGUUGUUGGUACCUAUCGCUUACUAUUAGAGACGGGUCAUUGGAUGGAUCUUUUAAACACUUUUUAUGUACCUUCUAUCUCUAGGAAUUUAGUUUCCUUAUCCAAAUUAGAUGCUACUGGAUAUUCUGUUUUAUGUUCUGGACAAUUAAGUUUGAUGUUAAAUUCUGUUACAGUUGGUUCUGGUAUUUUAUGUGAUGGUUUAUAUAAAAUUUCCUUGAAUCAUGAAUUUGCACAAGCUUUGAUAACCCUACAUUCAAAUUUUGGUUCAAAACGUGGCUUAAUUAAUGAAAAUUCUUCAAUCUUAUGGCACAGAAGACUAGGGCACAUCUCUAGGGAAAGAAUUGAGAGAUUAGUGAAGGAAGGAAUUUUACAAAAUCUUGACUUCACUGAUUUUCAUGUAUGCAUGGAUUGCAUAAAGGGAAAGCAAACUAAACAUACAAAGAAAGGUGCCACAAGAAGUAAUGCGCUCCUUGAGAUAAUUCAUACAGAUAUUUGUGGACCAUUCUCUGUUCCAUGUUUUACAGGAGAGAAAUAUUUUAUCACCUUUAUAGAUGAUCUAUCUCGUUAUGGUUAUGUUUAUCUAAUGCAUGAAAAGUCUCAGGCCAUUGACAUCUUCGAGAUGUUCAUAACAGAGGUCGAGAGACAAUUAGAUAAAAAGAUUAAAAUUGUGAGAUCAGAUCGAGGCGGUGAAUAUUAUGGCAGAUAUGAUGAAUCACGACAAAAUCCUGGUCCUUUUGCCAAAUUCCUUGAAAAGUGUGGCAUUCGUGCUCAGUACACAAUGCCUGGUAUGCCACAAUAGAAUGGUGUUGCUGAAUGGCGUAAUCGCACAUUAAUGGAAAUGGUUAGGAGUAUGAUGAGUUACUCUUCUGUACCUAUUUCAUUGUGGGGUGAAGCCUUAAAAACCACAAUAUAUAUCUUGAACAGAGUUCCUAGUAAGGCAGUUCCAAAAACACCUUUCGAGUUAUGGACUGGUAGGAAACCUAGCUUGAGACAUAUACAUAUAUGGGGUUGUCCAGCGGAGGCAAGAAUCUAUAACCCACAUGAGAAAAAGCUUGAUUCAAGAACGAUAUCUGGAUAUUUCAUUGGCUAUCUGGAUAAAUCGAAAGGGUACAGAUUUUAUUGUCCUAACCACAGUGUGAGAAUAGUUGAAACCGGUAAUGCCAGAUUCUUAGAGAAUGGCGAAAUCAGUGUGAGUAAUGAACCAAGAAAGGUAGAUAUUGAGGAGAUAAGAGUGGAUAUCCCACCACCUUUUUUACCUCAAGAAAUUAUUGUCCCUCAACCUGUUCAACAAGUUGAGGAAAAUGAGCAACAUAAUAGAGAUGGUUCAUUACCACCAGAAAAUAUUGCCAUUGAAAAUGUUGUAGAGCCACCACAACCGACACCUUUGAGGAGAUCUCAAAGAGAAAGGAGACAUGCCAUUACAGAUGAUUAUGUGGUGUAUCUACAGGAAUCUGAUUUUGAUAUUGGGAUAAGGAAGGAUCCGGUUUCAUUUUCACAAGCCAUGGAAAGUGAUGAUUCUAGUAAAUGGAUGGAAGCUAUGAAUGAAGAGUUGAAAUCUAUGGCCCAUAAUGGUGUCUGGGAUCUCAUCGAAUUGCCUAAUAGUUGUAAACCCGUCGGCUGUAAAUGAGUCUUUAAGACAAAGCACGACGCUAAAGGCAAUAUCGAACGAUUUAAGGCCAGACUUGUGGCCAAAGGUCUCACUCAAAAGGAAGGUAUCAAUUACAAAGAUACCUUCUCUCCAGUUUCCAAGAAAGAUUCGCUAAGAAUCAUCAUGGCACUUGUAGCUCAUUUUGAUUUAGAGUUACAUCAAAUGGAUGUGAAAACUGCAUUCUUAAAUGGGAAUUUGGAUGAAGAUAUCUACAUGGAACAACCUGAAGGGUUCACAAAGAAAGGAAAUGAACACCUAGUUUGCAAAUUAAAGAAAUCCAUUUACGGUCUUAAAACAAGCUUCCAGACAAUGGUAUAUUAAGUUCAAUAAUGCCAUUACAUCUUUCGGAUUUAAAGAGAACAUUGUUGAUCAGUGUCUAUAUCUGAAAGUUAGUGGGAACAAGUUUAUAUUUCUGAUACUGUAUGUGGAUGAUAUUUUGCUUGCUAGCAGUGAUCUUGGUUUAUUACGUGAAACCAAGGAAUAUCUCUCUAAAAACUUUCAUAUGGUUGAUAUGGGUGAGACAAACUAUGUUAUUGGCAUCGAGAUCUUUAGGGAUCGAUCUCGAGGAGUGCUAGGUUUAUCUCAGGAAGGAUAUAUUGAUCGGGUUUUAGAGAGAUUUAAUAUGCAAUCAUGUUCAUCGGGUAUUGCACCUAUAUUGAAAGGUGACAAAUUAAGUAAAAUGCAGUGCCCAAGGAAUAACAUGGAAAGGGAGCAAAUGAAGAAAAUUCCUUAUGCAUCAGCUGUGGGGAGUUUGAUGUACGCUCAAACAUGUACAAGACCGGAUAUAAGCUUUUCUGUAGCCAUGUUAGGAAGAUACCAAAGUGAUCCAGGAUUCGAACACUAGAAAGUUGCAAAGAAGGUGAUGAGGUACUUACAAGGGACAAAGGAUUAUAUGCUCACAUAUAAAAGAUCAGAACAAUUAAAGGUUGUCGGUUACUUGGAUUCUAAUUAUGGUGGUUGUCUCAAUAGCUUAAAGUCAACUUCAGGAUUUGUCUUUAUUCUAGCAAAUGGGGCAAUCUCGUGGAAGAGUGAAAAACAAUCAAUUACUGCUUCAUCCACGAUGGAGGCCGAGUUUGUUGCUUGUUUUGAAGUUCAAGUCAUGCUCUAUGGUUGUGGAAUUUUUUCUCAGGGCUUGGUGUUGUCAACUCUAUUGCUAAACCUUUGAGAAUAUAUUGUGAUAACACCGCAGUUGUUUUCUUCUCUAAGAAUGGCAAAUUUUCUAGUGGAUCGAAACACAUGGAUUUAAAGUAUUUAGUUGUUAAAGAAAGAGUCCAGAAACAACAAGUGUCAAUUGAAAAUAUUAGAACCACAUUUAUGGUUGUUGAUCCAUUAACUAAAGGAUUACCUCCAAAGGCAUAUUUGGAACAUGUUAUGAGGAUGGGCCUUUUGAGUAAUCCAUAAUAUGUAUGAUAAUGAAUGGUGGUUAUGUAAUUGACAAUUUGCGCAUUAAAAUUGUUUCUGUUUAUUCUUGUUUUCAAUUAUAGGUGACGUUUUAUUGUUUGAUAAACAAGAAUUGUCCUGACAAGACAAAUUACAGGGGUUAUUUGGCAUUAAGGACUGGGUUAGUAAGGGUUAUUGAUGUGUGGUGCAUGGAAGGAAACAUGACAUUAUGGUUAUGUGACCGCCAUGACUCGCAUUUAUGAUCUAAACUGAUUCAGUAUUAUGGUAUAUGAUUUUGGACGUGUUGGCUAAGUUUAUUGAAAUCAUGAUCACGUGUCAAAUUUAUUUUCCAGUAUAUAUUUUAUAUAUAAACUAAAUAUAUUAUAGUUUUCAUAAUCGGUUUAGUGGGCCAAGUGGGAGAAUGUUAUUUCCACAUUAAAAUUAAGUGGGUGGCCCACUAACCUAGUAUUUAGCCAAUUAAAAGAAUACCCAAUAUCUUUAAACUGUUAUAAAGAUAUUUACCCUUGAUGGAGUGGGUAAAUUAUAAUAAUUUUAAUAUUAUUAUUUGGAAUAAAAACAGUUAUUCGAAUAACACGUUUAGAACGAUUUUUGAACGUGUAUUCUUGGCCCUCUUCUCCUAUCAAUAAGAUAUAUAUAUAUAGAAACCCCUUCAUGUGCGGUGAGUGCUCUCUUCCAUCAAUUACAUAAAACAAUUCUGUGCAUUAAGGUUUGAUAAGGAGAAGAAGAGAUAAAGGAUUUAAGAUCUAUAAACUGAAGGGAAAUCUCUCAUGGCUGCGUGUUCUUCAAACGGUAUGUAAUCUAUUUUUAAUUAAUGUUUUUAUUACUUUAUUAUCAGAGAUGAGUUUGAAUUCAAUGAUCUGGAAUAUUGUGUGUUAAUUUUCGUAUUAAAUAUCAACAUCUUUGCUAUCACAGACGUAAUCAGAAGAAGAGGCCAAGCAAGCUGCCUCUAGUCUAGGUGGCACAACCCAAAUAGAUGGAAUUGGAGAUAUGCUUGAAGUGAGUUUGAAAGAGGUUAUUUAGGCACAAGCACAACAACAUGAAUUGUCGUUUAAGCUUUUGUUGAUGAUUCAAGUUGGGAUUCUGAGAAACUAGAGUUGAGUUGGAGUGCCUUGGCUGAUGAGGUAGUGCGCCAAAACCCAAUGAGCCCUCUAAAAUCAAUAUGGUCAGUUCUUUUCCAGACUACCAGCAAUCUGCAUAGGUCUCCUCAUGCAACCACCAGUGGUGCAGUCUCAGUCCUAUCCCUGGGCCUCACUCCUGCAUGGCUACCUUAAUGCACACUGUCCUCUCCCAAAUGCAUUUCUAUUGUUUCUUUGUGAUCUUACAUGUUUUUAAUCGGGUUUUCAAAUGUUUUUUCAUUCAGAUAAUCUCGGGUUUAAAAAUUAAUCCUUAAACAUUUUUAGGCAUUAAAAUCCUAAUUUUUAAUAAACACUUGCAACCAUUCUUCUCCUAGCAUGAACCUUCCUAAUUUUCUUUAAUUUUCAACAAUUUUCUCGAUUUUUAAUAAACAUGAAUAAAUUCCAUAAUUCCAAAAAUAAUGGAAUUCCUUCCAAAUUCCUGUAAUUCCUCUAUAAUCAUUAGAGUUAGAAUUUAUAGGAUUAGCUCAUGCAAAAAUAAAAUUAGGCCUUGAUGGGAGCCCAACAUCCAUGAUAUUUUCCUUCAUAAUAAUCCAAGUGAAAUGCAUCUUAGGUAUUUAUUGACUUUGAUCUGUUUGUGAAGUGUGUGUGAUUAUUUUCUAUGGUACACUAACCUUGUUUCUUUGAGACAUUUUUGUUGUUGCAUAGGUAUGCUUUCAUCUCUACCUUGUCUAUUUAUUUAUUCCUCAUUAUCAUGCAUGAUUUGUUUUAGUCCAUGACUCUUGCUCCUUGGCAUCCACCAAUUAACUAGUCAAUUACCAUACUUGCUUCAACUUGAUUAGUAGAAACCUGAUUUUAGGGCUUGGAGGAGUGCAAUGACUUAUCAUCAUAACUUCUUAAUAGAUAACUUGACCCUCGGAUCCUAACUCAGUUUUCACAAACUUGCUUUUCCCUUUUAAGAGUCACAAUUAGGGGUUUUUUUUUUUUUCUUAUUUUGUUUUCCUUUCUUAAAAAUAAUAAAAAAUAAUUGAUGACUCCAAGUCUUUUCCUAAAAAUAAAAUAUUUCACAAAUAAAAAGCGAGUCAUGCUAUCAAGUGGAAAUGCAUGUGAAAAAUGCAAGUCCACAAGAUCCUAUAAUGGGGCAUUUUUCACCACUUUGAGCUUAUUAGAUUCACAUCAUAUUCAAUUGGGGCUUCAUUAGGGACAUGAUUCUAUUCUUGAGACUAUCAAACCUCUUGUCAUUCUGGUCAUCCUUUUGAGAUUUGAUUUGGAGCAUUUCCUUUGAGACAUGGACAAAUUUAUAUUUUGAUUUCUUAGUUCAUUAUCAUUGAGUUGGAGACAUCACGAUUACCAUAGUUUCUUCAGGAGUAUUUUUACCCAAUCAGACAAGUGAGGAUGUUUAUGCUUUUUAAAUAUGUAACAAAGUUCUAUAAUUGCUUCAAUCCAUGUUUUAAAAAUUGUAUUUCUUUCUAAUAUUGGAGCAAACUUUUUCUUUCUUAUAAAUUUCAUUUGGGAAUGAUUUAAAAAUAAAUAAAUAAAACUCCUUCUAAAUAUUAAAAAGUAACACUUUCUUAUAAAAAUUAAUUAGGUGGAUGGUAAGGUCAAAUUCGGGAUAGCUUCAUAUUUUUUGCUUUAACUUAAAAUUAAAAUCAAAAUUAAAGUAAUAAUUUUUAAGGGGUAAUAUUGAUAUUGUAAGAGUUUUACUAAACAUGAAAGAACUUCUUAUAUAUAUAUAAAAUAGAAUUAUAAAAUUCUUAUAAAACAUAACAUUUUGAUGACUUGUACAUGAAAUCUUUUUUAAAAGUUAUAAGUUUUUUAAAAAUAUAUAUGAAAAUCACUUUUAAAAAUCCAAAAAAUCCCUUAAAAAUAAUUUCUAAACAUUUUUUUAACUUAGAUUUAAAAAAUAAAUGAGUAAAAAAUGAUUUGUUUUUACUAGUUAUUUAAUUUUAAGGAAGCAAUAAAGGGUUUAAUUUGAUGUAAAAUAAAAGAUAAAUAAAUAAAUAAAUAAAUAAAAUGAGGGUUGAAAAGUAAUUAAAUCACUAAAAAAUGGAAUUGGAGUUCCUUCGGUGUGGGGUUAAACUCAAUUUGUCCCAUGCAAUGGAAAUGGACGAUUUUUAUUUUUAUUUUUUUCCUUUUCCUUUAUCUUGGUGUAGUCUUGUGAUAUUGUUACUAAAAUAGUAGGUAAAAAUAUAAAUUAUGUAUCAAUUAUUUUAAAUUUAGAAAAAAAAAAUGCUUAUUUUAAUUUCAAAUAAAUAAAUAGAAAAAAAACUAAUUUUAUCUCAAUUGUGCAAGACUUUAUAAAAAAAUUCUUAUUUGCAAAAUAUUUUGAGUUGUAAAAGUAAAAUUUAAACAAAUCAUUUCAUGACCUUUUUAACAAGUAUCCAUUUAGAUCAUAGUCUAAUUUUUAAAUAUUUGAAUAAUCCAAUUACUCUAAACUAUGUCAUUUAUAAUUUUUUUUAAUUAUUAAUAUGAUACCUAAGCUUCUACAGAAUUGGAAUAAAAUAUGGAUAAGUAAAAAAUGUCAAAUAAAAGAUAAUUUCAAUCUUUUCUAAUACAACAUAAUAUUUUAUCAUGUUGAAUAAAAUUGGAAUGGGCAAAAGUUGUCAAAUCAAGACUUACAUGGAAAAUUCCACCAUUGCAUAUCUCAAUGAUUAUUCUACAACAUUAUCUUUGUAGACUUUUAAUAAUCCAAGAAAUCGACAAAUUAUAUAAUAAUCCCAAACACACAAUAUUCUACAAUUUUUUUGAAUAAAAAAUAAAUAAUGAAAUUUGAAUAAUGCAAACAUUCAAUGAAAUCUUUGGCAUGUUAAUUCUUUGCAGCUUCAACAUGCUGGCAUGUCGGAUGGCGAAGGCAGCAUUUGAGCUUCUGGGUGUUUACCAUUUUUCACUAUGAACGCAGUUUCCAUGCCCCAAGUCACAUGGCGUUCUACAUGGCAGUGCAUGAACCACACUCCUGCAAUAGAGCAAAUAUACCAACAUUACACCUAACUUAUUGCAAUAUUAAGAAAAAUUAUUUCAAGGGUUUUUUUUUAUAAUAGAGGACGUGAGUGCUUGCAACAUACCAGGGUUGGAUGCCUCAAAUCUGAUUGCAACCCAACCAUUCGUAGGAACGGAGAUGGUACUCUGAAGGGGAGGAUCCACCAGAUUAUAGCGUAAAGGGUCCCUAUUUUUAUCGAAAUUCCCAAAUCCCCAUCCAACAAGGUAGAAACUGUAUCCAUGGAGAUGCAUGGGGUGGUGUGUCCCUGCAACCAAGUUUGUCCCUUGAAAAACAAUCUCCACUGUGGAGUUAUACUCGAGCACCCUUACUUCUGUUCCGAUUUCUGGCGUCUGAUACUCUAAUGGAAGAUAAUCAGCUGUAAAAUCAAACACCAGUGGUGGAACGCUAGGAAAUUUAUCUCCAUAUACACCACUGAUGUUAUAAUAGUAAGCUUGUAGUAUGUCAAUCGUAGGGGAUUGGAAGCUUAUGUUGUUUAUACUUGCGGAGAAUCGCGUCCCAUUGGGCCCUGCACAUGAAUUAUUAGGGCAUAGGAACGAGUUUACAGAAACAGUGUAAAUUAGUUUAGUGCUCGGGCUCAAUGGGACAUUGGAAGGAUGUUCCGCAUCUACUAAGCUUCGGAGGCCAACCAUGACCUGAACCGAUGCAUUUGUGUCAUUAUAUGCAGGAAAAUGAGGCAAGGAGAGAGGUGAAGAUGAAGUGUAGUAACCUCUAUAAUGUACAAUAGCUGUGGUGGUUGUGUUAUCAUAAAAAUUUUGAGCUAUCGGGGCAAUGGAAUAAGUUUUAGCCGCCAUGUAAUAGUGAUCUGGGCGUUGGUUAGCUUCUAGUAAGACAUCGAGGUUUGGCCAGGAUAUAUUGUGAUAUAAUCUCGUGUCAAUGGUUUCGUGUAGCUACCAUAUGUUCCAACCACUGUCAUUUUAUGCUUGGCAAUGGAGAAGAAGAGAGCCUCAUGCAAGGCAGCAUUGAUUAUGCGAAGUAGAUAGGUCUUUCCAUGAUCCACUCUUAGCUUGAAUGUGCCUGCAAUUAGAAAGGAAAAGUUGUAUACUUAUGACUAGCGAAAAGAAAAAAACUUUCCAUGAGCAUCCACCAAUUAUGAAGUGAUUGAUUAAUUAAGGGUGUAAAUUUGGCUCCAUAGUUCAAAUUUAUAUUUGGACUAGCCUUUUCUUAUGUGUUAAGUCAUGGCUCUACCAUCCUCAUAGCUAUAUUCCUCUUUCUUAGCAUUAAGUUUUCAAUAUGUUUAUAUUAAUAAGAAAAAGUAAUAUGGUUAACAUACAAGAAAAUGACAUCAGUGCACAAUUUUAAAAUGGGAAGUUAAACUUUAUACCUGAUUUUGAGCAUGGAUAUAGAUCACUGGGUUGUCCAUUUAUCAAUAAAGAAUCAGAGGCAUUAGGGUCAGCUCUGGUUGCAAGCCCUUCAUCUCGAACCGCAUUCACAUCACUCUUCCACCAUUGUCCUGCAUUUCAACAACUCCAAUAAUUUAGAUUUCGCUUUGUUAGUUAAUUCAUGAUAUGGAAAUUAACCUUUAAAAGGAACUACACUUAUACCUAAUAUGAUGGGAAUUUCUGCGUUAGGUUUGGGAAAAGGAUACUUGGUUCCAUUCUUGGGAUAAACGAUUAUAGCUCCAUGAACAGUGGCUCGGGUCCAGUCAUUGUGAGCAUGCCACCAUAGAGUGCCUUCCUCGGAGGAAAGGAUGAUCUUUUGGCUAAACUUUGACCCUGGUUGAAUUGGGCAUUGUGUGAUAUACUCGGGACCAUCUGUCCAUGGAUAUCUAGGCAUGUUCACCCCAUGCUUGCAAAACAAUAACUAUACGUUAAAACUAGUACUAAUUUUCGGACUAACAAAAGAUGGCAUGUAGCAACAUAUUAUCAUAGUAACAAGAGGCAUCAACUGUAUUUCAAUGGAACUAAUGCAAAUAACCCUAAAAUAUUAUUUUAAAUUUAACUUUAUUUGCAAAGCAAUACAUUGCAGCCCCCUCUUAGAAAUAAAAGAAUGUAUGUCAUGGAGGCAUGCUGCCCACUGCUAUCUUUCUCCAAGACACGAUAGGACUUACCAGUGAAUGGUGAUAUUUUCUUUUCCCCUAUUAUAAACAUCGACGAUGAUCAUCUCUCCUUUCUUAGCAUAUAUAGUUGGUCUUGGAAAUUGUCCAUUUACUGUUAAGAUGUUCUUGGUGCUACAAAGCCUUGUAUAUGAAGCCUCCUUCACCUGCAACCAAUUAAAAGUUAACCAUGCAACCUCAUCCCAAAAGAAAUAUUACAAGCAUGAAUAGUUGCAUCGAUCCACUCAUGCAAGUGCAUAACCAAUUAGAAAUUGAAAGCAUGCAUGAACGACUCAAUGACACCAGGGUACCCGAAGACACCAUGAGGGUCAUACGGUGGAAAAUGAGAGCCAUACUGCUCCCUAAAUAUCAUGAACAAAAGAUGGCGUUAAGGCUAGAAUCAUAUAAGUAUUUACCACAAAAGUAAGCCGACGAGUUGAAGCUUGGCAAUGGAUGCCACCACCAAAAAGUAGAAACGCUAAAAUUUGCAGGAGGAAAACCUUCAUGAUCAGCCACAUCUUCUUUGGAAUAAAAGCCUCUUCUCUUGUCCUAAACACAACUCCUUCAAUUUUCUUACUAUUUCUAAUAAGCACGACUUAUCUUCUCUUUGACAUGAAUAGAUGAAUUCUUAAAGGUAUUUAUAGAGGCUGGAGAGGACCAAAACUGGAAUUGGUGAAAGCUGAACAGCCGGUUUCUCUCGAACUUUUGAUGUAUUUUUUUAAUAUAUAAUUCAUAAUCUAUUCAAGAUGAUUUUCCUGGGGUACAACAAUUCCUCGCCGCGUAUCAAUAUAAGAGAAGUAAUUCGAAUGUGUAUUGGUUUUUAAAACUUUGACCUCUCAUAUAUACAGUACCUUUAUCAAGAUUAGUCAAUAUUUUUUCUUUGUUUUUGGUAUGAAGGGAAAAGUCAGCGCUAUAUAAUCAUAAUCCAUCAAAGAUACACUAUAUGCUACCAUGGGCGUACCGGCCAUUAGUAAUGGGCCAAAAUGUUCUCCAUGAUUAAAAAUAAAAUAUAAUCAUGGCAUAAAAAUGACCCUCAUUUUCAAGAGGUGACUUUCUCCUAGAAAGAAUUAAUUUCCUUUUUAUUUUCUCAUCGGGAGAAAGUUGGAGACUCACAUUGUUUAUAUUUUUAUAAUAGUUUUAGUUUAGUUUUAAAGCUUCCAAAAACUUCUCCCUUAUUUUUAUUUAUUAGGUUGGCUCAGUCCACUUGGGUACCCAAAAACAAACCCAAUAAAUAAUUAUUUAUUGAAUUGGGUCAAUCCCAAUAUUUUCAUAACCGAAUCAGACAUUGAAUUAGAAAAAUUAUCGAUUCAUAGGUCACUGGUCAGACUAGUGACCGAACCGGUGACAUCAUACAUACAUAAUUUAUAUUUUAUUAAAAUUAAAAAUAAUUUUAAAAUAUAUAUAUAUAUAUAUAUAAUUAAAAAUUAAUAAUAUUUGCAAUAUUAUUUAUUCAUUUUUAUAUAAAUGUAUUAAUAUUGUUAAUUUAUUAAACAAAAUAUACAUAAUAUUUAAAUAUGAAAAUAUAUUAAAAUGGGUAUAUAUAUAGGUAGUCUUUGAGUCAACAUGCAUAACAAGAUUGGACAUCAAUUAAUUCAUUUAAUAAUUAUGUUGAUUAGUUUAAUUAUACUUUUUAAAAUAUUUAACUCAUAUUUGACACAUUUUAAAUUUGAUUUUAAAUAAAUAGGUUAAUUGAGUCAUAAAUAUAUUAGUCAUAUAAAUUAACACAAGACCUAACUCUACUUAAUUAUUAAAUGGGACAUAUGAGUUACACGAUAUGUUACUUGUUUAGUAAUUAUGUAGUAUUUUAGGUUUACGUUUUUAACCAGAUUAUUAUUCGUGUCGAGUUUGACACAACACAAAUAUGACCCACCAACACAAAUUGUAACCCCUAAGCUUGUUCACUCAAAAAGUAAAUUUAUACUAAUAUUUAAUUACCUAGUUUAAACUAGUAGGAAUAUUUUUAAAUUAUUGCUUAGUUUUUUUAAAAUUGUUAAUAUUGGUAUAUGUAUAUAGUUUCUCUAAAGACAUUCCAUUGAUGUAGAAUUCCAAAUAUAAUUUGUCUAUAUAAAUAUAUCAUAUAUUUUUAAUAAAUAUAUAUAUUGUAAGUUAAAUAUUAUAUUGUAUAAUAUGUUGUACUAUAUGCAUAACUACUAUAUUACUAUUUUACAAAAUAAAAAAUACACUAUAUAAUAGUAAUAUAUUAUAUACAUAAAAAGUUUUUGUGUAAAGUAUCCAACCACAUUUUAAUUAAUAAUUGAUUAUUUUAUUUUUAAAUAAUCUAAUUAUGUAUUUAUUAUUUUUAAUUAUUAAUAACUAUUUUUUCAAAAGUGAUUUGUCAUUAAAAAUAAAAUCAUAAAUUAUGUCAUAAAAGUAGUAAUUGUUGUAGAUGCUAAUUUGUUAAGGAUUAUUAUUAUUAUUUUUACUUGCAUACAUUGUUUAAUAAAAUAUUUAAUUUAAGUUUUAAAUUCCUUACUUUAAAUUUUCAAUUUUAUUUUUAGUCUAAUUUUUAAUCUAUAAGUUCUAAUUUUUAAUUUUUAAUUUUUAAUUCCUAAAUUUUAAAGGGGAAAUCAUGUAACCAUACAUCACCAAAAAAAAUAAAUGAGAUUUUUAGAACUUUGCUUUUACCUUUUUAAUUUUAAUGAAGAUGAGAAAAAAUAUUACCUAUUCAUGUACUUCAAUAGUGCUUUCAGAUUUGUUCCAUAAUUACCCUCAAAAGUAAAUGACAAAAUACACAUCACUUUAAUACCACCUAUUGACAAGUACAUGAAUAAUUUAUUUUUCUUAUUUCUCUCACAUCAACUCCCUCACAUGUCUCACUUACCACUUGCCCCAUUUCCACUUUUUUCUUUUUUCUUUCUUUCUUUUUUUCCCCUCUUUUACCACCAUAAUCCAUAGUCACCUAUUAUAUUUUUCAUUCCUAUUUUUUUUUCCUUUGAUAUUCUUUUUAAUAUGCUCAUAUAUUUUCUCAGCUCAAAAUAUAUGUUAGCUCUGCAACUAAGGUCUUAACACUUAAUUUGGAAAAGGGGGUUCCUUUAUAUAGUAUAAAUCAUAUCAUAUCCUAUUAUAAGGUUGUGCAUCUUGGUUCAUUAAAGAAUUUGGGGAGUAUUCCCUUUAGACCUAGCCAUGAAAGCCUAAGAAUGCUUGACAUUUGCAUCUGGAUGCCUAGUUGGGUGCAUGCAACACAAACCGUGAGUCCAUACACUUAUCACUUGAGUGAUUCUACCCAAACUUAGUCAACUUAUCUAGUAUCCACUACUCCUUAGGCAAAAGAGAAACUAUAAGCAUUGUUGUUAGAAUUUACAUAUCAACCUGAUAAACCAUGAUCAUGCCUUUUAAGGCCAUAAAUCUUAAACAAUAGUAAUCGAUAAACAACUUUUCAAAAUCAUCACUUGCCUUGACUUAAACAUUUAGGGCUUAGUUCCUUUUGCUCUUUCUUACUCGACCUCUUACACUAAUGACUCAAUACGGAAGUCAACUCUUUGUCAGGGGCACAUCUCAACAAUAGUAUAUAUUCCUAACAAUCUAUUGAGCAUUGUCUAACACAAACCUACCCAACUAAUAGUUCCUUCAUGAAGAGAUGGUUGACCUCAACCCUUUUAGUCAACCUACCAUGGAGUAGCAACAUAAACUAUGUCUCUUCCCACACUCUAGUUCAAUUAGCUUUCAACUCUCUCCCAACCUCCAUCUCUCAUCUCAGCCUAUAGGUAAUCCAUGUUUGUCAACCUUCAUUCAGUUAAGAUCUAACUUAAUCUUUGGAGAGGCAUAGCCAAGAUUCACUUUCAAUACCCCUUAGUGCAAGUGCUAGGUGCUAUAGGCAAAUAGAUCAAUCACCACCUCUAAGAAGAAUACUGUUAGAUCACAUCACUCAUGGACCCUAGCUCAAGAGUUUGAGCACCAGUAAUAACUAUGAAAUAACAAGGGUCAAAGUGUAAGAGAUUUAUUUUAAAGAAACAAAAAAUUAAGUAAACAUAAUAAGCUUAGCAUGAUUAAUUAUCAAUUAAUUAUAUAUAUCUAUAUAUAUAUAUAUAUAUAUAUAUAUAUAUAUAUAUAUUUAAUAAAGAAGUUCCAAGUCUGAAACCAUUGUUUAUCUAUAGCCCUUUGGCCUUGUCAAUAUGAAACUAUAUUACAAAUUUAAAUAAUUUCUCAAUGUUUACAUGUGAGACAUUAACAUUGGUUCGAAAAUUACAAAAAAAAAAAAAAAAAAAAAAAAAAAAACAAGGUUAUUUGGACACAUGACUCAAAAUAACUCUCAAAUUAUAAAAAUGGCCCCUCACACUUUAAUUUUGUCGAGAAAUAACUCUUUCUGGAUGCUUUUACCCUUCUUCAUUUUCUUUAUUAUAAAAAUCAUUAUCUUUUAGUAACUGUCUUAUCUUUCAAAUAACACAUUCUUGCUUUCAUUUUAGAUGUUUAUCUAGAUUAAAUAAAUACACAACAGUCAAGUUUGAUUUACAAAAAAAUUUAACUAGAAUUAAAUUCAUUUACAAAUAAUUUAACUAUAGUCAAGUUUUCCAUUUCACCAACAAAGAGCUUGAUUAUAAUGAUAUGAACUUUGUUGUUAUUAAGUUUUAUUUUUAAAAAAAUUUAAUUAGAGUUAAUUUAACAUUUUAUCUACCAAAAAACUUAAUUAUAAUUAAUUUCUUAAUUAAAAUAUUCAUAUGGACUUAAACAUUAAAUGAAAGGAUUAUGUAAUCUCAUCUUCACAUUUUAGAAGUUUAAAUGAAACUACAAAAACACUUAACAAAAAAUAGUAAAAAUUACCACUAAAGGACAACCUCAAAAAAUCCUAACAAAAAUUCCACUAGAAAAAUCCCGACCAAAAAUCCUAGUUGGACAUUGCAAAUAAAUAAAAAUAAAUAAAUAAAUAAAUAAAGACAACCAAAAUCCCAACAAUACAAUUGCGAAAAAUUCUAACAAAAAAUAGCUACAAAAAAAGAAUAAAAAAAAACUAUAAAAUCUCAAUAAAAAAAAUUAUAAAACAACCAUAAAAAAAUACUAACCAAACACACACACACAUAUAAAGGAUAAUGAAGGAUCUUGAAGAAGACCGCAAUAAAACAACAAAAUCUCAACAAAAACCAAAUCCAAAUAAAUAAAAAAAUGCCACUGUUUGAUUAUUGUUCACUAUUUUCAAUUUUUAAAAAUAAGGUGAAAUAAUGAACAACUUUUAGAGAACAAGUAAAAGUUGUUUCCACCAAUUUUUAAAAAUAAUAGAAAAACACACACUCUAUUAUUUAUCUUCUAUAUAGAAUUAUUAUUUCUCAAUUCUUUUUUUGCUAGACAACUUAACUCCAAAUUAAAUAAUUCUUAAAUAAUAAACUCAUUAAUACCAUAAAUUUAUUAAGAUAAUAAAUAUAAUUUUUUCUAACAUAUAAUAAAAUAAUAUAUUUUCUAUUAAAAAUAUAAUUUAUGAUUUUAUUGUCAUAUUACUAUUUAUAUUUUACUAAAAACUAUAUAUUUUUUAAUUUAUUUGUAAUUACAAAAUUAUUUUCAUUUUCAAUAACACUUCACUUAAAUUUAAUUAAAUAAAUGUUAUAUAAAUUGAAUUUAAAAUGUUUUUACAAAAUCAAAACAAAUUUAAAAAAAAAUAAAUAAAAAACAAUUUAUCCAAACAGGUCUUUUUGUUUUUUAUUUUUAAAAUCCUUUUAUAAAAACAACUUGACAAAUAUUCUUAUUUUUAUAAAACAUUUAAAAACUUUUUUUGGUUCUUUGACUUAAAAACAAUUUCUCAAAAAAAAAAAAAAACAUAAGAAAUCAUGAUCAAACAAGAAUUUUAAAAAAAAAUUAAUUGAAGUACUUAUUUAACUUGUAUUAAAAAUGAAUAUUUAUAUCAUUUUUAUCUUAUAGUAAUUUUCACUAUAAUAAUAAAAAAAAUUAUUUAUCUUUAACGUAUACAUAUUUGUAGAUUUAAUUUUUAUUUGUUAAUAAGACUUAACUUAAAUUUGAUUUCAUAUUAUUAUAAAUUAAAUUUAUAAAAUUUUUAUAAAAUAAAAGUAAGACAUUGCUUUUAAAAACAAUACACAUUCUUUCAUCCAAACAAGUUUUUUGUUUUUUGUUUUACAAAAACUAUUUUUAAAACAUCUUAUCAAACACUCUUAUUUAAAAAAAAAAGAAAAAAAUUAAACUGUUUUUUGUUCUCUAUGUGAAAAAAAAAAUUAAUCAAAAUUUUAAAAAAUAUUGCCAAACGGGCCCCUAAGUUAUCCAAAGAUAAUUUUUUUUUUUAAUAAAAUAGAUCCAAUAAAACAUUUCCAUUAAAUAAGAAAAGGGACCCAAAAUUUUCUUUUAAUAAAAAUAAGUUUUAGACAUUUUUUUAGAUAAAAUAGUUCAAAUUUUUUGUUUUAAUAAAAGAAAUAGUUCAGAAUUUUAAAAUAAAUAAAUAAAAGGUUCAAAAAUAUUUUUUUCAAAUAAAAUAAAAUAGUCCAUGCUACUUCAAAAAAAUAUUCUUUUUAAUAAAAGAAAGUUUUCUUAAUAGAAAGUUCAAAUAAAUGUUUUUAGAAGAAUCUAGAAAAAGAAUAAUAAAAAUUCAAAUAAAUAUUUUUAAUAACAAGCUAUCUAGAAAUUCAUUUGUUUAACAAAAGUUUCUAGAAAAAAUUGAUAUUUAAAUAAAAUUGUCCAAAAAGUUAAUUUUAAUAAAAUUGUCCAAAAUUGAUUUUUAAAUAUAAUUCUCUUUCCUUGAUAAGAAUGGGAUUAAAAGUAAUUUUUAUAAAUAGAGGUCCUAAAGAAUUUUUUUAAAUAAGAAUAGUAUGAGUAAACCUUUAAAUCGAACUGAGAGACCUUUUUUUUUAAUAAAUUGGAAAACUAAUCUCCCGCUAGAUGAAAUCCAAAAUUCUUUCUAAAUAUAAUUGGAAUCCUUGGGAACAAAUUUGUGAAAUUCUUUCUCUAAAUAAGUUAGUAAUAAAGAAUCUUUUUCUAGGUAAAAUAAAAUAUAUAUAUAUAUAUAUAUAUAUAUAUAUAUAUUUAAUAAAAUUGGGUUGAAAUUCCUUCUUAUAAAUUUGUAAAUAUCUUUCUUUAAGUUUGUAGAUUUUUUUUUUUCAAAUAAAUAAAGAUUGAAUCAAAACACUUUUUAAAAUAAAUAUGUAAAACUCACCCCUCUUCUUAAUAAGGUAAACAAAAAUCAUUUCUUAUAAAUCAAAUCUUUUGUAAUCAAUUGAAGCCUUGUGAAUAAAUAAAUUAAAAUCACUAAUUUGAAAUUGUUGUUAAAAUAAAUGAAUUCUUUGAAAAUUUCUGGAAAUUGUAUUAUGAUAUUUGAAAUAAUAAAAUCUUUCUAAUAAAUUAUUUUGUGCAUUUCUCAUGUAUCAUUUCCACGUAUCCUUAUAAUUUGCUUUUGCAUUAUUUCAUGUACUUGUACUAUUCUUUAUAUAUAUAUAUUCCUUUUACGUGCUUAUUAGAAACCUUUUUAAGGCUUGAAGGGGUGCUACCCUAUGGUAUCUGCCCAAUAAAUAACCUGACCUCUAGAUUUGGACUCGAUUUUUACCGACACAUCUUUUCUUUAAAAAGGAGUAACAAUAGGGCUUUAUUUCUUUUCUUUUUUCUUUUAAAAAAAAUAAAAAAUGAGUGAUGACUCCAACUUUAAAAAAUAAAAAAUAAAAAAUAGUUUUUUAUAAUAAAAACAAGUCUCACCAUCAAGUGGGAAUGCACAUGAAAAAUGACAGUUCACAAUUGUAUUUCUUAGACUUAAAAUAUAAUACAAUUACUAAAUCAACAAAUGUCGUAAGUUUUUAAAUCUUUGAUGAUACAAGAUUCAAAGUAUAAUGGAACAAAUAGUUUUCAAAAGAAAACAAAUAUUUAAAAUGGAAAAUCUAACAAUAAAGACAAUGAAACAAGGUGAUACAAUAGGAGUUAAAUAGAGAAAUCUUUAUUCCACGAAUUUAUAGUUUAUUUAGUAGAAAAAAGUUCAAAAGAAAUAUUGUAUACAUUAAUGGAUUAAGUAGAUAAAAGGGAUUUAAGUAAUUUGACAUUUAUGCUUUCGUUAGAUAACAUCAAAUAGAUAUUUGAUAUUAUUAGUUUCCAUAUUGACUUUAGAAAUCUAUCAAAUGGAAGUUAAGAUUAUCUUUCUUUGAAUGGUUAUAUAAAUUAAUAGUAUAUAGGGUAACCUAAAGGAUUUAUGACAAGAACACAAAAUUAGGGAUAGAUAUCUACAUUUAGCUAGGUUGGAUUAUAACCAAUCCAAGAAUCAAAUAGAAGUUGAUUGGUUUUAACUAAAGUAUAACAAAUUUAUUUAUUGACUCAAGCUAAUCCAACUUAAUAUUAGUUUGAUUCAAUUUAGUUAACUCAAUUUAGACCAAAAUAUUAAGUCUAUAUGUUUUUUUAUCCACGGAACCAAAAUGAUCAAAUUGUUUUAGAUAAAAAUAAUUUUUUUUUUUACAAAUAAUACAAUUAAAAAAUUUAAAAAUAAUGUGUAGGAGCAAACCAAUGGGUUAUUUUCUUAUUGGGAGUAAGUCAAUGAAUAGUAUUCUUGACAUAUUGGGUGCUUGUGACUUGAAAUUAUAUAUCAUCAUUAUUUAGUCCCACAGUACAAAGAUUUUAAAUUUUAGAUCAUGCUUACGCCAUAAGCCACUUUAAAUUUGUAAUAAAGCCACAGGAGUUAGGCUCUAGGCAUCCAACACCAAACUAUAGCCUAACAAGUUAGCUUUGGAAGAGCAUGAUUUGACUCAUAAAGUCUCAAGAUUCUCCACAACACUCCAAAAUCCAAGAAAUUAUAUUUGUUCCACUCCUCUACUACUUGGGUUUGUUUGCCAAUCCACUUUUAGUAAGUGAUCUAGGUCAAACCUUUCAUAAUCCAAAUACUUAAACUAGUUUGAUCUCUAGUUUCAUUGCACUACCAAAAUAAAGUAAUUCAAGUAGAAAAAACCAAUGGCACAUGCAAGACAAGUUUUGCUGUUGGGGAGGUUUACAAAUAGCUUGUGGAAACCUUUCCUAGAAUAAUUUGAGACAAAUGCAAAUGGGGUUCCUAUGAACUAUUAUGCAAGGCUAGUCAGGCUUAUCUAUCAAACAAUGGAAAUUGAAGAUUUGGGGACCAAAUGAAAGUAAUCAAGUUUGAAGUUGAUGGAAUUGCUUAUUAACUCAAUAUGGAGGCUUAUCUCAAGCACCUUCUCAAUACAAUGCUUCGAGUCAAUUAACUACAUGCAUGCACUAAAGACUUCCACAACAAAGAAAAUUUUGCAAGAAUAAUCUAAAGAGCUACUACAACAGAGAAUGAUCUUCUGAACAUAUGUAAUUGAUUGUGCAUUAAUUAAGAGGGCUUCUCAAGUUGGAUAAGUUGUUUAGAAUUUUUAAGAGGGAAUUUUUAAACUUCACUGAAUUGAUCUAAGAGACAUUUACCAAGUUUUAUCAUGAUAAUAAAGUAUUGAGGAGAAAAUGUACCACCAAAACCAAGUUGUAUUUGCUAAGAAUACUUACUAUAUUCUAUUAAGAAAGAAACUAUCUAGUGGUAAAGGACAAGUUGAUAGUUUUAGUUCAUGAAGUUUUCACUACCCAAGCUAACAUCAAAAUCUAUUACAAGACAAAUCCCAAUAAGGUAAGAUAAAAGGCUGCACAGAAGGGACAUCUUGCUCCUUGUUGAAAAUCUCAUUCAAUUGCAAAUCUACCACAUCAAUAAUGCUCUCUUCUAUAAUUUUCUCAUACCCAAUCCACAAUACUAUUAUUAUACUUAUUCUGCAUGCUUUUUUUUUUCUUGCCUUUCUAAGUUAUUUUUUCUUUGGUUAUAGCAACAACUUCAUUGGUGUGUUAAAUUCUCUUAUAGGUAAUUCCUCAAACAUGUAAUAUCCUCAUUGUUGCUAUUAAGUCUUGCAGUAUGAAACGAAAAAUUAAAAUUCUUGUAUUCAAAAUCAAAUGGAAGCACAUGAAUUAAAAAAAUGCAAACACAAGAGAAACACUGAAAUCCAAUUACAAAGAGUAGUAUCAAAAUUUCCAUAUCUACAAAAUUCGGGUGUUAAGAUUUCUAAAAAUGAAAAAAAAAAAAAAAGAUUCAUUGAGAAAAGACCUACAUCGAAAAAAGAUCAAGGUGUGAGGUUAAGAGAGGAAUUCAACCCAUGCCUAACAUGGAUUCAAACAUAUUGACUAGAUUUGAAGAAUGCAAUUCAUCCAUGGGAACUUGUGUAUCUAAAGAGGGUUGGUUUUUGGAGGUACUAGAAGAUGGUUGGAGUAUGGUGAUAGUUGUUGAAAGGGUUAAUGGUGGUGGGAAUCCAUAACUACUGGUGAAGAGGAAGUUAGGUGUAUUGGAGACUUGAUGAGGAAGAUAAUGUGAGCCUAAUAAAAUUUCCUCCUACUUUUCCCUUCUCUUUCUCUCUUAUAUUCCUCACUAAUUUCUAAGGAAAGUAGAAAGGAAAAUAUUACAAUAUUUUCUUUAGCAUUUUCAUUUAUAUUUUUUUCCAUCAUAUUUCUCAUGUCACCCAAACUAAGGAAAAUAACUUUCCAUAGUAUUUUUUUGGUCCUUUCCCUUGAAUUUUCUGAAAACCAAACACAAUCUUUGUAAAUAAAAAUUAAGAACUACAACAAAUUGUAUAUUCUUCCUCUUUAUUCUUCCAUUUCUACAUCUACUACUCUAUUUGACAUCAUAUUUUUACUCGCUUCUUCAAUAAGCAUUCCUCCCUUUAUACAAAGUUAUCUUCGCACCAAUUCAUAAUAUAAGAAAGAUGAAUGAACCUUGGGGCAAGGUUGGACAACCGGUGGCAACUAGUCAAGGCUUAAAGUCAACUUUUGCUUGACUUUUUUUUGGCAUGGGCAGCGACUUGUGGACCCCUCUUUAGCAUGAAAGUGGCUAGAAUAUGUUAAGCUCUCUUAUUCGAUGGUUAAUGAUGUGUGAACCAUAACAAUCAUAGGUUGGGGAAUAUAUGGUAAUCAUGCAAAUAUCUAUCUAUCUAUGUAUCUAUCUAUCUAUCUAUAUAUAUAUAUAUAUAUAUAUAUAUAUGGUAUCCAAUUAUAUAAAAAGACAUUUUUCAACAUUUGAUAUAAGUAAAAAUUAAGAGGAAAAUAUUAAAAAAAAUUAUUAAACCUAAAAACAGGGACUUAAUAAUAAAAUGAAGCAAAAAGUUAAAAUUAAAACCAAAUAUUAAAUAUGAAUAUAGUUUAAGUAUUAAAAAUAUGAUUAUUUAGGUUUAAUCAUUGGGUUUGCUAGAGUUUAUAUAUAUAUAUAUAUAUAAACUUUGUAAAUUAAAUAUCUCUUUCUAUUAUUUAAAGGAAUCACUGAAAUGAUUGCAUGAAAGAUUUAUUUCAUAGCCUAAAAUAAUGAUAUUGGCAUUAUAUAUAUAUAUAUAUAUAUAUGUUUGUGUGUGUGUGUGUUUACUUUAAUGGUAGGCUGAUUUUUAGCCAUAAUAAUAAUAACUAUAUUAUUGUAUUAUUGAAAUAAAAAGGUUGUUGUCCUCUAAAUUUGAUUUGAAAUACAGGGGUUAUUUCUAACACUAAGAUGAUGUUUAUUUUUUUGUUUGAAUAGAAAAAAUUAAAAUAUUUGAUUUUGUUUAUUUUUUAUUUAACUAAAAGUAACCUGUUGAUAUCAACCAACAUAACUAAAGUGAACUUAUUAUUAAUAGGUUUAGUUUAGUUACGUUGGUUGAUAUCGGUAGGUUAUUUUUAACUAAAUAGAAAAAAUAAAAUAUUUUAGUUUUUUCUGUUCAAUAAAAAAGCAAACACAUCUAAAAUUAGAUAAUAAAAAUACUUUGAGUAGAAAUAAAUUCAUAUGGACCACUAUCAAAUACUAUGCACAAGGAGAAAUUCAGAUCCUCACUUGCUCUUUGAAUUUAAUGCAUUGAAUUUGAUGUUGCCUAAAACAAAAUUAUAUUUCAUGUUGUAUAUUAUGAGUAGACAACCAUUCCUUAUGUUAGAUUUUAGAUAAAGAAUGGAUAUUGGAGAUUGGAGUUGUAACAAAUUAGGAGAUCUUAAUUUUAAAUAUGUAACAAAGUUCUAUAAUUACUUCAAUCCAUGUUUUAAAAAUUGUAUUUCUUUCUAAUAUUGGAGCAAACUUUUUCUUUCUUUCUUAUAAAUUUCAUUUGGGAAUGAUUUUAAAAUAAAUAAAUAAAAGCCCUUCUAAAUAUUAAAAAGUAAACCUUUCUUAUAAAAAUUAAUUAGGUAGAUGGUAAGGUCAAAUUCAGGAUAGCUUCAUAUUUUUUGCUUUAACUGAAAAUUAAAAUCAAAAUUAAAGUAAUAAUUUUUAAGGGGUAAUAUUGAUAUUGUAAAAGUUCUAUUAAACAUGAAAGAACUUCUUAUAUAAAAAAAAAAUAGAAUUAUAAAAUUCUUAUAAAAAAUUACAUUUUGAUGACUUCUACAUGAAACCUUUUUUAAAAGUUAUAAGUUUUUUUUUUUAAAAAAAUAAUUAAAUAGGUAAAAAAUCUUUUAUUUAACUCUUAAGAGUCAAUCAUAAGGAAAUUUAAAUAUAUAUGAAAAUCACUUUUAAAAAUCCAAAAAAUCCCUUCAAAAUAAUUUCUAAACAUUUUUUUAACUUACAUUUAAAAAAUAAAAAGUAAAAAAUGAUUUGUUUUUACUAGUUAUUUAAUUUUAAGGAAGCAGUAAAGGGUUUACUUUGAUGUAAAAUAAAAGAUAAAUAAAUAAAUAAAAUGAGGGUUGAAAAGUAAGUAAAUCACUAAAAAAUAGACUUGGAGUUCCUUCGGUGUGGGGUUAGAUUCAAUUUGUCCCAUGCAAUGGAAAUGGACGAUUUUUUAUUUUAUUUCCUUUUCCUUUAUCUUGGUGUAGUCUUGUGAUAUUGUUACUAAAAUAGGAGGUAAAAAUAUAAAUUAUAUAUCAAUUAUUUUAAAUUUAGAAAAAAAAAAGUGCUUAUUUUAAUUUGAAAUAAAUAAAUAGAAAAAAACUGAUUUUAUCUCAAUUGAAUAAGACUUCAUAAAAAAAUUCUUAUUUGCAAAAUAUUUUGAGUUGUAACAGUAAAAAUUAAACAAAACAUUUCAUGACCUUUUUCACAAGUAUCCAUUUAGAUCACAAUCUAAUUUUUAAAUAUUUGAAUAAUUCAAUUACUCUAAACUAUAUCAUUUAUAAUUUUUUUUAUUAUUAAUAUGAUACCUAAGCUUCUAUAGAAUUGGAAUAAAAUAUGGAUAAGUAAAAAAUGUCAAAUGAAAGAUAAUUUCAAACUUUUCUAAUACAACAUGAUAUUUUAUCAUGUUCAAUAAAAUUGGAAUGGGCAAAAGUUGUCAAAUCAAGACUUCCAUGGCAAAUUCCAUUGCAUAUCUCAAAGAUUAUUCUACAACAUUAUCUUCGUAGACUUUUAACAAUCCAAGAAAUUGAAAAAUUAUAUAAUAAUCCCAAACACAAUAUUCUACAACUUUACAAUAUUCUACAAUUUUGUUGAACAAAAAAUAAAUAAUGAAAUCUGAAUAAUGCAAACAUUCAAUGAAAUCUUUGGCAUGUUAAUUCUUUGCAGCUUCAACAUGGUGGCAUGUCGGAUGGCGGAGGCAGCAUUUGAGCUUCUGGGUGUUUACCAUUUUUCACUAUGAACGCAGUUUCCAUGCCCCAAGUCACAUGGCGUUCUACAUGGCAGUGCAUGAACCACACUCCUGCAAUAGAGAAAAUAUACCAACAUUACACCUAACUUAUUGCAAUAUUAAGAAAAAUUAUUUCAAGGGUUUUUUUUUUAAUAGAGGAUGUGAGUGCUUGCAACAUACCAGGGUUGGAUGCCUCGAAUCUGAUUGCAACCCAACCAUUCGUAGGAACGGAGAUGGUACUCUGAAGGGGAGGAUCCACCAGAUUAUAGCGCAAAGGGUCCCUAUUUUUAUCAAAAUUCCCAAAUCCCCAUCCAACAAGGUAGAAACUGUAUCCAUGGAGAUGCAUGGGGUGGUGUGUCCCUGCAACCAAGUUUGUCCCUUGAAAAACAAUCUCCACUGUGGAGUUAUACUCGAGCACCCUUACUUCUGUUCCGAUUUCUGGCGUCUGAUACUCUAAUGGAAGAUAAUCAGCUGUAAAAUCGAACACUAGUGGUGGAACGCUAGGAAAUUUAUCUCCAUAUACACCACUGAUGUUAUAAUAGUAAGCUUGUAGUAUGUCAAUUGUAGGGGAUUGGAAGCUUAUGUUGUUUAUACUUGCGGAGAAUCGCGUCCCAUUGGGCCCUGCACAUGAAUUAUUGGGGCAUAGGAACGAGUUUACAGAAACAGUGUAAAUCAGUUUAGUGCUCGGGCUCAAUGGGACAUUGGAAGGAUGUUCCGCAUCUGCUAAGCUUCGGAGGCCAGCCAUGACCUGAACCGAUGCAUUUGUGUCAUUAUAUGCAGGAAAAUGAGGCAAGGAGAGAGGUGAAGAUGGAGUGUAGUAUCCUCUGUACUGUACAAUAGCUGUGGUGGUUGUGUUAUCAUAAAAAUUUUGAGCUACCGGGGCAAUGGAAUAAGUUUUAGCCGCCAUGUAAUAGUGAUCUGGGAGUUGGUUAGCUUCUAGUAAGACGUCGAAGGUUUGGCCAGGAUAUAUUGUGAUAUAAUCUCGUGUCAAUGGUUUCGUGUAGCUACCAUCUGUUCCAACCACUGUCAUUUUAUGCUUGGCAAUGGAGAAGAAGAGAGCCUCAUGCAAGGCAGCAUUGAUUAUGCGAAGUAGAUAGG